rnacentral:lncRNA from 1 species
AUGUGAGUUGUCUGCAAGAACUCAAUCAAAAGGAGGCAUGCACCAGCGUAGACAAAAUAGAUUGCACAUAUACUAUCAUUGUUUCCCUGGGAUAUGAUGGGUAUGUGAAUCUCAGUGGAGUCCCUGUUGCCGGAGUGCUGUUCAUUAAAGAAAACAAAAGGCAGGUUAAAGGGGCUGGUCAGAGCUUUCCCUGUGGAAUUUUGAGGGUCUUGUCAUCAUUAGACUUGCUGGUGCAGGCUGUUUGAUUAACUAGACCCAUAAGCUAAAGCCACUGACUUGGUACCAGUACAUGCCAUGCAUGCAAGUAGUCCCUCCCUUUUGUUAGUGUAUUUGCUGAUGCAUGCCAAGUGCAUGCCUGGAGUGUAAGAAUGGUAUGCUAUAUACUAUAUAAAUGUUUUCUUAUGAGAAGAGAAAUUCUCAGGAAGAAAUCGAGCUGUGGUCUGUGGAUGCUGGUUGCUCACAACGCAACUAUGGUGCUGGUAGGUGCCACAAGCUAGAGAUUAGAAUAUAUUAAGUGAACCUGAAGGCCUGCAUUCUAGCUAAUUCGUGUAUUAUAUUUGCAGUUGGACAAGAGUAUGGUCCUUGGUCAGGGAUCUGCAGGGUGUUUGAUGGCCAUACAUGGGACAACCAUCAAGGCAACAUGCUGAGCACCAGGAGUCACAGUACUUCAGAUAGAAACCAUACAUGAUGCCUUGACCGGUAACUUUUCAGGCAUGCACGCAAAGAAUCAUGCGGUUACAUACCUCCAGUUCAUUUCUUAACUGCCCCGGCCGGCCCACUGCUGUUUCAGCUACAAACGCAUGCACGCAUGCUCGAUAAGUCAACAACAAAAGAAAAAACCUGCGUCAUUAUUAGUACACAUACAAAUUAAAACUAUUUCCACACAAGUAACAAUCAUAAUCAUCAGGUUCAUCACGAAUUUGACAGUGCUAUACUGUCUUGCAUUUUAGCUAUAGAACAUCGAAAACUUUUUGCCGAAGUUGUAUGUGCUUGUCGUCAUCAUCUGAAAUUUGUUACAAUCUCGGAUGGAGGGAGUAUAGUAUAUGCAUUAUUUUGAAAGUGCACGCAAUUAUAUGCCGAGGACAGUGUCAAAAACAAUUGGGGUACUCAGCAGUCAACAUUAUGGGCUAUCUCAUAAACUAUUCAAAAUAGAAAUACUUUACACGAAAAAGCUGGUAAAAGGAUAUGGUCGCCUUGUUAGUGGGGAGCUGCUUUAGUGUUUGGGAAUAUUUUGCCAUCUAAUCAGUUUAGGGGUGGUAGACAACGACAAUCGGAGCUAACUGUAGUGGAGAAUAAAGGGACCGUGCAUGCAUGCGUGGACCUUUCCCUUUUGAAGGUGACUAAGAGUUUUUUCAUGAGGAUGCAGACACAGGAUUAUACAGAACUGCAGAGUUUUUUCAGGAUUCAGGAGAACCAAAAAAAUAAAGGAAAAAGAGAGAGAGGAAAACUAAUCCAUUCGGCUGCUGGUAUCAAGAGCGUGGUGCCGUACACAGUGGCGGAACGUGAGCCAAUUGAAAGGAGGGACAAAUUAUAUUAGUGUUAACUGAGCUACCCCAUCGACGGACAACUGUGCUGGUAUACCCUAUCUUAAAGAAGUUAACUGAGCAAACUCUUUCUUUUUUUGCCUGCCCGUACGUAGUCGGCACCACGCGUUCCAAGCGCCUGCGUUUGCUCCGUGGCAUGAGAGACUGAGGUCUGAAGGGACAGCGCAGAGUCUCCCCGCUCCGGCGCUCCCUACUCUUGGGGCUCCCCGACGUGCUUGCCAGCUCGCCACCGCUCCGGCGCUCCGCUACACUCGCGCGCAUGACUCGCUUGGCAUCUGCCGUCGUACCGCUGGAUCCAACGCAGGCAGGAGAGAGACCUCCUGCAGACAGGUUCGGCCACCACGAAGAACCCGACGGGAGAGAACGAAGUCGCCGCCGAGUAUUAUUGCAGUGGCAUCAGCGAGCUGGAAGCUGCACCGAGGUCGAGCAGCCGGCAGUUUGAGGUCCACGACUGCCAGCGGCGACACGAGGGGCGGAGCUGCGCUCGCCCUGCUUUGGUAGAGCUUCUCCACUGAUUUCUGCAGUGGUUUUCGAUGAAGCCCUACCACCAAACGGUAAGAAGAAAACGGCUCCACACGAGAAGUCUUAUAAGCCCCAAAACGACUUACACUCAAAUGGAUGAGCCCAAAAAAAUGGCUUCACUGGUUUCUCCUCUCUCCCCGAGUAUUAAUAGUUGAUAAAGUUAUCUAAUUUGCCACCGAGAAGCUUGCACUGUGCACCAAUACAAUCCGGAAGAAAACGACUUACACUCGCAGCUCGUGCAUUAUAUAUGUGCAUUAUCUACCGACACAAUCUGGAAGAAAACCAAGAGCUUGCAGCUCGUGCUUAAUGCCCUGUUUGUUUCCGCUUAUUUCCGAUUUUGAAAGCUCGAUUUUAGAAAAUUCAAAAGUCGGAUGACUCCUGGAAUCGAGAAUCGAGACUCCCAGCUGAUCAUGGAUUCUCGAUUCUCGAUUCUGGGAGUCAUCCGAUUUUUGAAUUUUCUAAAAUCGAGCCUUCAAAAUCGGAAAUAAGCGGAAACAAAUAGGACCUAAGUGGCUUAGCCUUAAGGACCAAUGUGUAUGCUAUAUUGAUACUGUACACCUUUUUCAAAUAUUAUUUAUGCCCAGUUUUUUUUCCCAGAGGAUUGGCAAAAAUGCGCACUUCCAUGUCAGGUGCUCGUUCAAGUGUUGGUGCGUAAUGCAAGCGAUUGUAGAGUAGAGAACACGUGUGCUCUUAAAUAAAAAUUGAGGUUGAGUACAUAUAUGAGGAAUGCUCUAAAAUGAAAUUCGUUUGAAAGAGCUUAAAAUAAAAAUCCGGGUGCAUGAUGAGUGUAAGGACAUGAUUGGUUCGCUUCCAAAAUGUUGGCAUGUUAAAAUGUGGGUAAACUCAUAAAUUUUAGCACUUAUUUGGUUGAAGGCCAAAAAACAGCACAUUUAACCAAGUGCUAUUCUAAACUUGCUAAGAUUCUGAUAAAAAAAAUUGGCAUGCUUAUAUUUUGGCAUACCAACCAAGCAGACCCUAAGUUCAUAUCCGAACCACAGCGAGGAGUGAUACACAGUAUCGAACUGCCGCACCCGCUCAGGCUGAUUAACUGCAAAACGCCGGCUAUCUUCUGGUUGAAAUAAUGCAGCACCAGCUCGGUGACUGCCAGUACACUGAUCAGUAAUUCAGGCUGUACACUGUCUAGUGCAUGUACUGAACAAGUCAGGAAUCAAAUUCGUUCCUCAAAUAACUAGUGAGUUAAGCUGUUUUGUUUUAGAAACUAAAGCAAAUAAGACCUCGUAGCUCUAUACAAGCAAUUCUCUUAAAAGAAACUCCACUCGAGCACAUAAUACAUAGUAAACCUCAAUUACUUCCAGAAAGAAAUUGCAGUUCCUCUUGCACUUCACUCAACUAAGCUCUCCUCCUCACCGACACCGUAGCCAAGGACAUCAUGCCCAGCUCUGUAGCCCGCCCCUGGAGGAUGCUUUAUUCUCUCCGCACAAGCGUAGCAGUUCUCGCCAUCAUAAUAGUCGGGUAGGAAUUUGCCACCUGGGAAGACACCUUUGAUUCUCAGACCACCUGAAACAAAACAAAACAAUAGCAUUUGUUCAGAAUUUAGAUGUAUGGGGCAGAGUUUCAAAAGCAUACCAGUUUCAAAAACUGAAUCAGAAAACUAGCACAAUCACUCAUAGUUAAAGAUUCCAGUAGAAGUUCCGGAGCAUGUUGAGGUGUUAUGCUUACAAGGGUUUUAAAAAAUAUGCUUACAACGAAGAAGAAGUCAUGGCUUAUGCAAAGCCUAUACAAUGAAAUGCCUUAUAAUGCACACAGCUUAUAAAUGAUUGGGUCCACUAUGUCGGAUUGUAUGUGCAGCGUGUGAGAAUGGUAUUCAAUUCAAGUUUAUGCCUUCCAAAGAAAUCAAAAACUAAUCUCUACUCCAGCAGCCACAAUCCAGCAGUCCACCUUAUGAUAUUUGACCUCUAUUUUAGAUAUUAAAUAGAGUACACCACACUUUUCAGUAAUCCCUUUAUUUUCAGUUUCAUGUCAUCGCUCACCAGAUUAACAAUUCUUGAACAAUACUGUACUCUUGAGAAGUUGUAAAUGAUUUAUUUGGGCAAUGGAGUUUUCUAAAUAAUUUGAAAUUGUUAAUCUUAAAACCAGCUCAAGCCUUGGGGAAUCUAAUUUCUGUUUCCUGUCCGCUAAACUAUUCAAUAGCAACUUUGGCUAUACAGAUUCCAAUUGCAGCACUGUAAAAUGUGCCAAAAGAUCACCCCUAGUAGUGCUAGUACAGUAACUACUGUGAUUUGCGAAACAGCAAGUCAAAAGAUAAUCUAGCUAAAACUUAUGAGCCAACAAAAGAAGACAGGAACAUACAAAGCAAAAGGAGCUUACCUGAAGAGUUACCAUCAACAAUUUCACAGGCAGUAGUGACAUAUCCGCUGUUGCCAUCAUCAACGUCAUUAAACAUACACAACUCAGCAAAGAAGGUCUUCUCCUAGCCUGUCUUCACGUCCCGAGCAAUGAAGUUCAUGUGCGUGUGGUGAGGAUCCUGCAGCCAGUACUCGAUGAAGCUGUAAACUUCGUUGAGGCGCACGUGUACAUACUGGUAUUGCUCAUCCUAUGAGGAAAAAAGAAACAAUGGUUGCAUAUCAAAAGCAGUGAAACAAGUCCCAUAAUAAUAAUAAUAAUAAUAAUAAUAAUAAAGCAGUGAAACAACUGAAACAGAACAGCUAUGGAUGAUACGCUAGGAAGAAGGAAUAAGUGCUCACUGGAUGAUUCUUGUGGUACAGAACCAACGCCAUGUUUGCUCUCUUCUUAAAAAGCCGUCGGUAAAACGGAAGCUGUUUUCUAUUGGCCGUCCAUAUAUACCUUCUCUAUGUUCUCCGCUUCCACAUCAUCCACGCUCCCCUCCUCGAUUUCCUUUUCUACACGAGAUCCAGUUGGCAACGUCCCGGAAUCAACAACUGGUUUGCUGCAUGAAUCAGUGCAGAUCAUGUUAAUCUUCUCCCUGUCACGGUGGUACCAAUUAAACUAACAGAUGAGGUGCAUAUGGCCAGAUUUUAAAUUACACUAGGGUUUCGAACUAAGGUGCUGUUUGGAUCCAACCAGCAAAAGAGCAAAAGGGCAAAAUUUUUGCCAUUUGCCAAAAGUUUUGCCAUUAGGGGUGUUUGGAUCCAAAUGGCAACAGUUUUGGCAAAAGCUCAUUUAAACCUCUUUUCUCCCUCUCCUAUGCAAAACUGAAAUGUACUGCUUCUGAAAUUGUGGUUCGUAUGAUUGUGUUCCAAGUGUUCAUGCGUAAUUAGUGUUAAUGAUGUAUGCGUAAAAUGUACUGCUUCUGAAAAUAUGCAAGGCCACCACCUGUAUUUUGAUUCUUUUCAACAUACAGAAUUAGUUUCUACACAGCUGCUGAAUUAAGACCUGAUGGGGCUCUCUCCGAGAGGCUUUCAUCUUUAGUUAAGUUCCAAAGUCCAAAUGUAAAAAAUGUUUACAUAAGUUUCACCAUUCAUGUGCUCAUGUACAUGAUAAGAACGAAGUGAGUAUACAACAUCCACCUCCCUUGAAGUGAGUAUACAACAUCCAUGGACCGUUGGACACAAUGAAACAACAUUAUGUAAGUUCCUGAUCUCAGUUUCUCUAUCUCAGAAAAUAAGUUCCUGAUCUCUUCAUCAUCUUGCCUGAAAAAAAGAGGAAAUAUGACUUGUCCAACUGCAGGAAAUAAGAAGUAAAAAAAAACCACAGAUGAGAAUAGUCAGCAAUACCUAGAAUUAGGCCCUUGCUCAGAAUAAAACAUCUUCUUCAUGCGAUCCACAAUGUUAAAAGCAAUCACAAUCUGAAAAUUUAGGAAUUGUCAGUGUGCUAGCUAUCCAUUCUCUGUAAAUUGUUGAACAGGCUAAAACACAUAUCUGUUCAAACUUAUACUGUAAUACCUUGACUUUGCUCAAAUAUAAAGACAGCUAGGAUGUUUGUUUGAGUAGAUUAUGACCUUAGAAGCGACAAAUUAAAGAGAACAAUAUCGAUGGUGGGUACUAAAAGAGAACCUUCUUUUCGGUUUCCAAAUAUUCCUCCUCUAGGGAUUUCUGUGGACUUGUCUUUUCAGAAAUUUCAUCAUCCGCUCCAUGUUCUAUUGACUCCUCCCUACAAGAUUUGGUCCAAAACACAAGUGCAAUACCAUCAGUUCUAUUAUUCUUGUAAGAAAAGGAAGAGUACAUGAAAGACAUUACAAAGAAAAAUUGAAUAACCUUGAAUUUAAGACUGCCAAAUUAUCCACAUAUGUGCGGAUCCGAUCAAUUGAUGGACUAAGAACGUCCUGCCCAAGACAAAAAGUUGCAUAUGAGAACUGAAUCAAAUAUACUCCAAAACUAUAAUGUCUUAACUAGAAACUCAAACAAGGGUUUUGAACAGCAUAUAUCCAACCACUGACCUUGAAAUUAGAAAGGUGACGUUUGGUCAACUUCAGGAAAUUGGUUGUGCAUCUCUCCAGUUCAUCACUGAACAAAAAGUAAAGCUGAAUCAAGUAAACUUAUUUUUUGGUCACAAUAUGCAGCACAACAGAAAUGGAUUAUGCAAUUUCUAAUUGUAGCUUUACAACAGGUUGAAAAAGAGUAAUAGGACAAAAGGGAGGCAAGUUGUUAAAGGCAUGUACGGUCACAAUCACUACAUACAUGGUUUUAUUUUCCUUCUGUUCAUUGUAUGAGGACUGAAGUUGCCAUGUAUCCUCAAGGAAAUUUACCCAAGUCUUGACUACACCAGCUUCCACGUUACAUGAGUCAAUAGAUUUUGAAAGUUCAUUCUCCUGAAUUGAUGCAGAAAACAAACAUCAAACUAGCAAUAUUUUGGAAACAAUAGUAAGCAUCAAUCUCAUCAAAUACAAAAGGAUCAAAACUGAAACUGGAUAAUCAGGAAAGCAUAGGCACCUUUGCUUGUAAACUAAAGACCAUCUGGUUGUUUGCCUCAUGAAAUUGGUCCCUCUCUUCCCUUGUCUGCUUGAGGCGGCCAACAGCAGCAUUCAGUGAAAUGUUAACCUGUUUGUAAUGAAACAUUGGAAACAAUAUCAAGAUCAAAAUUCUGUGUUUGGAUCCAAAUGGCAAAAGUUUUGGCAAAAGCUCAUUUAAACCUCUUUUCUCCCUCUCCUAUCCCCUUUCCCGCCACCUCUUUUCCGCCAUUUCAUACAGAGUGCAUAAAAUUGACAAUCCAAAAUUUAUACAGUCCAAACCAAAGUGCAUACAAUUAUUUAUCCAAAGUUCAUACAGUUCCAUACAAAGUACACAAAUUUGCACUUCUAAAGUUUAUCUACUGUACAAAGCAUUGGCCAUUUGAUCUCGAAAUUCAUUGAUGUUGCAAUCUUCAUCCAAUCGUCCUGUGUCCCGUGUACGUGUUUGUGACAUUGAUGCCUCAACUGGAACAUAGUGCUCAUCACGGUCGCAACGAUCAAAGUGUUCAUCCAUGAGCUUACUCUCUCUAAUAAAAUUAUGCAAUGCCAUGCAUGCUACAAUUAUUCGGGCUUGCUUUGCCGGUGGGUAGCUUGGCACUUUCAACAACAUCCUCCACUUCAUUUUUAAAACUCCAAAGGCCCUUUCCACGACAUUUCUAAGUGAAGAAUGAGCAAAAUUGAAGGUUUCUUUCGUACCUCUGGGCAUUGUGGAAUUACGAAACUCUGGUAGAUGGUAUUUUGUCCCCUUGUAAGAUGCAAGAUAACCUGCACGAUUUGGAUAUCCCGAAUCCACUAGGUAGUACUUCCCUACAAAAUUAAUUUUCUGUUAGUAAGAAAACCAACAAUAAAACAACACAUGUCAUGUACUUGUUGCACAGUUUGGUAUUAUACCUAGAGGUGGGUGUGGAAACCUUUCUUUGUACUUGUUGAUGGCAUCAUUGAACACUCUCAUGUCGUGCACUGAUCCCGGCCAUCCAGCAAGCACAAAUGUGAAUCUCAUGUCAAAGUCUACAACUGCAAGCACAUUUUGUGUUUUGUGCCCCUUUCGACAAAGAUAUUGAACCUUUUUAUCAUUUGGCACUACAACUUCCACAUGAGUUCCAUCAAUUGCCCCUGUACAAUCAUUGAAGUGUGGCCUGAAUUUCGGACAUUGCAACCGUCGGUGUAUUGUCUUGAAUUCUGAGUCCACUGGCCUAAUUAUAUCAGCAACUAGUUUGACAAGGCAUUUUAAAAUUUUUCCAAAGUUGUGGUGUACUGUCUCUAGUGACCUUUGCAGUCGAUUAUCUACUUGUCUGACUGACUGAGAUGCACCAACCAUCCAAAGGAACAUUCCUACGGCCUCUAUACUAUUACACUUUGAUGUUGACUUGAGGCCAUAAGAUUGCACUAACAGGUCAUGUAGUUUAUAAAACAUUGGUGGUGUCAUCCUAAACAAUUUGUAACAUUCAGUUUCAUCAGCUAAAUUCCUCAUCACCCACUCUUGACCACUUUCAGGGGGCUGUCCUCCUCUUAUUUUUGUGCAUAUAAGUGUCAUGAUACAUACCAAAAAAGAAGAUCGUCUCCAUCACUUGCUUCUCAUGCUCAGCGUCCUCCUGUAACAAGUUCAGCAGCUCUUCGUCACUUGAGUCCAACUGAGCAUCCAAUUCCUGUGAGACAACAAACAGUAAUGCAUUAGUAAACAAUUGAGACAAUGCUAUGUGAGACCUGAAAUUGUAAUGAACCAGUAAACAAAUGAGAUAAGGACAUAUGACACAACAAACAGUAAUGGGUCAUAAACAUAUGAGACAACGAUAUUGUUCAACACAAAUAGAACAGGCACACAAAUGUCCAGUGACACACAUGGUUUGCACACACAAUUAUUACAUCAAUAUGGUACACUAAUCUAGAUUUUUUUUCCUUGCAAUAUCUUCUCAGGAAUGCCACCCUUCCUUCUGAUGUCUCCAUGUUAAUGAAAAACUUCAUUAGUGCCUCAUCUUUGCAGAUAUGGGAGACUGCAUAAAACUCUGGACUACUUUCAUCUAACCCAGCUUGUUUUGCCAACUGUUGUGCUUUUUUAAUUGCAUCUUCCAACUUCGCCUCAGCAUUUUCUUGUUUGCUCCCAAGUUUCUUCAAAAAUAGAUUCCUUUCAGCUGAUUGCCUAGCAGACAUGUGAAGGUAUUGCUUCAUCACCUUCAACAUAGGGCUCUUGCUCUUCUUGAUAGGACUAUCUGCAGUAGACCUAGUGCUUGUACUGCUAGCCCGUUUAUGCCCGCUGGAACUCAUAGGGCUGUUUUCAGUUCCUUGAAGCUCCUCUUCCUCUUCCUCAUAUCCCUGUGCCUCAUCUUCAUAAAGCGCCUCAUCCUCUUCUUGGCCAGGAACAAAUGCACUCGAUCCAUCAACAGCUACAUCAUGGAAACAGUGCUCUAGCAAAUCAAAAUGUUCUGGAGGUCCCCACUUCAGUUUCUUGAAUUCUGGACAUCCCUGAGAAAAAAAGAACACCACACAAUUAGAAUGGCUAAGUAAAAUUCAAUUAUGCACAAUUGAAAUGCAAGGACAAUUACCUUUGUUUUUGUAUCCCACCAGUCUUUGCUUGCAGUAGGCCAUCCUUGGUCAUCACGGCCUAAACCACUGUUAGUGUGCAUAUCUUUUAUGAACCCAUACAUCUGCUUUAGAGUCCUAAUUCGCCCACUGAGCUGCUUCGUGUCAUGCAUUAAGCCUGUUGCGCAAUGGUACUUUGCACAAAGCUGCCUGUACCCCUCUCUAGACAUGAUUCCUUUGUUGUAAUUACCCAACCCUAUUUGCUCAGAGAGGAGUUGAAGCAACACAGUAUUAUUGUGACUCGACCAAUUUGCCUUGUCAAUUUUCUUUGCAACAGAUUUUUUUUCUUUUGUCAAUCUACAACAAUAUGCAUGACGAGGACAUGGCGUGCAUAUAUAACAUAGAAAAGAACAAUAAGAACACAGUAUUAAUAAGAACACAAUAAGAACAAACCAUCACGAUACCUGAACGAUCUCCUGCACGUCCUCUGCAUCCUCCAGCUCGGUCCCGUCGCUGGUCCCGUACCGAGGACUAGAAGGAUCACCGGGAGCAACCGAGGCAGGUGCCAACCCACCACCUCGGCCGCGGCUGGAUGACAGACCUGGACCGCGUGGUUUGCGAAGGCCAACUGUGCGGAUCGGGCCUCCUGUGCCACGGGGCGGUGGAGGGGAACGAACGGGCCUCUUGCGGCCGUCGCUUCCGAUCCCGCCGUCAGACUGCACCAGGCUUUGGUACCUCGCCGGGUAGGGCCACCCUUCCGGCUGCGAGUUGAGGGCGAGACCUUCCAUGCCCAGACGAGAGACCGGCGUCCGGGCCGCGUCGUCGGAGUAGAAAUCAAAUCCCUCGUCAGGGGAGUACAGUUCGGGCUGGGAGAAGACAUCCCGGGUCCCGUCAACCCCAAAUCCGGCCAUCUGCGGUCCUGCUUUUGGGGUCGUUGGAGGCAGAGGCCGAGGAGAUGCGCCGGUGGCGGUGGACUCGGCCAGUGAGGACGUGGGCGCGGUCUCAGAUCUGCAUAAUGAAAUAAUUAAGAUGUCUACCUUCAUCUGACAGAAUAGGAUAACAAAAAAUAAAAAAUGCAAUUGAUAAAUUCACAAAGGCAUGGCAGAAAAGCAUGUAGAACAGAAAUAUAAAAAUUCACUACUGCAAGAAAACACAAACAGCCAAACAAUGAUGAGAAAAUAAACUGAAUUUUAGUAUGCUAACUCCCUUUCUCCUAACAUAGAAAAACAUAUCGGAUUCUGGUGCUUGAAAUUGACUUUUGCGAAUCCAAUUGAUACUGCUUUGUACCAUGAACACACAAGCAUGACAUCUUAGAAUUUAUCUCACUUGCUAAGCAUUUUGACACAAUCAUCCAUUCAUUUAGCCAUCAGAGCUACAUUGUCCAUCUAUUGUUGCUCACCGCUCCCUAGAAAAUAAAUGUCACUCACAUAACAAGACAGAAGAAUGUUGUUAACUCGGUACGUGGUCAGAUACAGCUAGAAGGAUGCAGGGUACAUUUGCAAAUGUUGAAACUCACAAAACUAAAUCAUAAUAUAGUCAUAGUAUAUAUCCUAAAAGGCGUGCACCCCAUGCUACAUCAUCCAAGAUGGAAAUUAGACAAUGAAACAAAAUAACGCAAGCAAACAAAUAUAGGUAGGCAAACUGAAGAAGCAGACAAGCAAUCAACAGACCGCAAGGAAAUGGGGGCAAUCAUUGCAACAAACAAAAAGGAAAGGAAAACCUACUCAUAACUGCUUAUCCACAGCAUGACAAACAAGCUAGCUAGCUGCAGCUGAAACUUGGCACAAUACCUCAUCGCUACUACAUAUUUUCAUGAACUUGACUAGGACCCCUGACAGUGCAUCACAGGUAAACUGAACUAAGAACUGAAAGUCUGAAAGCACCCAUUCUCUAUUAAGACGUAGUUCAUGGAACGAAGCAAAGCCCAAAAUUCAGUGAGACUGUGCACCGGGCAGAUAUAAUCAUACUAAUGCUCAGAAACAAUGGAGAAGAACAAACAAAUCUGCCAAUUCGAAAAUAUCACCAAUUCACCACAAGGAACAGUUCCACCCGUUGACAGAACAAAAUCACAUGACUUAGGGAAUUUCAAGCGGACAGAGGACAAAUUUGACCGCACGCGCGGAUUUGACAACGAACUGGAGCAGCCCCGGAACCCAGGAAUGGGGGGCCAGAAUUAGGGGAACUGAAGCAGAGAGAAGGCGCUGCCCUGCGCUCGCAGCCCCGGAACCGCCCCCAAGAUCCGCACCUACCCGUCCCUACGAGGGGGCCGGCGAAGAAACACCACGGAAUCGCAACACGAAACGAAACGGGGGAUUGGAAUUAAUAAAGCUUGGAGAAACCGCGGGGCUGUGCACCAACCUGGGGCCGCGGCCGCGGGUAGCUUGCCGGGGCAAGAAAGAGGAGGGGUUUCCCGUUUCGCAGCGAAAUUCGGCUCGAAUCUCCCACCGAAUCCGCUGUGCUCCCUCGUCUGGGGGAGACGGAGGGAGGAGCUAGUAACUGACACGAAAUGGCAAGGGGAAGAAAUUUAAAAUGCUUGUGGCUGGUCCUCGGCGCAGGUGUGCCUUAUGGUUUUGGUGCGGUGGGCGGAGGUCGGGCGGCGGGCGGCGGGGGCGGAGGCCGAGGCGCGGGGUCGGGCGGCGGGGGCGGAGGCAGAGGCGCGGGGUCGGGCGGCGGGCGGCGGAGGCCGAGGCGCGGGGUCGGGCGGCGGAGGUCGGGCGGCGGGCGGCGGGGGGGGAGGCCGGGGCGCGGGGUCGGGCGGCGGGGGCGGAGGCCGAGGCGCGGGGUCGGGCGGCGGGGUCGGGAUGCGGGAUCUGGCGGUUGCUGUUUCCCUUUUGGUCUUUUGCUACCUGGUGUUGCUCUUUCCUUUUUGACACAAGGUGUUUGGGUCCUAAUGGAAAAAAAAGAGCAAAUUUUUUCCCUUUUGCCCUUUUGCCAAAGGAUCCAAACAGGCCCUAAACAGCAAUCCAAAUCAUCCUCACUGGAAAACGAAACAAAUCACUUCGGCUCCACACGCGGAAGGAAAAGAGGGGAAGGGAAGAUGAUGCGUCAGGAGAGCUUACACAGCACGAUGCGCGCGCUUGAUUGCAGCUCUGACGAUCUUCCUGCCCGACCGCGCUCGCUGUCCCCGCCGGCGCUCCCUCUCCUUGCGCACGCCGCCUUCAUCAUCCGCAUUCCCCUCCUCGAUUUCCUUCUCCACACGAGACCCGCUCGGUAGCGUCUCGGAAUCAACCGCAGGCUCGCUGCAGGAAUGAUUGCAGACCACGUUAAUCUUCUCCUCGUCACGGUGCUACCAAUUAAACUGCACAUGAGUCGUGAGGGGCAUAUAUGGCUUGGUGUCAAAAUUACACUAGCGUUCUGAACUAAACGGAAGUCCAAAACCAAAUCAUCCUCACUGGAAAACGACACGAAUCACUUUGUGGCGGCUCCACACGUGGAUGGAGAUCGAAGAGAGGAGGGGGAGGGGGAGGAGAGGCGUCUGGAGACUGGAGGGCUUGCUUACGCGGCACGACGCGCGCGCUUGACUGCUUCGCCGGCGGGCUCGCUGUCCCCGCUGUCGCUUCCUUCCCUUGCGCGCGCCUCCUUCCGCCGAAACGGCGGCGGCCCCCCUUCCGGGCGCGCCGGGAGCCGGUGCCCUACCAUCACGAGGCCGCCCGCGGAGCCAAGACGAGGUGGAGACCUGACUCCUCCUCCCUCAACACGUCCCCAGGUGAUUUUGGUGCGAGAUCUGCGGCCUGUGGGCUUGGCGGACUUGAAGAAGCACGGACGGCGAGGAGCCGACGAGCGAGGGGCCGGUCUUAAUGGGCCCUGCUCGGGGCAAACUCCCUAACGUUCUGGGCCCUCCUGGCCCACGCCGGCAAGUUAAGCUGGAGGGAAGGGCCGCAGCGGAACACGGAGAACUAUACAUCUUCCGGGAGUUGUUUUCUUCGGUACCUUCCACUGUUGGAGAUUGGUGCAGGCAACAUCGACGCCUGUGUCCCACAAAACAAAUAGAAAACUAUCAAUCCUACAUUCCUUGUCAUGUGAAUAAAAAACCUCCGCUCCUGCGCAUGUGCGCUGUGGGGGAAGGGAAGGAACAGCCCCCGCCAGCCUUUGAGAGCGGAAAUCGACUAGUGGGCCGUCGUGGACUUAAGAUGGGCCGCUUGUUGGGUUUAAAGCUUUGGCACUCUUUAACGGACCAAUGUUACCAUCUCCGAUUUGAGCUACUCUGCACGCAGGCCAAUGCACACCACCACCACACGUAGGAAGAAUUCACAAUGCAGAGGCCGACAACUACUCGUAAGCGCAACACAAUGUCAGCAGCAUAGCAGUUCUCCCCCAGAACGAAAGUAGCAUGAAGCAUGAAAACAGGGCUAAUACUGCAGCAACAACACAUAUACCACCCCACGAACAAUAUACUGCUUAUUAUUCCUCCGACUGAAAGAGAAAAAAAGAAAAAGGUCCCAAACAAAUCAAUCCUCACCACUGAAUUCAAAAAAGAAAGAGGAGAGACAUUAUUAUCCCCACCAGAUGAAUUAAUACUGCGUGAUCUACAUUACCACACACCACAUGACACACCUACAGGAGGCAUAACAGCAGUCUCGCCGAGGCCACGGUCGAGGCAAUCAUCUCUGGCUGGGCUCAACAGUGCGCACGUUGGCGCUGCUCAUUCCUUCAAGCCUGUCCUUCAUUAUAUCUACAAAGUGACCAACCAUUUCAUGGAACUGCUUCAGACCAGAGAGCGGUAAGAUUAUCGAUGAACGGUCAUUUCCAGCCACCUAUUAUAAGUACAAGCAGUGAGAGCAAUUCAUUAGUCAGGUAAGGGGGCAGAACUGUCACAGGGUUAUGUAAUGAGAAACAACAUGAUACCUCAGAUAUCCUCAAAUAGUGGCCCCUGUUAUUGCUACCCAGGUCGAAGAAGAACCUCUUCUGAUCUGCCCUAAUCACCUUAGACAUUCCCAUGCCGCUAAUUUCUUCCUGAGGAGGCAGAUCAACCAAGCGUUCAACAUCUACCUCAGGCCCAGACGCAGACUGGCUACCAUGUCCAGCUAUAAAUCCGGCACCCACAUCAUCAGAAAGGCCGGGAAGGCGUUCUGGUGGUUCCAUGUGUUGCUGGCCAAUCCGAAGUCAGAAGAACACAAUAAUGGCGUUAUUAGAGGCUAGAUAGACUUAAUAAAUAUGCCACAAACUGUUCGCUUCAUUAGCGGUACCUGAUUUGGAUGAUUUGGUAGGACAUACAGUCGAGAAGCCUCGUUAUUUAUUUCCAAUAGCACAUUCCUGAAUGCUUCCCAACCUUCUUCACCAGAGCUGCCAGCCGGAACUAUUAUUGUACUACGAUUUCUGUUGACAGAGGCCUCUGAAACCUAAAUACAAAAUGCUGUUUCAUCAGCAGGUAAAUAUUGUAGUUAUGUCACACAUAUUUACACUACACAAUUACUUUAGAAGCAUGUGGUAGAUCAAAAGUGUCAUUACUUGCAAACACGAAACAAAGAUAAACGGUACUGUACUCCAACUAUCUGCAAGAUCAUAAUCUUGUAUCGUUUAUAUCCAUGUGGUCUGUUUUGCAACUUCACAAAUGCCAGAAAGUUGUAUACAGUUUCAGGAAUGCACCAAAAGUGUGCGAUAGCUGAAUAGCACUGAGGAUUGAGGUGGUUCAAGAUCACUACAUAUAUUAUUCAAGAAGAUUAAGCAAAAGAAGUUUUUUUUGAGAUUACUGUAGACAAUACGCCUGCUCAAAAUCGUUUAUAUUCCUCACAAAAAAAAACAUUCAAGACAAUAAGAAAAGCUUGAGAAAUUAAACAAGCAAUGUGAUAUGUUCAGCAACAGAAAACCCACCAGCAAUAAAGUAGCAUACAAUAUUUUAUCAGAUAACACCUGUCACAAUCUGAAGCCGCUAUCUGAAGAUGAAAGACUUUUUAUGCUAAGAACAUGCAUCGACCAUUGUCUUGAGAUUUAUAAGCCAUACAAGUUUCAGAUGGAGAUUUAAGUCUAUACUGUUUAUGUGCACAAUCUAUUAGGUCUCUUCUGCAAAUUUACCCUUUUAUGUUGUUUUCAGGUUUUGGUGUCAAUCUGAAACUAUGAACAGAUAGCUUCAGUUUCAGAAAUACACUGUUCCAAUUGACCAUCAUAAUUAGAUACAAGCAUUCAAUGUUCUAACUCAAAAUUUCAGAUAAACAUCAAGAAAAAUAACCUGCAAGGUUCUGUAAAAGACAAGUAACCUGUGAAACAAAUAAAUUGCCUGAUCUAUUGAUAUGUGCACAUUAAGAUUGGGUAUUGGCAUAUUGCCCCACACCCCACCAGUACACACAUUUACCAAUCAAACUUCCACCUUUUACUUUUUCUUUGGAACUACAAGUGCUACAACAGGCUAAAAUCAACAAAAGAAAAAAUCUGAAAAGCAAUUCAUGAUUCCAUAAGGCGAUUGUUUUUAUAAAACAAUAUAAUAUCACUGAUCAUAAAAGAGUUCCAUUGUAAACAAAAAGAUAGCCAAAUCAAUGUAACAGCGGCACAUAAGCAAGUAGAAUUCUCCACAUAACUCGAAGGCAACUGUCAAGUAGUCAAUGAGUAUCUUCAGUGAACAGUCGAAUAACAUAACUGCAAAACAUCUUGUUAUUGAAUGUACUAAUCAUUGAUUUGGCUAUCUUUUUAUUUACAAUGGAACUCUUUUAUGAAUGUACUAAUCAUUGGUGAACCUAUAGCACCAUAUCAACAGCUUCUACUCCCUCUGGAGAGAAACUGACAUUUUCUUACUUUCCACGGUCUUUGAUGUGUGACUUAGACAGCUGUUUUCUAUUUAAUUUUACGAGACUAUGAAAGUAAUUUUCAAGAUAGAUCAACAUAUGAAAGCUAAAUAUUUUAACAGUUCUUGACAUAAAAGCUUCAAAAGUUUGACCAGAUCUUGUCCAAAACAUAUUUUAGUAUCUGUGACCAGAAGGGAGUAUACCAUUAAAGGCCAACAUGAGAUGGUACUUUGCUCAGUGACACCAGAUUCUAAAAUAACUGGCAGUAACAAGCAGUACAAGUGAAAUUGCCAAAAUAGGAGAAACCAAAACCUGUGAAUGGCACAGCACCAAAGAGGAAAGUCCCAUCUUGAUCAUCCAUCUUUGGUCUGUGGCCCUGUAGGACCUUUUCAAAGCUUGAAGUAACCCACAAACACAUCUUUUUAGGACUACACAUUGACUUCAAGACUUGGUCAAAAAAGACUGACCGUGCAACUGACAAGUGGGUCUAUGCUACACACAUCGAUGACAAAACUUAGUAGACUCAUCCAUUAUUAAUGAGCAGUACGAAAAGCUGAGGAUCAAAUGACUAGGAAAACAAUUAUAGAACUUUUUCACUUGCUAAUCCAGUUCUAGUAUGAAAAAUUAUCCCAUUCCAGCCAAUUUGGCAAUUUCACCGCACCAAACACACAAAAAGGUUACAGAAUUUGAUAUUGCACACGUAAUCAUACAGAGAACGUUACGUCACCUUGAGGAAUCGGCCUCUCUUGUUCUCCCCGAUAUCGAAAUAGAACACCUGCACCGCGCAACUGACAGAAUUUAGAGCACGCCAAAAUUGGCAGCAGCGCCAACAGAAUCAGCGGCAAAACCGGGCGAAUCGCGGAGAGAGCGGGGCCAAUACCUUGGUCUGGAGCCGCAGCUCCUUGCUGAAGGCGUCGCGCUCGUCGGUGCGGAUGUAGUAGUCGAAGAGGUCGAGGAACCAGGCGACGCCGUCGACGGGGACGAUGAUGGUGGAGCGCGUGGCCGAGGUCUUCUCGGAGAUCUUGAGAUACCUCCCCCGCGGGUUCUCCUUCAGAUCGAAGUAGAACAGCUUGUGCUCGAACUGCAGCGUCUUGCUGACGAGCUCCACGUCGCCGCCCCCGCCCCCGCCCCCGCCGCCGCCGCCGGGGCCGACCCCGCCGCCCAGCAUGACCCCUCCCCCGACUCCGCCGGCGCCGCCUCCGCCACCGCCGCCGUCCAUGGCCGCCGCAAGGGUAGGGUUUUGGGGGAACUUGGAGGUCGCGAUUAGGGUUUGGGUUUAAACGGAGGAAGCUCGAGUGGAAGGAGGGGGAUGUGAGGUUGGGAAUUGGGAUAGAUCUCGAGGGCGGGUUUACCCCGGAAACGGUGGGCGACUCGGUUUCGUUCGCAUCGAACAGCUGACGUGUAGGCCAUGGUUUCGGUGGAGCCCGCGGGUCAGUGGGCGGGGUGCACUCUUGGUGGGCGGGACGGGUCGGGUCGCGGCGCCCGUGUGUGCGUGCUGUACCUGCGGAUGCUGACCUGACCGCGCGCCCGUGGCGUGCCGACCCGCGAUUGGCCGCCGCUCUCACUGACAAGAUUGGACUGGCCGGCCGUGUAAGGUUCCGGCACUUUUUAUUCCCCAUUUGGGUGGGUUCUCCCGUUUGGGCAGAGAGGCAGUCUCAAGAUCAGCUCGUGUGAAAGCCAGCAUAGCUCUGUAUGGAAACUUACUACUAGUCUCAUCAAUGGAACUCUAGUGGAUAGGAACUCGAGGAUGGUAGAAGGGGUGUAUCUCGUUGCAUGUGUAUGGUCCAACCUGUCGUCUCUUGGAAUGUAGGACUAGUGUGUUUUUUUGUUUGGUUGUCUAUAUGAAAUAUUAGGUCUAGUAGUGCCUCACUAGAACUUUGAUUUAUUUUUCCUCUUUAGCAUUAAUGAUGUUAUUAAUGUGUAUUGGACAAUGCCAUGUAUUACUUCAAAGUAGGUUAAAUAUGGUAAAGGGUUAUUGGAGUAUAGUUAGUGAAAAAAGGUAAAGUUUGUUGUAGCACUACCUUUUUUACUUUUUCGUUGUCUCAUGCAAUAAAUUAAACACAAUCUCUUUCUUGGCUAGCUUAAAUAAUGGCAUCUAUUUAUUGGCUAGUUUGAUAGUUUAAAUAGAUACAGACAAAAAAUGACAUUAUGUCAACAUACCUCAUGGCUCAAUGAUAUAGUUAGGGGAGGUGAGAAACCAAACAAAUAUACUAUAAAUAUAGGUAUAUUUAUUUCCUGAGAGCUAUCAUGAAAACUACCACAAGGAACUUAUCUUGCGAGCAAAUAUGUGCUUUUUUACUACAAAUGUUGUAAAGAAUGUGUCUAUCACCAGGUGCGAGAAGGUGUUGGUGAGUUAACGAGACAUUUCUCACAUAUAUUAUAGUCAACACACCUUAUAAUCAUAGGCUGGCUAAUUUAUCAUGACAUUCAAUUGACAACCAAUCUCAAUCAAUGAUGGCUAGGCGGAGGAGGAGGAGGACAAUGAUAUAGUAUGCGAGUUAUGUGGUCAACCAUGGGAUGGGGUAGACCAGCAAUGUGCUAUUGUUGAGGCAUAGGAGCUCUUGAUUGGAGUGGUAAGUGAUAAAGAUGUGGUAACGACAGAUUUGACAUCAAGGUGCCACCGUUGGAGAUGGCCAAAUGUGAGAAGAGCAAGGAAGCAUGACACCGGGCUUUCCAGAUUGUGCAGAUUAGCCAUUUCACUUCGGAACUAUUUUGGUGAGAGACAGAGAAUGCAACAAAUGAGGUAGUUAUAGAGGUUGAAUAAGGUGUUUCGUACGGAUGUGCGAGUGAAGAAUUGCUUGUAUUUUUCAUGCAUCCGCUGAAUAACAAGGCAUAUAUAUCUUCAUUUCUCAUUUCCUUGGACUUUGCUGACACAUGCAUAAAGAUGGGAUAUAUGAAUGCAGGGACAAUAUUGUUGCCUCACUUAAGUGGUGCUCAUUCCUGCAGCCUUCAUCCUACUCUCUGGCCUCACUUUAUGCGACUUGCCAAAAUUUGCACACCGUAGAAAUUGUGAAGACAGUGAACAUCCCAACAAGCAAGUACACUGCCACCUACGUCGAAUUGCCACGCUGCAUAUCCAAGUUGCAAGCUUUCAAUUUUGGUUUAAAGGCUUAAAAAUUUUAAUUUCAAGUUGAGUAUUCAAGUUUGUAGCUUGAACAUGUUAGAAGUUUAUAAAACUCAAUUAGAUGUGCUAUAUAUGUUCACUAAAAAAACUAUAGUUACAGGUGAAAACAAAUUUUAUAGCAUGGUUGUAUGCUAUUCAACAAUUGGUUAACAACUUUGACCAAAUCUGUAAGAAAAUACAGUGACAUAUGCAAACCAAAUAAAUGCACUAUAAAAAUAUAUGUCAUGGUGAAUUUAUAAAACUAAUUUGAUGUUGCAGGUAUUAGUAUAUUUUUCUAUUAACUCGGUCAAAACUAGAGAAGUUUGGACAACUAAGGGCCUGUUUGCAUUGGAGGAGCUAAAGUUGAGCGCUAAACUUUAGCGUAUAUUAGCACUCAUAUACAUACUAAAGUUUUUAAGUAGCACUUCUUUUUGGAUAGACUAAUGCUGAAUUUUAGCACUUUGACCCAUUACCCCUUGGAUCCAAAUAGGGUCUAAAACCACCUGUACAUCUUAGACGGAUGGAGCAGAUACUCUGUACGAGGGGUACAGGGUUCAGAAGGAAAAGGUAUGGACGUAUGGUCUUGUUGGCCGCUCUCUCAUGCUUUGCCUUGUGACUCCAAUUGUACCGUGUAUGUACUCCGCGCACUCCUGUGACUGACGGGCCGAUCGAGCGACCGUGUCAUGUUUGCUUGCUCUCAUGCAUGUGACCGCAAUUGGUGCGCCACCACCGCCCCUACCACGCACAUUGACUAGACCCAUGCUCCGCUUCACGCGCCGCGCCCAUCCCUUCGCCUUUAACGGCAUCACGAGCGCGCGAGCCGCCGCCGCCGUGCACGUCGCUAUCCAUCAGCCGCGCCGCGCGCGCAACGUAUACGUUCACGCGUGCAUACGUAUAUACACUUCUCGCCGAUCGACCGGGCCGUCACAUCAUCGGAGAGCACCACCGGCCGGCAGGUGUGAGCUCGUGCUCGAUCGCUACUCGCGCCCGCCCGCCUCGAUCGGUAGGUCAGGCCACGAUGAUGCGCCGUCGCGGCCUCCGAAGCUUCUGCCACGGCGUCGCCUCCACGUCCACGGUGCAGCAGCUCCACGGAAAGGAGCAGCUGGCCGGCGCCGCGGGCGCGGGCGCGGACGCUGCGUCCUCGUCCUUCCUCACCGUGCCGCCGUCGGUGGUCGGCUCGUGCGUGGCCGAGACCGAGGUGAGCGGCACGGGCACCGGUGGUGGCGCGGGCGGUGGAGGAGGACCGGCGGUCACGCUGGAGGAGAUGAUCCUGCAGCUGGACCUGGAGGAGGAGGCGGCGAGGAAGGCGCGGCGAGCGGCGGCGGCGGCGGGGUACGGCGGGGAGGAGGAGGGGUGGUGCCCGCGGCGGAUGUCGUGCGUGGACGGCGGGGGCGGCGGCGGCCCGGCGGACCACGUGCUCCGGUCGGCGCGGGACGCGCUGAGCCAGUACCCGCGCUUCUCGCUCGACGGGCGGGACGCCAUGUACCGCGCGUCGUUCAGUGGGUUCUACGAGGGCAUGGGCCGCGGCGCCAGCGCCGCCGGAAACUACAGCCGGCCGCGGGCGUCGGCGUGCUGCGCCGCCGGCGCGGGGUGCGCGGCGCUCGCGUGCGGCGCGGGGGGAUACGAGAUGGACCUGGAGCGGACGCUGCGGAUGCCGGCCACGGUCGCCGGGGAGAGCGUCGUGUGGUGCAAGCCCGGCGUGGUGGCCAAGCUCAUGGGGCUGGAGGCCGUGCCCGUGCCGAUCAGGGGAGGGCUCCGGCGGAGGAAGGCGAGCGGGCAUCCGGCCGCGACGUGCGGCGGCGGCGGCGGCGUCAGGAAGCAGAGGCUGAGGAGGACGGUGCAGGAGGAGCUGGCCUUGAACAAGGAGAAGCUCUUCAUGGCGCUGCAUGGCUACGACGUCGCCGGGGCGGGCGCGCGACACACGCUGGCACCCUCCGGUCCGGCGCGGGACCCGAUGUCAGUGGCAUGGGCAACGACGGCCAUGGAUGGGAGUUCCGGCUUCGCCGUUGACGGGUGACUGGUUGAGGAUGCAGAAUACGUGGCUGCUAGCACAUAAACUGGUGUCGAACUGGUUUCCACAAGAAAAAACAGGGUCGAACUUUGGUUACAACUAAUAUAUGUUUAUACAGUUUUCUCACAUGAAUAAAUCUUCUUGUAGUAUUGCCCAUAUAUCUUGGAGUAUUUCGCGUAGAUUUUGCAGAAAAUGUUGUAUAAGCUAAGAUAUGUAGGUUUCUUUUUCCGUUUAGAGCUUUUUAAAAAAAGAGAGAGAGAGGAAAUGUUGGAGGUAAAGUUUAAAUGCUAAAGUGGACAUCUAAGUGCUCUUAUUUUUCAGUCUGUUACCAUGUUCAACGCUCUUUUUUUUUUUGAAACAACAGUCAUGUUAGGGGUCAACUAAAAGUUGAGUCAUUGAAAUUCGGAUCGUUGAAGAGAAAGAGAGACUGAACUUUAAAAAGUUGAAACCCUCAACUAAGAGAAUGAACUUCCAAUUGCAGUAUACUUCAAACAGUUUGGCAGGGCAAAUUUUGGGUUUCAGCAACAGGGAACUGUUGACACAGACCGUCAGGAUUGUUAACACGAUCAGAGGCUUGGGCAUAUGUGAUUUUGGUUAGAGUCUGUUUGGAUCUAAGGACUAAUUUUUAGUCCUUAAAUUGGCACGGACUAAUUAGAACUAAAUAUGGAUUAAUUGCUAAUGUAAUUAUAUUGAUUAUGGCUAAUUUGUAGUUAGAAUCCAAUCAUCCAUUAGCCUUGAUUAGUUCGGAAUUAGUUCAUAUUUAGUCUAUUAUCAAACAUCGGGCUAAAUUUUAGUUCUCUUAUUUUAGUCCAUUAAACCAGGUCUUAGUCCCACAAUGAUGGUAGGAGGAUGGCAAUGGCAGAGGUACAUGCUUAACGAGUGCUGUGUUGAGAAUCAACCAAAUUUAAUCUUUCGAAAAACAAAGAAUCAACCGAAUCCGGAGAAGAUGAAAUGGUCCCAUUGAAGUGGAGAAAAGAUUUUAAGUUCAAAGUUACAAGACUUCACUGUCCAUGAUAGGGGAUCCAACAGAGAGCAGGGUGCUGCCCAAGACUCCCAAGUGUCCAUGUAUUAGUGCUUUCGCUUUCUAGUGUUUUAUAAGUUAUAUCCGUCUAUCGUAUAGGUUCAAUUAUAGAUAUCUAAACUUGCUUAACUGUUGUGUGAUUGUGGCAGAUACGUCCAUUAUAGUGUCACAUGGAAACCAUGAUGGGCUAUUACAAAUCGAUGGAUUUGCACGCUACUUCUACCCAAAGUGCCACUUAGUGUGCUAUUGAUAAUUAACUUUGGUAUGUGCAGAAAAAAAUAAUCUCAACAGCCAAACUUUAAAUCAACUAAUGAUCAGCAUAUAUUUGAGGUGGUUGCCACAAAAAGAAGCUGGUCAGUGGAGAUGAGCUUUCUAUCAGCUUGUCGGUGACAAAGCAUUUCAAACACACUAUCUAUCUCGCGUAUCCGUUUUCGACGGCUCGUUAUAUUGGUGAAAAGGGCAUAAAGAAGCAAAAAUUCUCCACUGCAAGGGCCAAGGUGGAGUAAACUGGGAAACAUAGGGAGUACUCUUCAAUUGCCCGGAACUGGCCGGUUUCCGGUUUGUAUUCAUGUAUGGGAGGGAUCAGUUGAUGUAGGACAUUUUUGUGUUUAAAUAAAGCAAAUGCUUUGACACAAUUUUCUUCAUUCACAUUAAAUAGAGUUCACCUCUUCAUCUUCCACUUUCUUCAUGUUAGUUAGUCUCAAACAAAGAGAUAUUCCAUACACCCCCCUAACAAAAUAAGGGCAUCCACACUUCCACAAGGCUCCAUAGAAAUGGGCUAUAUUCCACCUCAUAUGUUCAAGGAUGUAGAGAAGGCAGAGAGUGGACAGCGCAAGGUGUUGUAUCUUGCAUGAUCUAAUUAAUUAAAACAUGAUAUCAUUUCCAGCUGAUACAAGUUAGUAUGGCAUCUCGAGUGACGGUUUCACCUUUGACCUCAAAGCAUUUCAUAAAGAUGAUUUACCGUAGAAAUUCAUUUCAACACCUAAAAAACCCAUUUUAACUUUUUCUCAUUGUUAAGUCCCUCCUUUACGGUGUAACUUAUUCCCCAUUCCUUCAGUUGCAAUCAACAUGUUAGUACCUUUUUUUUUUAAGAAUGUUCAUGUCUUUACACUCACCUGAACUCCUGAGGGCUCAAACGUGCUUGCCAGCGAGAGACAGGGAAAGCAGCAAGAUUCCAGGCCACGCAUAGCAUAGUAGGGGGACUAGUGCACUCAUGAUCAUACGAUUCCUGUGGCCCAUCCAGAGCUUGUAUCUUAUCUCCCAAGAUCUAAAAAGGGAUCCGUCGCUAUCACCUUUCUGUGCAAAGAAAACAAGUGAAAAAUUUUAAGAGUUGAAGUUAUACCAAUAACCAUAGGUGAUUCUGAUCAUUUUUGCAUUCCUGUGUUUUGUUGGGCAGCAAAGUGUAUAUGAAGAUACCGUCCCUUGCAUUGGUGAAUAAGGCAUAUAAGGAUAGAGACAGGCCAGAUCACUCCAAAGGAUUAAUGGGCCCCCGAAUUAUUUGUCCACGGUUGGUCACUGGCUCACCGGUGAAACAGGCCAGAUCACUGGAAGAAGUUUUACAUCCUUUCAAAACAUAAAGAAAAAAGAGUUGUUUUAUGUCCUUGCUUAAUUUGACUCAGUAGAAGAAAUUUUAUAUGUCCUUGCUUGUCCUACUUGCACACAGAAGAAAUUCUUGCAAGACAACCUUAGAAUUCAGCUCUGCCCUGGAAGUUUCAAUCCAUGAAAGCCACACUUACCUUAAUGUACAAGUACUGCACAGUUUAUCUGUAAAAUCUGCAGUGUUUUCUAGUGACCACUUAUCACUUAACUGGGGUAUCCCAAAAGCAUUAAAAAAACUAUUGCACUUCCAAAACAGAUAAGCAAUGCCAUGGAAUUUUACAUGCAGCAUGUAUCAUGGACGUACCUGGUCAAUGGUACGGUCAUCUGCAGCAGCUAUGCCGCUGGGGGCAUCUUUUGAAGGGACCAAUCAAUACCUCAUCACAGACUCACAGUAGUCAGUACUUCCUGCUGACUGAUCUGCUUGCCAAUACAACCACAGAAAAUGACGGGCACAGUGCUGCUACUACCAGGACGCCAUUGAAAAAUAGCAUGACGACAAGCUGAAUCAGAAUCCAACAUCUUCACGCACAACCCCACCUGUUGCUUCUCUGAAAAGUUCAGCAUGGCACAUGGUUGGUGAGCUUUCCGAUGACAGCAGAACGGGAAUGAUUUCACUUGCCAAACAUACAUCCACCCAUUAAACAUUGUCGCCAUAUGGCACGGAAUACAAUCUCUCAUGGGCUCAGUUAUACUUAAUCUCUCUCUCAUCAUCAUCGUUAUCUCUCUCUGAUACAAACAUAGAGAGAGAAGUGGCUACUGUCCUGUCGUGGCACUGACUGAAUUUGAGCUCCCUUGACCACAGAAUCCCAUGUAUGGGCACAUGCUUCUUUCGUCAGCUUCCUUCGCUCUGUAUCUUUAACAUAGCUGAAACUGCAAGCUCCAUGACCAGUUCUUCCAUGUCCUCUAGCUAUUCUGCAGCUGAAGGAGAGAAGCCAUGAGGGUAGCAGCCAUGGUGGACUGUACUGUGGAGGGUCGAGGCUCCAAAUCUGAAACCAACAAGAGGUAAUAGCGUACUUGCAUACUUUGAUGUUCAAUUGCUCUCAGCCCCCCACUGUGUCUUCUUUGAUGGGGACAUGGUGAUGGAUAUGAGGCACAGAAUCCUCUGUCUUGAAGGUGAAAGGAGCUAGUCGAGAUGUUGCGAGCUUCCUUCUCUUCCAAAGCUCCAAGCCUUAUUCCACACUUGAACUGCUUCGCAAGGAGAAGCGAUGGAUCCUUCCUUUAUCUUGCUUCAUGAUCGUUUCCGCAUUAUCUAGCCUUGGAAAUGCAGGUAAUUGGAGGCCUUGAAGUAGAACUGACCUUUUCUUAAUAGGUGAUAGGGACCCGGGAACUCCAAGCUGGUCUUAUAAGCAAUGUAUGGGGCUACGGGCUCUCCAGAGGCAACUCCCACAUCCAACAUUCCCCUUCAUCUUGGGCUCAGCAGACAUUUGACCAAGCAUGGAAGUGCAGGUACGAGCUACAAAUACCUCCUUCUAUAGAUAUUUUCUUUUGAUUUCUGCUCCUUCCGCUGUCUUCGAGUCUGACUGAAGCAAAAAAACGUGGUCAGAAAAUUGAUUGAAAAAUCAUAGCAAAAGUCUUCGAUGACAGCUAGACAUAGUAAGAUUGGACCUGCUGAAACAGCCCAAUUCAGUUUAUGCCUGACUCUAAUAGAAUUUUGUUCUCUACUUUCUUUCUUUCUAAUCUUAUGACUUCAUUCAUUCUGCAAUGGUAGGCGGCAUCACCAGGAAAUAUGGAAAUAUGACCAGAAGGAUAGAGUAGAAGUACUGGUUCAUGGCGCCGGCUUGCAUAAUACCAAACAUGGAUGGGCAGUCAGGGAAAACGAUGCAGAGUCUGCCUGAUACACUAUCGUCCCUCAUGGGGUUCAGCCAGUACCUCACACCCAGUUGGAUUGAAUCGGUGUCUCACAUCAUCAAGGAGUUGUCACCAACUGAACCAAAAACGAAAGUAAUGGUUCAUAUGACUCAAAAUAUUGGUCCUGAUGAUGCAGAAUCAGAUGCUAAAGUUGCAAAGAUUCAAGGUACACAGUCCGAUUCUUUCCCUCAAAAGCUCUAAACAUUUCUGAUUACCUUUUUUUUUGCAUAGAACAGAUGAAUUAGUUUUGUUGAAUGCUCAACUAAAGCAGAUAACACUGCAGUAUGUGGUCUGGUUCUUUCCCUAAAAAUUCUCAACAUUUCUGAAUACUUUUCUCUGUUUUUGAUCAUAUAACAGAUGAACUGGUUUCACUGAAUGCUCAACUAAAGCAGAUAACACUGCAGAGGAGACAGUCACUAAAUAACUAUUUGGAUCUGAAAGGUAGAAAUAUGUUCGAAUUUACCAUUCUUCUGAACAAUUUCGUGCUUGGGUUGCUAAAUGUCACGAAAUAUAAUGGAAGUUAGUUACCUGUUAAUUGCCAUGCAUUUAUUCUCCAGGAAAUAUAAGGGUGUUCUGUCGUGUAAGACCUUUUCACCAUGAAGAGAGUUACCAAUCCAGAUCUCUUUUCACCCUGGAUGAGAGUAAUGUAUUCCUAAAAGUUGCUGAAACCAAGAUAAAGCAAUACAAGUUUGAUAAGGUUUUCAACCAAUGCUCAACACAAGGUAAUCCAAUCAAAAUUUCCUUUUAUAGGACCUGUAAUUUCAAGUGAAAUAUUUCAAUAAAGGGGCUUUGGUGUUCUUUCCCCUGUUUUGUGUGCCAAUGGUGAUUUUACCCCUCCUUUUUGCUUUGUGAGAUUUUGCCCUCGCUUUUUGAAAACGAAGCUCCAAUUUGCCCCUAUUCUGUUAGAAGGAGGUAACGGUGUUAAAUUUGUAGCAAAAAGACAGAUAUGCCCUAUGUGAUUUUGCCGUUCUUUUGACAUCUCUAAUCUUUGAUAUGUUGAUGUCGGAGUGCUUGAUGUCAAAAUAAGGGCAAACUCACAUAGGGCACAUCUGUCUUUUUGCUAUAAAUUUAACACCGUUAACUCCUUCUAACAGAAUAGGGGCAAACUGGAGCUUCAUCUUCAAAAAGCGAGGGUAAAAUCGCACAAAAGUAAAAAGGAGGGGUAAAAUCACCAUUGGCACUCAAAACAGGGGCAAGAAUGCCAAAGCCCCUUCAAUAAUAGUCAACUUACAAUAAUAUGCUUUCUAGGUGAUGUAUUUGCUGAAGUUGAACCAGUGAUAAAAUCUGCUUUAGAUGGCUAUAAUGUUUGUAUAUUCGCCUAUGGGCAGACAGGUAGUGGAAAAACUUAUACCAUGGUAAGAUUUAUUCCAUUAAAGUCCUUACCUGCCUCUCAUGAAAAGAACAAAUAAAAAACCUUAAGUCCAAACAGCCCUGAAACUAACUGAAAUUUAUUUUUUGUGCUUAUAAUUCAUUACCACAUAAUUAGGAAGGGAAGCAUACAGCUACGGAUCUAGGUGUGAUACCACGAGGGAUUCAAGCACUAUUUGAUCGAGCUUCAGAGAGCAACAGAAGGUUUCUUUUCACUUUCAGUAUGCUUGAGAUUUACAUGGGAAACCUACGAGACCUGCUAGUUCCCAGAAGCAAGACACAUGAUUUUAAGAAAGUGCCAAGGUAAUUUAGAACUCUUUCUUAAAUACAUUGGAAGAAAGGACUACCUUGUUGCAAGUCAAGUAUCAGAUCUCUUACAGUCUACAGAUGGAAACAUUGUGUAAUACCAUUUGGUCCAUGUUGAUAGUUACUGGAAAAUUGUUAAAAUGCUACUGUAGCGUACUUGUGUCCCAGGCUGCCUAGCAGUGCAGCACAGCCAACAAAUGAAUAUGGUCAUAAAAAUGCUGCAUUAAUGCAUAGGCAACAUAUCAAUAUGCAGAGAAUCAAGUUCAACACUUUCACCAUAGAAGGAUCUAAAUCGGAAGAGAAUCCUGCACUCAUCCACUCAAGACAUGAAUUGCCAAUCUUGUACAAAUUUUGUUAGUGCAGGUUAAGUGACUUGCAUACAUCUGUGCACAUUUAUCACCUCUUAUCUUCUAUUUUCUUUGUUUCCUUUUUUGAAGUAAACUAUUCUUUACUGAUUAUCUGCAUACAGCCUUUCCAUCAAAACAGAUCCUGAUGGCGGCAUUGAGAUUGAAAACCUAGUGGCAGUUACUGUGAAUAGUUUUCAAGAAGUAAAAAGACUAUAUGAAGUGGGGACCCGGCUUCGAUCAACAGCUUACACUAUGGCUAAUUCUACAUCAAGCAGAUCUCACUGGUAAUUUUUUUUUAUUUUGUUGAAGAAAAAUGUGCACUACCUCUAGAACAAUUGAAAAGACAUCAGUCAUGGUUGCACCUGAUUGAAAGAGACUCUGAAUGAGAAAAUAAUGCAUGCUUAUUGAAAUCUUAUUGUGAUAGGAUAAGAAAGCGGUUGAUUCUAUAAAAGAAAAUACUAUGAAAGAGUUGCUGUACUGAAGUCUUAUGCUCUUCCUUAUGAUGCAACAGUUUGAUUCGGCUUUCAUUGACCUCCUUCGACGCACCAGAGAGAAAAAAAGCAAGAAACAAGUUAUGGAUGAUUGAUCUAGGUGGAAGUGAAAGACUUGUAAAGACAAAAGCAACUGGGAAAAGGCUCAAGGAAGGCAAAGCCAUAAAUUUGUCACUGUCAGCCCUAGGGGAUGUGAUUGAUGCACUUCAAACCAAAAAAGCCCAUGUCCCUUAUAGGUAAGUAAAAUCCAUGACAUACUGUUUGGCAGUAGGCACAAUAGAUUACAGUUUUCAUCCAUAAAGAAUAACCACUUACCUUCUCAAUUCUUCAGGAAUAGCAAGCUUACACAAGUUCUUAGAGACUCUCUAGGUAAGUAGCAUUAUUCCAAAAAGAUGCAGAACAAUUGUUCCUUUCUUAUUCUACAAACCCAUAUCUCUUAGCUCAUCUUGGUUUUUUUCACAUUGACAGGAUGCGAUUCCAAAACAUUGAUGCUUGUCCAUAUCCGCCCAAAUGAGGAUGAUUUGUGUGAGACAAUUUGUACCAUGAGUUUUGCAACAAGAGUUAGAAGCAUUCGCUUGGAAAGUGAAGAGCCACCAGUAAGCUUUUGCUAUUACCAUUAGUGUCAGUAUAUAUUCAAGAAAAUAAAUUCGUAGGUUAAUUUUGUCCAUUUCUAUGAAAAUAAAUCUGCUGGUGGCAUGCUUUGAUUUCCAAAGACAAGUUGGAAUAACAAGAUGAAAGUCUUUUUGAUUUGCCAAAAGAAUUUCAAUGUCCCAGAAAAACUAUCAUAAUAGUCUAUACAUAUCUAUGCAAAAUAAGUAAAUCCAAAUUUUUUGAUGUGGAUCCGCACAAUCUUUGAUGCAAAAACUAAUAUUUUCGUCUUAAACAGGAAGAAAAGGCAAGAAAGGAACAUUUAUUAACAGAGUUGGAAUGGGAGGUCAGUGAUUUAGAGCAACAAUGUGAAGAUAUUACUAGAAAGAUUAAGAAACUCGAGGAGACAAUGGAGCAUUUGAAAGGACCUCAGCCAUCUGUUAGCACAGAUUUUGUCGUUUCGCAUCCAUUGAGUGAAGACCUGAAAACUGACAUGUCAAAGACUACAAAGAAUUUAAAGAAUCGUAGAGAAGUUUCAUCUAGGUUACCUAGUUUUAUGAAGCCAACGGCUUCUAGCCAGCAGAGGAUAGGCUUGACCAAACACAUUCCUAUCAGUAACAGGACAAAACCACCAGUGCCACCAAAGAGAAGGCCUUCCUCAGUUUAUGCUGAGUCUGUAAGGCUGCCAGUAAAUGCUACCACUUGGCAGUCAGAAUGCAGCUCUGAGUGCAGUAUCUCCAUGACAAGUGACAUGAAUUGGAUGCCAAGCGUACAAGAUGGGACAGAAUGCAGCCAGCAGGAUACAUCAGAGUAUGAGACCAAACAGGUGAUUUUCUCAGAACAUGAGAAACUGUUGCAGGGUGAACUGAUUUCGCUCGCAGAAUGUCAACUUGUAGAAUCAGCGAAGAUGCAGAAUAAAACUGAGGAAAUGGACAUUAUAGACAUUGAUAGUUGGAUCCAUCAACAAAUCACAGAAAACACCGGCAUAUGUCAAAGAGAAAGGAUUCUAGAUAUUCCUGAAGUAACUGAAUAUGGAACAUACAAUUCUAGCACUGCUUCAACAAUUCAGAUGGAAUGUAUUAAAGGUGCUAAACAGGCACAGGAUGAAGACAGUCAACUCAAACUGCAACCCCCCAUGCAAAAUGUGGAAGAUAUCAAGCAAUCAGAAGCUACCAAUCAAUUCACUUCAACAGAAUUAUGCAAUCCUCCCUCAAAAGAACUUUGCAGCAAUGACAAAAUGAAGGAACACAAAAAUGAAAGGCUUGCAUAUCAUGGAAAUUCCAGAAGAUCGCUACAGGAAAAAUUGGACAAGUGCAUGCCAGGGCAGCCAGACAAGGAAUCAAAAACUGACCCCAUCAUACAACCUGAAGUCAGGUUCCAGGAUGAAGAACAUGAUAUAGGUAAAGCUCUGUCCAACAUUAGAGAAUGCAUUUCCAAGUACUUUAAAAUAAGAGUGCAUUGUACAUUUAGUGUCAUCUUGAUUUUGUCGAAGCUAGUCCUGAUAAAAUUGAAAUCAAUGUAGGGGAAAGUAUUUGCAAGGAAGCUGUUAUUUUAAGGGAUGCCUGUCCCUGGUCAAAGGGAAAUAUUAUAAAAUAUGGACAUACUGAAGCAAAUAAAAAAAGUUCAAAAUACUAAUCAAGCAAUGCUUCAAUUCGUAUGCAGUAACAUGAGUAAAUUGCAGUGUAUUCACUUCUUGGUCAAGUAACUUGCGAUACCUAAAAAUUGAACCGAAUCGUGUGUGUAAUCUAGAGCUGUUGUCCCAAAGUUACCCGACAUCAUUCAUUUCAUAUCUGAAGGCACACCAACCAUACUGAUAGUGUGUUUUGUGUUGUAGAUCUUUUUUUUUCAUUCAAAAGUACUCCAUUUAAUAACUGAGAGAUUAUCAGUUAUUAGACUUCAUUCUUUUGUUCCAGCGAACACUGAAGGGGCACUAAGGUAGAUCUCUAGAGUGAAAAAUGGAAUAAGAACUGAAUCUAAACUUCAUUACACCCACAAUGAAGCAUCAAAGAUAAAGAUAUGUUUAAUAAUCAACAGACUUUCAUACAAACAGAAGUUCCUGAUUGUUACAUAACAAUAUUGUUUACAACAUGGUACUGUCAUAUAACUGUAACUACAUAGACCCUAACGUUUAGAAUAAAAUACCACGAUAUGCUCAUUUUAUUGUUUUACGCCUACUUUUACACUUGUACCAAUGGGCAUAUUGUGCCGUGCCUAUUCUAGAAGCUCUAUAUCUACUGAUUGUGUUCAUUGUAACUGUUUACUGAUUUUGUUCCUCUACAGACAAGUCGAAUAAGUUCUUUCAAGCUCUUCGAAGGGCAUGGGUUGGUGCUCUUCUAGGACUGGGUACUAUGAGCCUUGGAUUAGAGCAAGACUUCUUCCAGAGCUUGACGCUUUAAGCUAACUAGAAUUUCAUCAUUUUAAGGGGGUUCUAAGAGGUAGUAUUCAAUUUUAAGAGUAAGUACUUCAGAGAAAAUAUGUGCUCACUAUGCCAGAAGCCACAAUGAAAUGUAAUGGUCAUUUUGCCACAAUGGCAAGUGAGUUGCUGAUAUGAUCCUGAAAUAGUUGUUUUCACUGCAGACGGAUACUCUUAGGACAACUGCAAAAAAAUGGAUGAAAGGAUAAGAAAGAACAGGCAAUUAUAUGAUAAAUUUUGCCGUGUCACUGUCGUAUUCAUACAAUUGUUUUUACAGCAUUCAAAAAGCUAUUGCAACAUACUAGCUCUGAGGAAGAGUUAUUUACAUCUAUAAGCAUUUCAGCCGAAUGGCAUCCAUACAUGCCACAUUUAUGGCUGUUAUUAUGACAUCUUUAAGGAAGCAACUUAGCCACAAUGCUAGAGAACUUUCAAGCUAAAGCUGAAAAGAUAGUGGCCUAUUUUGUUCAAUAUAUGUUCAAAAGGAUAAGCCUGGGGAGACAAUGAUCAGUUUAUACCAUGCCAGAAGCCCCUACAGAUGGUUCCCGUACCUUCAACCAACAGUCCAUAUGGAUAGAAGUUUUUGAGCUUUGAACUUGUUUAUGCAACUACAACUUGCUCUAAGACAAAAUCCUUCCCUGAGCCUCAGUUAAUCUCAGGACGCAAAUGUUUAUGACUUGCUGAAUGUAAAAGAAUUAUUCAAUCCUUCUUCGGAAAGAAGCGUUGACCAAUAGGUGGACACAAUCAGUGAACUUCAAGUUACCAUCGCUGACCAAUUUGUUGAGGCAUUGAUGUCAUAUAAAGCGUUAGAUAUCUUUUUUACAAAACAAUGAGAGUAUGAGACUCUAGGAGUGACUCAUGAACCAUGCCAUGAAGUCUAAAUUUGGGCUGCGGUAUAUGACUAUAGUGAUCUUAGCCUUCUUCAAUAUCAUGCAGUACUUCAGGAAGCACAGCAAUAACACCAACAGAUUUCAUAUUGGUGUUGACCUCACAUAGUAAUUCACAUAUCUUAUGUAAGCAAGGAUGAGAUCCAUCUCUAGAAGUGAACUCAUGAACCAUGCCAUCAAUUUCGAUGGAACUUGCCCCUGGCACAUUCUUUAGACCCCUUUCUUUCAUUGCCUUUCGAAGUUUGCUAACAUCAUCCCACCUCUCCUGUUCUGCAUAAAUAUUCGAUAGGAGAAUAUAGUUCCCACUGUUGUGAGACUCAAGGUCAAUUAGAUGCAACAAAGCUUGUUCUCCAAGGCCAGUGUCACCAUGGGUCCUAGCAGCAGCAAGAAGAGCUCCCCAUAUUGCUGCAUUUGCCUUGAAAGGCAUCUCCUGAACCAAAUCCUGAGCCUCCAUUAAACAACCCGCACGACCAAGUAUAUCAACCAUGCACCCAUAAUGCUCAACACGUGGCUUCAUCCUGUAAUGGGACACCAUGACAUUGAAAUACCAGCGGCCCAAAUCAGUCAAUCCAACAUGGCUACACGCUGAGAGGACAGCAAGAAAAGUGACAUCAUUUGGCACCACAUUCUCAGUCUCCAUCCUGCGAAACAUUUCGACAGCUUGCAAACCAAGGCCAUGCAAUGCAAAUCCAGCAAUCAGUGUUGUCCAAGUCACAACGCUCUUCUCCUCCAUACCCUCAAACACCUCCACUGCCUUCUCGAUACACCCGCAUUUCAUGUACAUGUCAAUGAUCGCAUUCAUCAGUGGUAUCUUCUGGAAUAACCCCCGCCUCACCACAAACAUGUGCACCCACUCUCCUAGAUCAACCGCGCCCAAAUCCCCGCAUGCGGACAGAACUGACAGCAACGCCACCCCGUCAGGCUCAAUCCCUUCCUCCACCUGCAUUCUCCGGAACACCUCUACUGCUUCCUCUGGCUGCUUCAUCUGCGCGUACGCCCCAAUCAAAGUUGUCCACGACACCACAUUCCUCUCAGGCAUUGCAUCAAACAGCUCCCGCGCGCCGACCAGGUCCCCGGACUUCACGUACCCCGCGAUCAUAACGUUCCAGGCCACCACAUCCCUGUCGAGCAUCUCGUCGAACACGCUGCGCGCGGCGGCCAGGCGUCCGCAGGCGCAGUACACCUGGACGAGGCUGGCGGAGACGUGGGCGUCGGAGGCCGCGAGGCCGGCGCGGAGGAUCAGGGAGUGGAGCUGCGGGCCGAGGAGGCUCCCGCGGAGGAGUUGAGGCGGGAGGCGGGCGGCGGCCCUGAGGGAGACAGAGGGGUGCACACGGCGUAGAAGGGCGGCAGCGUGGGAGCGGUGGCGGGGCGCGAGGCGGAGGGAGGCGAGUAGGAGCGCGGAGAGGAGGCCCGGGUGGCGGUGGCCGCCGCGGGGGAGGAGGAAGGCGUGCGCCUGGAGGAGUUGGCGCGGGGAGGCGACGCGCGGGAGGAGGGAGACCACGCGGUGGAGCGCGGGGGGCAGAGGAGGCGGCGGCGGCGGCAUGCGGGGGGACGGCGGGCCGCGGCGUGGCGCUGGCGCCGCCGUGGAGGCCGCCGGGUUGCUGGAGCAUGUGCGGCUGUGGCGCGGUAUUUCGGGAGUUUUACGUGGUGGGCUGUGCCGGGGCGAAUUUGAGCGGAAUAGAGCCCAGGAACAAAGACGGGCCUGGGUUUUAGAGAUGGGCUGGGCAGAUGAAAUGUUGGGCCGGAUCUAUCUUUUCGGCCUCUCUCUGGCCAACACCAACACAAUGCCCGGUCAACGCCAAGUCCGCUCGCGGCUGUCAGCUCGACUUCGACGUUCUUCAGCGGAAGCUGCUCGUCUGGCCGGCUCGACAGACGACAGCGUCCUCCCUCCCACCUUCCCCUCUUCUCUGCCUCGGCCCGCCUCCCGUGUCCCCCGCGGCGGAGAUGGGUGUCCCGGCGUUCUACCGGUGGCUGGCGGAGAAGUACCCGAUGGUGGUGGUGGACGUGGUGGAGGAGGAGCCGGUGGCGAUCGAGGGCGUCAGGGUGCCCGUCGACGCCUCCAGGCCCAACCCCAACGGCCUCGAGUACGACAACCUCUACCUCGACAUGAACAACAUCAUACACCCCUGCUUCCACCCCGAGGACAGGGUAAGCACGGCUCAAUUCCUCACUCCCUUCCUCUUUUUUACCCCUUUUCCUCUCUCUUCUCGAUGUGUUGGGAUUGCUGGGAAGCUUGCGUUGGGUUAGGCGUGACUCGUGAGAGGAGCGCGGAAGGCGAGGCUUGCUUGGGUGGGUGUGAGAUGAUCAGAUGAUAGCGCUCGAUGUGUUCUUGGUAACCAGAUGAUGGCUCGUGAUUGGUUGGUUACUGGUGAGAGAUCGGAACAAAGAGUUGGUGUUGUGUAGCUUGUGUUCUGUCAGUGAACUGAUUGCUGCUAACAGAAAGGAGCGACGAACGCUGAGUUACCCAGAUUUAGUCUGUUUUGUUUCGGUUUGUUUGCUAACUGUAUACUGUAGUGAAAACAAAUUGCAGACAAAUGCUGGCCUUUUGGGCCUGUUUGUCCAUGAUGCCAUUUCAGUUAGCAACUAGUUGAAUUCCCUCGUGGUUGACUGGUUGCUGCGCGGAUUAGAGAAAAAAAAUCAGAUGAAUACUGUUUGGCCAAGGAAGCAUACGCUAACUACAUUAGGUAGAUUGUUUUCUUGAUGAAGUGCGCUCCAUUUAGGGGUAAUAUCAGAAUAUAGCUUGAUAGUUUGGUUGGAGGGAUGGAACGGAGCUUCAGCUGAUGGUGAAAGCCGAAGGAUGGUUGUUGAUAUAGUAGGCUUCGUUUUGGAGGGGCCGAUGCUGAUUUGGGAGAGUUUCCAGAUGGUGGUACUACUUGACUAGCUUGAAGAUGGCAUGGGGAGGUGUUUGCGGCUAGCGGUGCUUGUCUAUUGGAGAGGAGGUAUUGAGCAGCAAAGGGAGGCGAUGUUGCCUGGUGUUGCUUCGUGUAAAAAAGAGCAGUAAGAGGAUGGUGCUGGUCAUUUGUGCUCUCCCAUGAGAAAAAAAAAAGAGAAAUUGGAGUGGAGGGAUUGGAAUAGAUUGAGUGGAUUUAGUUUGGGAAUGCUUUCAGUUUUCAUAGUUUCUUUCCGUUAUCACCGUACGGCCAUGGCUUCUCAAAAAUUACACCGAUCGAACAUUUCUAAAAGGAGUGAGAUUAAGUUAAAAGGAGUGAGAUUAAGUUAGGUUCUGUUCGGAUCUAAGUGCUAAUGGAUUGAGCUAAAUUUUAGUUAAGACUUGAAAACAUAUGCUAAAAUUUAACACUCAAUUUUAGCAUAUCCACACAGAUCCUUAACAGUAGGCAUUUGGCAGUAGGCACGAGUACUAACUAAUUAUAAAUAAAAACAAAUAAGUAAAUAGACCAAUAAAAGGUAGAACACAACACUCCGUCUAGUCCUUGCUGACGUCAGCACCAUUUUUCGUCAGAAGUUGCUCGAUUGAGCCCGCCCGACAGUGACCUCCCCCUCUUCAUUAAGGUUUCGCGCCUCUUCGCCCGUCCGCCUCCCGUGCUCUCCUACUAGGGUUAGGGUUCGGGCUAGGCCACGCCCGCGCCGGUGCAUCGGCAGCGGAGAUGGGUGUCCCGGCGUUCUACCGGUGGCUGGCGGAGAAGUAUCCGAUGGUGGUGGUGGACGUGGUGGAGGAGGAGCCCGUGGAGAUCGAGGGCGUCAAGGUGCCCAUCGACACCUCCAAGCCCAACCCCAAUGGCCUGGAGUUCGACAACCUCUAUCUCGAUAUGAAUGGUAUCAUACACCCCUGCUUCCACCCGGAGGACAGGGUAAGUCCGGAUUCCUUCCUUUCCCCCUUUCCCCCUUUCUCCCCCACUCCAGGUGUUUCGUUUCGGGCUGGGUUGCUUUAGGCUUGGGAUUGUUUGGGUGUGAGAUGAGUCUGAUGCAUAUGCGGUAAUCAGGCGAUGGACCUGUGAUUGCUGACUGAUAAGAGCUUAGAGGAUUGAAAUAGCGGGUUUUAGCUUGUACUCUGCCAGCAAUUUGAUCGUUGCUAGAAAAAGGAGCUGCGGAAUUGUCUCCAAGUCAUCUCAGAGGCGUCAAAAUUGUUACAAUUCAUUCAUUGUUUCGUAGUAAUGUUUGCUGAAUUACCCAGAUUAAGUCUUUUGUCUGCUAAACUGCAGCAGAAGCAAAUUGCAACAAAUGUUAGCCUUUUUGAACCUAUAUGUCUAGGUGAUUUUGGUGCUAUUUCAGUUAGCAGACGAUAUGCUGGUGUUACAUUUGAAUAAUUUCAGUGAAAGCUGCCACAUCAGCAGCAACAAGAACAUGAACUCACAUUAAAGAUUGGGGUAGGUUAGUGAUGAAACAAAACAUGAGCCACAUGGGCCAAAGAGAAAGCAAGAAAGAGGAAGAUAAUGAUACAAAUAAAACAGUAAUAUAGUUUUAUUGGAAAUAUUUGCCUUAUCCUUUGUUAAAAGCACUUACCUUUAACUUAAUUCUCAUAUCGUUUUUGUUCUCCGACUCAAAUGUUAACUAUGGAUUUGUCUGCUGUAGCCUUCCCCAACAACAUUCGGUGAGGUUUUCCAGUGUAUGUUUGAUUACAUCGACAGAUUAUUCGUCAUGGUUCGCCCCCGGAGGCUUUUGUAUAUGGCCAUUGGUACGUAUUCCACGGCUACAGUGGAUGAAAAUUUGUUGCUAUUCUACCUAUUAAUUCUAUGUCGUGUGAACCAGUGGAGUUUCUCUAGCUGUAUGUAUGUGUAGAAGUCUGGAUUCUGUAUAUUUUUGUUAGAUAUUGUUGUGGACGUCAUAUUACUAUGUACAUGAAGAGUACCUUGCCAUAACUACAUAAGCUUUUGUGCUGUAAUGAAAGUUUGUUGUUUUGUUCUCAUAUGUAAUAGUUUGUGUCUGCUCUUUUUGAAUAGCAUGUCCAUGUCCUCUGAAUUAAAUGAUCAAUGUAUUCCUUAUACCUGUGAUCUUUUCAUGGUUGCUCAUAAUUUUAACUGUGGUACAAUGGCUUUACAGAUGGUGUGGCUCCUCGUGCUAAGAUGAACCAGCAGCGCUCCAGACGAUUCAGAGCUGCAAAAGAUGCAGCGGAUGCGGUCAGUAUUCUACUGAAACUAUCUUCGUUUGGUCUGUGCAUGAUUGUAUACUGCCCUUUCACUCAUUAUUUUUGGCAGUUGCAAUGCAACCAGUUUAUUGCAAAUUUGCAAUCACAGCGCAAUAUUCAUGUGCCUCCAGGCUGCAGAAGAAGAACGGCUACGUGAAGAGUUUGAGAGGGAAGGCAGAAAACUUCCUCCAAAACAGCAAUCGCAGACAUGUGAUUCCAAUGUUAUUACUCCAGGGACUGAGUUUAUGGCUGUUUUAUCAGUUGCUUUGCAGUAUUACAUCCAUCUCAGAUUGAAUUAUGAUCCUGGAUGGAAACAAAUUAAAGUAAGUAUAAGGUGAUCCUGAUUUUACUUUUUCACAUCCUAGCAAUGCUUUCAAAAUCAGGCCCCUCUAUCAUAUUCUUUGUCUUGUUGAUAAAGUCUGCCACUAACUUCAGAAAGCCUGAUGCAAUAAAACCAUUUAUGUUCUAAUUAAGGUCUUUUGAAGGUUAUCUUGUCUGAUGCCAAUGUUCCUGGUGAAGGGGAACAUAAAAUCAUGUCCUACAUUCGUGGCCAACGGAAUUUGUCUGGUUUUAACCCAAAUACACGCCAUUGCCUGUAUGGCCUGGUAUGUUCAACAAAUCUAUAUUAUUUUUUAUGUAGGUUAUUUUUAUUUUUAUUUUUUCUGGCCUGCUCAUUCAGCUUCAUAUACUCAUAAAUGCAGGAUGCAGAUCUAAUCAUGUUAGCUUUAGCAACACAUGAAGUACAUUUCUCAAUACUGAGAGAGGUUAGCUGUCCUCAAUGUGGAUUAUAUAUGCUUUUAAAUGUUUAUAUGUAUUAUUGUCAUUGUUCAAGAAAAAAAAUGAGUUUGUUCUAUAUUCUCCUUGUUUAUGUUAUUUUUUGUUUGCAGAAUUUGUAUUACCAUCUGUCCCUACAUUGUUAUUCUUUUUCUUUGAAUCUAUGCCUUAAGGACUCAUUUGUUUUUGUGUUUGCAGGUAGUUUAUACACCUGGACAGCAGGAUAAAUGCUUCUUAUGUGGUCAGGUGGGGCAUUUAGCAGCAAACUGUGAAGGAAAGGUGAAAAGAAAAGCUGGGGAGUUUGAUGAGAAGGGGGAUGCUAUUGUUCCCAAGAAGCCUUAUCAGGUUAUAAUGACAUAUAUUGUCUGUUGUAACAGAUGGUUUCAUAAGACAUCUGGAUGAAUUCAUUGAAUACCUUUGUUUUUGUGCUUUUGCAGUUUGUGAAUAUAUGGACCCUUCGGGAAUACUUAGAAUAUGAGUUCAGAAUGCCAAAACCACCUUUCCAAAUUGAUUUUGAACGCAUUGUUGAUGAUUUCAUCUUCAUGUGCUUCUUUGUUGGAAAUGAUUUUCUUCCACAUAUGCCAACACUAGAGAUCCGUGAGGUUUGUUUCCUGUUUGUUUGACUGAGCAUCCAUCUUUGCACCUAGUACCUUUCAAGUUUCUCUGUCAUGCAUUGAUACUGAUGUCUUGGUUUUCUGCUUCUGCUGCACUAGAUCUCUUUUUAUUCUUUAAAGUCCAUAAGUUUGUCUCUUUGCUUGCAGUUCACUCCUAACUUUGUCAUGCAUUGAUACUGUUGUCUUGGUUUUCUGUAGGGAGCUAUUAAUUUGCUAAUUGCAGUAUACAAGAAGGAAUUUUCCUCGAUGUGUGGCUAUUUAACUGAUUCUUGCACGGUAAUCAAAGUUCAUUUCUGUCGGAGUUAGUGUUGCAGCAGAUUCAGAAAUUGAUCCCCAUUGGUAUUAAAUAGUAAUUUUGCUUCUUCUUUCUUGGUUUAGCCUGAUCUGAAAAGAGUUGAAUACUUCAUUCAAGCAGUUGGUCGUUAUGAGGAUAAAAUAUUUCAGAAAAGAGCCCGUUUGCAUCAGGUACAUGAGGAUGACUAUUGAUUUGUUUCUCUCCUGUAGUUUUUACUAUUGAACUGCAACUAGAAUACAAAAAGCAGCAGUGGCAACGUCUUUUACUCCCUCUGUUUUUAUUUACACGUUGUAUUAGGUUUGUCCUAAGUCAAACUUGUCCAACUUUGACCAAAUUUGUAGAAAAAAAUAAUAACAUUUACAAAACCAAAUUUGUUUCAUUGAAUUCACCAUGAAAUAUAUAUUGAUAGUCCUUAGGUUGGUUAGUAUUGUUGUUGCUCUAUUUUUCUAUAGAUUUGGUCAAAGUUAGCCACGUUUGACUUAGGACAAACCUAAUACGACAUGUAAAUAAAAACAGAGGGAGUAGUCCCAAGCAAGUUGGGUGAGGCUAGAAAAGAAACCGAACAAGAGCCACCAACAAAGAGGCUGUUAGUCCCUUUCUGAAUGUAAUGUUUCCUUUAGUUCAAAUUUCUAACUGUACUGGUUCGAUGUAGUAGAACAAAAACAUCUGGAAAGGGGGUUUUCGUCGUAUAUUGCAGAAUUUGAAUAUAUUAGCCAUGAGUUUUAAUUGCAGAGCACCAUGUUUUUAUGAGUUAGCUUGCAUGUCCCUUUGCAUGUAUGGCCUGAAACUUUUCUAAUCUUCUGUAAUAAGGCAAUUUGAAAUCCUGCGCAAAAAGUUUUCAAACUUAUUUUCUCCCUGCAUUGGUUCUGGUCAAUUGUCGAAAAAUUCUUUACAAGAAUUAGGAAUUUCCACUUACAGUUUUACAAUAAUAUUCCCCUGUUGCAGCGUCAUGCGGAAAGAAUUAAACGAGAAAAGGCCCAAGCGAAGCGGGGUGACGAUCUGGAUCCCCAUGUUAGGGAUGAUCUUAUUGUGCCUGUUCAACGUUUUCAAGGGUCUCGCCUAGCCUCUGGGGCUGCACCUGCACCAUAUGAGCAGAAUGGAUCUCAUAAAGACAAUAAAGAAAGGAACAAUCGAGCUCGUAAAACUGCACGAGUAUCAACACCAGGUUCCAGCAUUGCUGCAGCCAUAGUUGAAGCAGAAAAUGGCCUUGAAGCCCAAGUAAUUCUACCCAUAUGGCUUGAGAAGAUCAUACAUGUACUUGCAAAAACUUGCAAUUUUUACCUGACAUUCAUGAUGACUCCCUUAGGAACGUGAAAACAAAGAAGAACUGAAGUCAAUGCUUAAAGAUGCGCUUCGAGAGAAGUCAGAUAUUUUUAAUUCUGAAAAUCCAGAGGAGGAUAAGGUAUGUCUUCUAAAUCAAUGGUUAUUUGGGAACAAAUCAUAUGCUGUUGCGGAAUCCAUUUGAUGUGGUUAACCUAAAAUGAUUUGCUAGCAUAUGAUAUGAUAUGAUAUUACUAAAUGUUGCUGAACAUGAUUGCUCACUAAAACCACUAGAGACUGAUAUUUUCUCUUUUAAAAAUACAGUUCCACAUUUUUGAACGAUAAUAAGCAAUGUUGUGAAAUUUAGUGCAUUAAUUCACUAUUAAGUGAAUGUAGCAAUGUUUAAAUUAAUGCGAAAUAUUAUUGCUGGUUAUGUUCAGGUGAAACUUGGAGAACCAGGAUGGAGGGAAAGGUACUAUGAAGAGAAAUUUGGGGCAAGAACGCCUGAACAGAUUGAAGAAAUACGCAGAGAUGUCGUAAGUUUCUUAUUAGCGGCAUGAGGCAAUAUUUUUUUACAGUACCAUUGUUGUCUUUGGCAUACCCAACUUGCUUGGGGCUAAUGGCUUUGUGGUUGUUGCUGUUGUUACUCGCUUUAAUUUUGACUCUGAGAGAAUACUUAUUUGGUUCUUUUUAGAGAAUGUUGCUAUUCUAACCAGCUGAAAUCUUAUUGCUUAAUAAUCUUAUAUGACACCCUCUCUUAGGUUCUCAAAUACACUGAAGGUUUAUGUUGGGUAAUGCACUACUAUUAUGAAGGGGUCUGCUCAUGGCAAUGGUAAUUUAGCUUGCUCAAGUUAGCUAAGUAUAUCAAAUUAUUGAAAGGUCCAUUUGCAAGAUAUUUGCAGGCUUGAUUACUCUUUUUGCCUGCGCAUCCAGUAUCUCAUUCUGUAAUAUAUCUUUUUUGUAUGUAGGUUCUAUCCUUAUCACUAUGCUCCGUUCGCUUCGGAUUUGAAGGAUUUGGGUCAUCUUAAUAUUACAUUUGAACUUGGGACGCCGUUCAAACCUUUUGAUCAGCUUAUGGGUGUUUUCCCAGCUGCAAGGUGAGUAUGCUAGGAUUGCAAUUUUUAGUCUCUUAGUUUCUUCAAGUAUGAUGGAGAGUAAUUUAACAGCUGUCACAUUAAAUUUUCAGCGCCCAUGCGCUACCGAUACAGUAUCGCCGAUUGAUGACCGACCCCAGUUCACCAAUAAUUGAUUUUUAUCCUACUGGUAUGCUGAUUUUGUUAAUAUGUGAAGUACUCGAUAAUAUCAGAUCCUUGAUAUUAUAUUUUAUCUGAUCCAUGUUCCCAUUUACUAUGCAGAUUUCGAAGUAGAUAUGAAUGGGAAAAGAUACUCUUGGCAAGUGAGUUAUUCUUCAAGAGCACAUUUAUUUUUUUGAUAUGUGCUUGUUUAAUUAGUAACUGUAAAAACAUGUUUUGCAGGGGAUUGCAAAACUGCCCUUUAUCGAUGAAGCUCGCUUGUUGGCUGAGAUAAAAAAAGUUGAGCAUACUUUGACGGUACGGUAAUGAAACAGUUUGCUAUUCAUUUAUGCUUUAUAAGCCACAAGGAAUAUGAAUCUUCUAAGAUUUGCUUUGUUUUCAUCUUCUGUGUAGCCUGAAGAAGCAAGGAGAAACAGUGUCAUGUUCGAUAUGCUUUUCGUGAAUGGAUCACACCCGCUUUCGCCUUAUAUCUACUCUCUCAACAGCAAAUUUGGACAUCUGCCUGACAGAGAGAGAAAUGAAAUUAAAGAAAAGCUUGAUCCUUCUGCUAGGUUAGUGAAGUUAAUCAGGAAUACUAUUUUGUUAAUGUGUAUCUUUUGUUAUGGUUGGGGAUAAAUGAAUAAAACAGCGGGGAACCAGUUUGCCUGCUAAUUAUGUUGAUAGCUGAUUUUUACAUGCACUAAGAGAAACUUUUUUUUCAGAUAUCUCUAAUACUUUUUCUUGUUUUCUACAGUGGUGGAAUGAAUGGCUACAUAACACUUUGCAGUGGGGACCCAUGCCCUCCUAUCUUUAGGUCUCCUGUGGAUGGUCUGGAGGAUAUUAUGGAUAAUCAAGUGAUGUAAGAUUAACCUCUUCAGCUUUGCCUGACAUGUUUUGCUACUUAUUAGUGGCUGUAUUUAACAAUCAUGGCAUUUGCAUCAAUCAGAUGCUCAAUCUACAAGCUUCCGGAUUAUCAUAAGCACAUAGCCCGGCCUCCAGCCGGUGUUGUCAUACCCAAGAAGGUUUGGAACUAGUACUUUAGUGUAUAGCUGUAAGCAUCAUGAUAUUAACAAUGAAUAAGCUUUCUGUUCAAUAUAUUCUGCAGACUGUUGAAGCUGGUGAUCUGAAACCGCCUCCAGUGCUGUGGCAUGAAGAUAGUGGCAGGAGGCCUCAUGAUAAUAGCAACAGGUAUUGUCACCCCUUUCUGUUGCUUCCUUAGUAUUUCUGCGGACAAACGGAAAAAUCCUGAUCUUGUACAAUGGUUCUUAGGCACAACCCGCCAGGAGCCAUAUCAGGCCGCCAACUUGGAGAGGCAGCCCACCGACUAGUCAUAAACAGCUUAAAUGCUCAGGGUAGGGGGCAACAUAGUAGCCCAUCAGUGCCAUAUCAAACUAUAAUGAAUGGCAUGCACCAUCUGAAUGUAGUGCACCCUAACGUCAAUCAAGGAAUUCCUCCACGAGGGGAGCAGUCUGGUUGGUAUGUGCCUAGGGGUAGUGUUCCUAGUGGUCAAAUACCAGCUUAUGCAUCAUCAGGAUCAGGUCAUUAUCAGCAUGAAAGGUCAGGGCCUUCGCAAUAUGAACAAGGUAACCGAGGAAGGCAACAAAUUUACCCAUAUUCAAGAGAUGGUUACCAUGACACAAGAGCCAGGGUUCCACCUGCAUAUGGAUACCAGCAGACUGGUGGCAGCAUGUAUUCAUCACAGCCUGUUGCUGCGCCAUCAGGUCGUGGACUGUAUGGGCAACCCCCAUCAGCAUAUCCUGGGGUUCGUGGUGGAGGCUACCGGCCCCCUCCAUAUGGUGGAGCCCAACAGUGGCAGCAACAACCAUAUAGUUCACAUGCUGGAAGAGGGCCUUAUGGAGGCGCACCACCACCCACUAGGGCUGAUUCACGAGCACAGCAGUCACAGAACCGUUAUGGCUCUUUGGACAGAAGUUCAAACCGGAGGCCUCCAUCUGGAUACGGCCAAUAAUAGAUUGUGGCCCAAUUCCUGUUGUAGUCCGUACUGUGUUGUUAGUAGAGGUUCCCUAGGAAAAUAGAGUGACUCAGCUAAGGCAUAGGCACAUACAACAUCUGCAAAGUAUCGUGAUCUUCAAGCAGCUUGAUCACAGCAUUGAAGAUUUUGAGAAGCAAUAUUUUACACUAGUGGUAUUUACAGACCAUCAGAUACUGGUGAUUGGCCGUCAUUCUUUAAUUUACGGGUCUCAUUUAUUCAGAAGAUGGAAUAUAAGUGCCCUGUGGUUUAACAGUUCCGGAUGAUGGAUAUGUUUUACCCUGAGGCUUGACAAGUUUUGGUGAUGGAUGGGCUCAGAAAAUGAUCCACAGUUUUGUGCCAUUGCUAUAUCAGAUAAGUGUAUGGAGUGCUUAUUUUCAGUUUUGAUGGUGAGUGUAUUCCAAAUCAUGUGCUCUAAGACGGCAAUUAUUCCAUGUUAUUUGUGUGGCUGCGAUUGUUUGGUGAGGAAGCUGCACUAUGGUCUGCUUCUCAUCAUGCGUAGUUGUUACCCUCUGCUAUUGUGAAUUCUUCUACAGUUCCACUUGCACAUGUCCACAUGGACGUAUUUAGCGUAGGCAUGGUGCGGAGCAGUUGAUGGCAAUAUUAGAUUUGUCAAGACAGCAGAACUAUGUGGGUGGGUCUUCGCGUGUCGCUCUUUUAGAACUACCACUUGCAUGGCAUUUUACAGGCAUAUAUUGCGCUGCAUUAUGUACCCUGUGCGGUGCUGUACUCUAGUGCAUAUUCACCCAAAAUUUAUUAUUUUUGUACGAAUCAAAUUAUAACGAUUUUUAACCACAACUUCUUCGUUUUCAACAUUUGUGCCAUCUUUACUAAUACGCAUCCAACUUUUUUUUUUCGAACAAAGCCAAUCCUAUAGAGCAGAUUCUCUAUAGAACAGAGUCAGCUCUUAACCUCAAAAUGAGGCAUUCUUGUCUCGCAAGCAGCCGCCAAAAGUCCAAACUGGUUUGUAGGUAUAGUUGGUCAAAUAGGACGGCACGGCACGACCCGACCCUAACCUUAACCGGCACGACACGACUAGGCAUGAUAGUUUAGUCGUGCCGUGCCGUGCCAGCACUACGUGCCUAUCCUCGGACCCAGGCACGGCAAACCCAUAGGGUUUGUGCCGACCUAGACACUAUAGGCAAAAUGAACUAGAUCCGUCAGGCACCAGAACCGCCGGCAAGGUCGAAGAAGGGAGAGUCCAGAGUGCUAGAGCCGCCGGUGAGGUAAGGGACCCACGGAUCCGGCACUCUGGUUCCUCAACGGACUGCGAACCGGAGCACAGAACCUCUAGCAAGGUAGACGACGGGGACAAGGAGAUGACAAGUGGAAGACUAGGCUAGGGUUUGGGUUUCGGGAUGGAGUGCCAAGCCGGAGUUGGAAAGGACACAAGAGGAUAAGAGUAGGACAUGAAGAGUCGUGCCAUGCGGGGGUGUAGGCCAGCGGCGGCGGAGGACCGCCGGCUGGACAAGAAAAAGACGAGGUGCUCUAGAUCUAGAUGAGGAGAGUGGAGGAGGGGCGCGAGGGUGUAGGAGACGAGAUGGCCCGGGCUGCCGACCAUUGGCGGCGGCGGCCAGUGGCGGCGGAGGACCGCCGGCCGGAGAGGAGGAAGGCAAGGAGACGAAGAGCACAGGUGAGUCAGGGCAGCGGAGGCGGAAGGCGAGGCGAGGGGGCGCGGGGAGGGGAGGAAAUGGGCUAGGGUUUGCCCGGGGGAGUGGCGGCGACGGGUUAUAUACCCGAGGCCCCGUUGCAGGCCGUUAACGGGCUCAAAGCCCCCAACGUCUAGUUGGUCUGGCCCAAAUUAGUCGUGCCUGAUCGGGUAGACUCGUUAGUCGUGUCAUGUUCGGGCCGGCACUAUGGGCCGAGGUCCCGGCCCAGGCACGACACGGUCCAUGGGUCAUGUCGGCACUAACCUUAUUGGUAGUGGGCCGGGCUAGGUUAGUGUUGGAUUUUUUCGUGCCGUGCCUUGUGCGCCCGCUGGACCCAGCCCAUUUGGCCAACAAUAUUUGUAGGUUCCUUCCUAAUGGGAUGGAAAUUUAUGGUGUCCAGAUUGUCACUCUCGUAUGGUGUGGCUCUUCUUUCUCACGUCUGCUGCUCAAUCUUGCAACGCAAGGUGCCUGUCAAGUGCAGCAAUAUAAAACCAAAGCUUCAUCGAUCCAACGACUCCCAGCGGCACGUCAACCGAGCUCACCAAGAAGGCAAGAACCUUCAAUGGAGUCGCGCCACACGAGCAAGCGGGGAGCCAUGGCGGCGGCGGCGGCAGAGGACCGGCUGAGCGGCCUCCCCGACGACCUCCUCCACUCCAUCCUCCGCGGCCUCCCGCUCAAGCACGCCGCCCGCACCAGCGCGCUCUCCCGUCGGUGGGCGCGCCAGUGGCUGCGCGCGCUCGCCUCCUCCCCGGCCAUCGACUUCACCGACCGCGGCUUCGCCCGCGGCCAGCCGCCGGCGCGGGCCGCGGCCACGGUCAGCCGCUGGCUCGGGCUCCACGCCGAGUACGGCGCGCCGCUCGACGUGUUCCGCGUGGCGCUGGGGAGCGACGACGCCGCCAGCUCGUUCGGGCGGGACGUCGUCGGGUGGGUCGCAGCCGCCGUGGCGCGGGGCGCCAGGGACGUGGAGGUGGACCUGGCGCAGAGGCAGGGGGCGGACAACGAUCAUGGCAGCUCGACGUUCCUGGAGCUCCCCGGCGACCUGUUCCUGGCCAAGAACGCGCUGGAGCGGCUCGCGCUCGGCGGGUUCGGCCUCCGCGCCGUGCCGCCCGGCGCGGCCGGGCUCGCGGGCCUCCGCUCGCUCUCCCUCAGCCACGCCGACGUCACCGACCAGGCAGUUCAGGCCGUGGUCUCCAACUGCGUGGCGCUGGAGUCCCUCAGCCUGAGGCGCUGCCGCCACCUCACGUCGGUGAGGAUCGCCGGCGAGAAGCUGCGGGUCCUGGAGCUCGUGCGCUGCCCGGCCGUGCGCAGGCUGCAGGUCGCCGCGCCCGCGCUCGAGUCCUUCGCCUUCCACGGCGACAUCGUCUGCUCGAGCGACCCCGACGAGGACGACGCUGCUGCCGUCCACUUCGGUGCCACGCCGGCCCUGCGGGAUGCGUACCUGUCUCACCUCGGCUCCGGCGACUACGAUGACGACCGGCACGACUUCGCCUACUCAAACUUCUUGGAGUGCAUCGCGCAUGCCAACAUCUUGACGCUUUGCUCCGUUGGCUUGCUCGUGAGUAUACUUCUUCCCAAUCAUUCGACCAAUUCUUGCAUACGAAAUCAACAUGAGCAGAAAAUGCUAGACUGACCGGUGACCAAUCGUGAAUCAGCAUAUCGAUGUAAGCCGAGGAUUUGCGAUCGGGUUCGAUGCGCCGAAUCUCCAAGAGCUGCAGCUGCUGAUGCCCUCUCUAGGAGACGACGACGUGGAGCGCGUCUCCGCAUGUUUCGAGUUCAUCGUUUUCCCAAUCCUGGAUCGCCUCUUCAUCCGUGUAAAGCUCUGAACCAUUGCUUCUCUGAAUAAUUUCAGUGUCCAAGUAGUUCAGCUCAAUAUUUACGCAGAUCAAUCUUGGAGCCACCUACUCGUGUGCAGUGCCAGUGCUCACCAGCUGAGUUUGUUCUGCUGAAACUGCAGCUCCUCGCCGGCGAACCCCCAGACGCUAGCGGCGCCGCGGCAUCGCCGGCGGCCGGCGAGGACGAGCCUGACAUCGUUCCUAACGUGGACAUCCUUCUCGACCACCUGACGCUCAUCAAGGUGGUGAACAUUCGAGGGACGAGGUGCGAGCUGCGGCUGCUCAGGUUCCUCAUGAACAGGGCUCCGGCACUGGAGCAGCUGCUGUUGGUCACCGUGGAAGAAGAGGGAGCUCUAGGAGAUGAGGAGAUGAAGGCCAUCCAAAUGCGGGUCUCGGCCAUGCGGACGGCCUCGCCGGAGGCGCGCGUGACCGUGUGCCGGCCGGGCGAAGACGGCAGCCGGAAUCCCGCACACACAAAGUUCUACCAUGAGGAGUAGGAGUAGUUCUCCUAUUUGUUCCAGGUUCUAUCUUCUCGUGGCCCCUUAUCAGAAAAAAGAAAUCCAUGUAACACCUCGGAACGAAACUUGGUUGUAAUCAGAAUAGAUCUAGUGGCACACUAAUAUCAGAAUGUACCAUUUGCAAUGGGAAAAAAAUGUUUGUUAGCAAUCUAGAGCAGCGGUAGGAUAGAAUCGGAGAAUUGGACCUAGGAAGGAGAUAGAACGCGAGUAUGAGGGCAGAGGAAUGGUUGCUUGGGAAUGAAUAUGAAUUCAGUUGCAAACUUGAUGCUCUCUGUCUGUCUGUCCGUAUGUCUCUGCGCGCGCGCAUAUAGUUCAACUAGUGAUCGUCACGCGCCUUGGCGUGUGAAGGAAACAACGGUGAUUGAAGUGCAUCAUAAAUAUGACUAUACAUAUUAGAGUAUAUUAGAGUACAGGAUACGAUACAUUAAGAUUUAUACACAGUGGGGUACAGUAGCAAGGUAGCUAGCACGUAUUUACAAAAACUGUGGAGAGGAAGACAGCGGUAGAGAGAUCCAAGCAGCACUCUUUUAUUUUUUAAAAAAAAAGCACCAACAUUAGUAAGCACGAAACCGACACCGAAAAUAUUUUUGAGCUAUUCACUAUGCACUUUACCAUUUUUAGAAAAUAAACAAUCAUUUAAAUUGAAACAGGUGCAAAGACAUGCAAUCUUUGACCUGAGGCUAUAGAUUUAGCAAUUACUUUAGCUGAGGAAUCAAACAAAAUUAGAUCUAGCAUUUUUAGAGAAAUAUAUUAAUUAAUAUUCAUUUAACGUGGCCCUAUUGGUUGGCCUCACUUGCGGCGCCUCUACGCGCGUAGUGUCUAUAUUGUCAUACUACAUGUGUCUCUUUAUCUUAUUUUUGUGGAAAUUAAAAUAAUUAUAAAUAUAGUGGUUCGCCACGAUCGGGUGGGCACAAGGAUUGCUGAGAACCGAGCUAAAACGUAAGAGAUCCAAUAUUUUGAAGGUGGUAGCUAGGGUUUUGAACGUAAUUAGUAUUUGAGUUAUAGGGUGGUAGGAACAAUCCCUCGGAGUUGAAGAGCUUUAAAUUAAUUUACGUAAAGGUUAGAGUUUGUUUUGAGAAAAUAUACAUGGCUGUUGUUGACGGACCGCAGGUUGAUUAUUAAAAAGGCUGAGGACUCUUUUGCAAAAAAUGCGAGGCGCAUGCGUGGAUUGUAGGUUGAUUUUUAUAAAGUUUGGGGUGUGUUUUGCAAAAAUCCACAGGCUCGAACAUGGACUGCUGGUUGAUUCUUACAAAAUUCGAUGGCUGUUCUUGGUGGACCGCAGGUCGAUUAUUAAAAAGGCUGAGGACUCUUUUGCAAAAAAUGCAAGGCACAUGCAUGGACUACGGUUUGAUUUUUAUAAAAUUUGGGGUGUGUUUUGCAAAAAUCCACAGGCUUCAACUUGGACUACUGGUUGAUUCUUACAAAAUUUGAAGAUUUUUUUUUACAAAGUGACUGUAAUAAGCUCUUCCGACCAUUGGAUCGGACGAUCGGAUGACCGGGGACUUUUAGCCGACGUGGCCGGCCUGGUUGGCUAGGAACCCGCCGUGUUUCAUAGUUUUUAACUAGUAAAUAUACUAGUACUUCUAAAAAAAAACACUAGUACAUGGACUAUGGCAUGGUCCUAAACCUACUCUGGGCCGACACUCUAAGUACUCACUUGGCGAGCCCGAGAACUACUGCGAGGCCCAAUAGCUUCAGCAGCAUCUUCAGGAUUCAGGAACCUUUGCAUCAAACUGAUGCCGGUUAUUGAGGUAACACUUUUUUCUCAGCAGAGUAAGGAUGGAGAAGAGGAAAUGAGCAUGGCGAGAACAAUUUUCCACGACCACCAUUAUAAGUCAGCAUUAUGAUAACGAGCAAGACCUUCCACAAAAUCCAUAGCGAUCACCUCCCAAGAAGAAGAGGGAACAUACUAGACAGGUUUGGACAAAUUUAUGCACAUCAGAUUUCAUGCCAGACCAAUAGCGCUACUAUGCAAAGCUGACGACACCUGUGGUUGCAGCUCCUUGUUAGGUCCCAGCCACACACGGUUCUUGUAACGAAGCACAGCAUCUUUAAGUGAGAGGAGGUACUGAAUCAGGAGCGUCAGAGAGUUUGGCCAGCAACUCUUGUGCUUGAGGAUCACUCUGAUAACCCAGCUGAGUGAAGGUGUUGCUCAUUCACAUACGGCGUUGUUCUGUAUGGAUGAAGAACUCCCAGCAGACUUUUUUUUUAAAAAAAAAACUCCCCAACGCAGGUAUAGGUCACAGUCAAGUCUGCGCUAUGGGACAGAAUGGAGCUUAGUCCUAACGAAUAUAAAAGUCUCCGCUUUUUUCUGAUUCCACUUGUUAGCAAAGUCAGAACGAUAAUUCAUUCUAAACAAAUAUUUUAACAAUCCUGCAGAUUGGAAAAUUACAUUGACCAAGUAGCUGAGGCUCCAAAUAACUCAGGUUGGAUGCUAUUUUCCACUACACCCAAUCCCGUAUCAUUAGGCUUGUGAGGAAACGUUCCUUGGCGACUUGGCGUUAUCUCGACAGGAAGGUCUUUCGAGCAGACAGGUUAGGUUUGAGCUUAGAUGGGCCGUGGGCGGCCUCUCUAGAGACUCUACCACCGAAUUCAUUGCUUGGGAUGUAUACAUCCAUGAAUGUUGGGCGUAGAGGCUGGAUCUCUUUUUCUUUAUCUAAAAAAAUCUAAUUUAUUGCUUGGUUUGUGGCCUAGUUUCAACGCGGCAUUUGAGUGUUGGUAAACACCCGCCAACCACGGUUGACCACUACAGUACAGAGACAUGCUUAAGCUCAGAAGCUGAGCAACCUCUCCGUUCCUCAUUGACUAAGCUACAGUCGAGACUCGAGAAGCAAUGGCGGAUGGAGUUCUUGCCUCGAGCAUCGUCAAGGAGGUGCUGGCCAAGAUCGCCUCGCCGAUUUGGGCCCAGCUCGCGCUCCUAAGGAGCUUCAAGGCCGACCUGAGGACAAUGGAGCGCGACCUCGCCACCAUACGGGACGUCCUCUUCGACGCCGAGAAGCGAGGCGGCGGCGGCGACAGCGCCGUCCGCGACUGGCUCCGCAGGCUCAGAGACGUCGCCCACGACAUCGACGACCUCCUCGACGAGUGCCGCACCGACCUCUCCGCUUCGCGCCAGCGCAAGAACACGGCGUGCGGCAUCGACCCCAACCUCUGCUUUCUCCGCUCCCUCGCCAUGGCGCGCAGGCUGAGGUCCCUGAGGCGCGAGCUGGACGCCGUCGCCGCCGGGAGGGACAGGUUGCGCCUGAGCCCCGGCAUCUACCCGCCGGCCCACCCGUCCGCUCCUCCCAGGCUCGAGACCAUCUCCAUGGUCGACGAGUCCAAGACGGUCGGGCGGACCGUCGACAAGGAGAAGCUUAUGCGGCUAAUCCUCGACGCCGCCAGCGACGAGGACGUGUCCGUGAUCCCCAUCGUCGGCUUUGGCGGACUCGGCAAGACGACGCUCGCGCAGUUGGUGUUCAACGACCGGCGGGCCAACGACGAGGUGUUCGACCCCCGGAUCUGGGUCUCCAUGUCCGUCGGAUCCAGCCUCCGGACGCUGGUCCAGCCGAUCGUGAGCGCAACCAAGGAGAAGUGCGACCUCGACAACCUCGACGCCGUCGCGAGCUUCCUGUCGCGGACGUUCACGGGGAUGAAGUACCUGCUUGUUCUUGACGACGUGUGGAGCGAGAACCAGGAGGAGUGGGAGAAGCUUCGGAUGCUCCUCAAGGACGGCAAGCGCGGCAGCAAGAUCAUCGUUACGACGCGGAGCCUGAAGAUCGCCAUUAUGGUGGGCACGGUGCCGCCAUUUGUUCUCAAGGGCCUCUCCGACGACGACUGCUGGGAUCUAUUCAGGUGCAAGGCUUUCGAGGGAGGGGAAGAGGAUUUGCAUCCAAAGCUUGUCAAUGUAGGCAAAGAGAUUGUUCAGAAAUGCGGCGGUGUGCCAUUAGCGGCAAAGGCACUUGGGAGCAUGCUGAGGUUCAAUAAGAUUGAGCAAUCAUGGGUGGCUGUUAAGGACAGUGAGAUAUGGCAGAUGGAGAAGGAAGAGACGAUCUUGCCGUCUCUCAAACUCAGCUAUGACCAGAUGCCACCUGGCUGGAAGCAAUGCUUCGCUUAUUGUUCAGUAUUUCCAAGGAAUCAUGAGAUUGACAGGGACAAGCUUAUUCAGCAAUGGAUCGCUCUUGGGUUUGUUGAACCGGCAAAGUAUGGCAGCCAAUCGGUUUUCGAUAGAGCAAAUGACUGUUUUGAGCACUUGUUAUGGAUGUCAUUCCUUCAAGAAGUAGAGGAGCUUGAUUUAUCAAAGAAAGAAGUAGAGGAAGAUGGCAAUGUUAAGUACAAGAUUCAUCAUUUGGUGCAUGACCUUGCACAAUCUGUUGCAGGGGAUGAAGUUCAGGCAAUCAAUUUCAACCAAGAUAAUGGUCACUCUCAAGCAUGCCGCUAUGCAUCACUGACUGCUGACAUGGAAUCUCCAAAAGUUCUCCGAAGCAUGCUUCGCAAAAUACGUGCCUUCCAUUCAUGGGGAUAUGAUCUUGACAUCAAUUUGGUUCUUCAUGCUAGGUACUUGCGAGUACUAGAUUUGCGAGGCAGUCCGGUUUCUGAGCUGCCCCAGUCAGUUGGCAAACUGAAACACCUGAGGUACUUGGAUAUUUCUUCAUCCCCUAUCAAAACUCUGCCCAAUUCCAUCAGCAGCCUCCACAAUUUGCAUACUCUUCACCUGUCCAAUUGCAGUGAUCUUUGUAUUCUUCCCAUAUCAAUAUGCAGCCUUCAAAAUCUGGAGAUCUUGAAUCUUUCAGCCUGUAGCCUCCAUACCCUACCAGAUUCGAUUGGUCAUUUGCAGUAUCUGCAAAAUCUGAAUAUGUCAUUUUGCAAAUUUCUAGAGACAUUACCAAACUCCAUUGGUGAACUCCAAAGCUUGCAGACCUUGAAUUUUAAAGGUUGUGGUAAGCUCAAAACUCUUCCUGAUGCUAUAUGCAGCCUCCAAAAAUUGCAACAUUUGAUCCUUUCUCAGUGUGGCAUUCUCCAAUCAUUGCCCAAAAGCAUUGGUAACCUCUCAAAUUUAUUGCACUUGAAUUUAUCACAAUGCAACGAUCUCGAGUCAAUCCCUGACUCAAUAUGUCGCAUAACUGGGCUGCAUACUUUGAAUAUGUCUCAUUGUAGUAGUCUAUCAGAAAUACCAGUAUCGAUUGGUGGCCUUAAAGAACUUCAAUUUCUUAUUUUGUCACAUCAUUCAAGCAGUUUGUCACUGCCCAUAUCAACCGGUCAUCUACCAAACCUGCAGACUCUCGAUCUCUCAUGGAAUAUUGGUCUGGAAGAACUGCCUGAAUCAAUUGGCAAUCUUCGUAAUUUGAAGAUCUUGAUCUUGUUCCAAUGCUGGAGCCUUUGCAGGCUGCCUGACUCCAUAUCCAACCUUGUGAUGCUGGAGAGCUUGAACCUUGUCGGAUGCGAACAGCUGACCCAGUUACCUGAUGGCAUAAUAAACCUCAGGAAUUUAAAGCACCUGAGAAAUGACCAAUGCCAGACUUUGGAGAGGUUGCCUCAUGGAUUUGGGCAAUGGACGAAACUCAAAACAUUGUCCUUAAUUAUUAUAGGUGACAGAUAUAGCAAUAUUGAGGAGCUAGAGAACCUCAAUCUUUUAACUGGUGAUCUGAGGAUUGAAUGUCGGUCACAUAAGAAGGAUCUGGCAACUAAUGCCAAAAGAGCAAACUUAAGAAUCAAGAGAAAACUAAGCAGCUUGGCCUUGUCAUGGACUGGUUCACGUUUCUGUGAGGAUCCAACAAGUGUUGAAACAUUUCUUGAAGUUCUUGUGCCACCUGAAAACCUUGAGGUCCUCGACAUAGAUGGUUACAAGGGCACUAAGUUUCCUAGCUGGAUGCUUGAGAGCAUGGAGCUGUUGCUUUCAAAUCUUGUAUCCCUCAGUUUGAGCAACAUCCAUGAUUGCACUUGCCUUCCGCCCCUUGGGCAUCUUCCUUAUCUCCAGUCUCUUCAGUUCCGCCACAUGACCGGUGUUCGUAGUAUGGGCUCUGAAGUCUUUGUGAAAAGAAACAAAAGUACUCUAUAUCAGUCAUUGAAGGAACUCCACUUUGAGGACAUGCCCAACCUGGAGAUUUGGCCAACUUCAUGGUCAGUAGAUCACAAGGACAUUCAAUCCGCAUUAUUCAUAUUUCCUGUUCUGAAAACUGUCACUGUAACAAAAUGUCCGAAGCUGAGGCCUAGGCCGUGCCUGCCAGAUGCUAUAGCAGAUUUAUCAGUGUCCAGUAGUAGUGAGAUGAUAUCAUCCGGGAGUAUUUCCUGGCCGUCAUCUUCAGUAUCGGCAUCGCUUCUGAGGAGACUGUGGAUUAAAAGUUGCCAUGUUUCGUCCAACGAAUGGAUGUUGUUGCGCCACAGGCCAAAGCUCGAGGACCUGGUGAUCGAGUACUGUGAAACGCUACAUGUCCUGCCUGAGGCUAUCCGGUCCCUUGGUACACUGCGGAGCCUGAAGGUUCUGAAUUGCGCUGAGCUGGAAGACCUUCCAGAAUGGCUGGGUGAACUUGUAACACUUGAAUAUCUUGAGAUAAACUGCUGUCCAAAGCUGGUCUCACUGCCCAAGGGCCUGCAACGCUUGACUGUGCUGAAGGAGCUGACCAUCACUGGCUGCAGCUCUGUACUGAGUGAGAGGUGCACAAAAGAUACAGGCAAGGACUGGUUCAAGAUCUGCCAUGUUCCAGGUAUUGUCGUUUCAUAAAAUGUAACACCACAUAUGUUGUUUAGUUGACUAGUAUAGACCUGUAGUUCCAACAUGCAAAGAUCUGUCCUUGUUUAAAAUGGUAUAAGCUGUUUGUUUUACCCGGGUACCAACAACAGGGGGCAUUUCAAGUUAAAAAAAUAGGGGCCAUUCUUUGAGGUUUCGUUGGGGUAUCUACUUUGCCCGCAAUUUAUCAGAGCUCUCUUCUCUUUUCAUGUUUGGGGCUCGGUCUUAUUAAUAGCACAAGAUCUGUAGGCCCAGUUAUGCAAUUUUAUUUACUGAAUUGUAACUUAGCAAAUUUGAGAAAGAAAAUGCGAUUUGGAAUUGUAUGCAUGCUAAAUUUUUCUGAGUUGUCGGCUACAAUUGAAGAAAAAUAUAGUUGUUUUUUAGGUUGUCAAAAAUGUGUGUUAUUAUGUCAUUCUUCUUUUAUUAAAAGGGAUUAUCUAACUAAAGAGUGCUGAUUUUUUUCUUUUAUCCAUCCCUCAUAUUUUUUCCAUCCAAUCAAAAUAUGCCAUGUUAUACAACUUGUUUUUUUGCGGGGGGUGAUAUGAAAAAUGUGGGUGGAGAGCAUUCUAUUUUCAGUCAGAAAAUAGUCCACCAAUGCAGGGAAUGGAAAGACAACUGAAAAUAUGACAAGAACCAACCGGUAUUUUACGGAAAAGCCUAGCAAAACACGUGUGCCUCACGCCAUUUUUACAAUGACUCCUUGACUAGAAAUUAGGAAUAGAUUCGUAUACGAAACACACCCGUUAUUCCCUGGAGGACUAACCAUACGAAGCACAGAAGUACUGUGCAAGAUGCUGACACGCUGCCAUCGUCCUACUUUCUUGGCCAAAUUAAGCAUUUUCCUACCAAAUGCUAUAAGACAAAAUGCAUAAAGCAACCUAACUAAUACAAUUACGAAAACAUUAAAAGGUAAAUCAUCUCAUGAAAACAUUAUGUGGUAAUGUGUAAACACACGUGUGAGGGCCUCAAGAGAAAUUUGUGCCACGUGCUAUCUGAACAAGGCUCAUAAACUCUACGAUAUGACUGAAGGCAUCAUCAUCAGAAGGGGCUGUGGGAAACGGAGCAAGACGACUCCAAAUGCUAUGGGGACUUUGGGCUGUAGAAAAACAACUAUAAUACGGGGGGGCAAGUAUAUGAGUCGGACAAGACACAACACGUACAAAAGUUGCCUCACAAAAGCACAACACAAAGAAAACAGAAAAGAAAAAACUUGAAACACAAAUGGUAAACCAAACCGUAAUGCAACGGUCACGGAACCGAGCCAAGUAAACGAAAAAUCUAGCUGGUUGACACAUAAAAUUUUCGUUAUGCUGCAAAACAACCGAAAUCCAUAUAUAGUUUCUAGCUUAUAAUUAGAUAUUCCCGGCCCAGGUGGGCCACAUACCGGCCCAGGUGGCCUGCAGCUGCGCCUGCGCGCGGCGAACCGGUGGCAUGCACACCCCUGUUCCAGAAGCGGUGUCCGGUGGUGCCCCCAUGGCCGCCCAAGAGCCACCCGUCCGAACGCCCCCUCCGAGGGCCCCGCAGGACGAUAGCGAUGAACGACAGCCGCUCAGCCGACAGCCAGACACCCGAGCAGAUCUGUACGUGCGCACGUGACCGCAUCCUCCAAGCAGCCCACGGAACGCCGCAGCCCGCCGGCGAAGCUCAGCCGUCGGAGUGGCAGGGCAGCGCGCAACCGAGCAUACGGUCGGCGCGGCGCCAUAGACGAAAGCGACCGACGGCGGCGGCGCGUCCGGCCGGCGCUGGGGGAAAGAUUCGUCGGCAGAUUUUAUUUUUUUUUUCUCUCGGCCGUGCCCUGCCGCACAGGAAAGCACUAGGCUCCAAGCUAGCCGCGGCUGGCUCCGAAACGGAUCGGAGUAGAAGGCUACGCGCCACGCAUGCCCUGCGAGUCUGCGAAGCUUGGGCCGGCGGCGCCAAUCAAUGGCGCAGCUCCUCGCACGCCACGCCCGCUCCGGCGGCAAGCGAACAAGGGUCCGCCGGCUGUACUGCAACUGCACAGCGGUGGAGGUCGGUGGCGCGGGCGGUGGCGCGGUGUGCCGUGCAGGGUGGGUGGACGGACCAUGGGCUUGGCCGUGUGCCGUCCAGGAUGGUGCAUAGCCCAGCAAGGACUUGCAAUGACACGCGUGACCAAUAAGAGCCAUUUCUGAACUUCCAAAGCACAACGUUUUUAGCACGCCCAGGGUGCAGGAUGAUACGAUAAGCUCUGGACUGCAGUGCUAGCAUGGUAUAAACGCUCCAGAGGAUCAAUGACGUGUCUAAGAAUCUUAGCACGAUGAGCCGUAUGAUAAUAUUAUAUCUUAAUAAUAAGCUGGUAUGUAUAUCUCUUUUGGUUUUUAUUAUUCCUCUCCUUACGACAAACUAUCGUGGAUAUUAUGCGGACAAAUUAACUGUAAUUAGUGGCAAGAUAAAUAAAGUUUUACAGACACGUUGUCAGAGAUAGGCUUUUAGGUACCACGCCACGACGAUGACACGUCACGCCAUGAGCCAUGCUUGAUCCCAACAGCGCAACAGGACGCGAGUAGCAUGGCGCUAAACAUGGUAUAAUACGGCACAAGUCAUGUGCCAUGCUUGUCCUGCACGGGACGACACGAUGAGGGUAGCUCGCCAGCUAAACAUGGAGAGGGCCGGGCCGCCGGGCCAUGCCGUGUGCCGUGCCGCGACCAAGUCCCACCUCUACUUUUAAGCGGAAAUAUGCAGCCCCAGUCAGCUUGUCUGAGGAGAGUGGGAAGUAGAGCUGUGUGUUGACUUACGCCUAGUUGAUUUGAGAGUUCGAUCGACGGCUAGAAUGAUUAACACAAACAAACAUUGCCACAAGAGAAAUUAAUUAAUACGACCAAACAGAUAAAUAUCUAAACCAGUACUCCAUCCAUCUUAAAUUAUUAUUCGUUUUGGUAUUUCUAAAUGCAUAGUUUUUCUAUGCAUCUAGAUGUACAUUGUAUCUGGAUGCGUAGCGAAAUUUAUAUACGUAAAAAAAAUCAAAGCGACCAGUAAUUUGGGACGGAGGGAGUACGAUGAAGCUUAAAAUUUAGAAACGCUCAAACAAACUGAUCAUGAAACUAAUUCGACUGAAUUUUACGACCACCGACCAAAUCAAUCGGGCACUGAUCUGUGAUCACCACCACUGGCCAGCUAGCUGGGCUGCAAGUUGGCGCUAGAAAAGUUGCAGUUGUGCAUGGCCUUGGCAGCAGCGCCCGCCGCAGCUUGCAAGAUCUUCCUAUCACGGCUACUUCCCUGCACCUCUCUCUCGUCAGAUGGUACUCUGCUAGCUCCAUCAACUGUACAAAUCAUGACCAGACAGUCGCCAGAAAGAAAGAAAGACAGCGAGACGCUGCGCUGCUACCAUAAAAAUCGAGCUCCAGCUGGAUUGUGCAUUUUGUUCAUGUAUAUCCAGGAUCGAUCUGGAUAAGAUCGACGACGUGCCGUGCCAUGCCCAGGACGUACACAUCUUAUCUCGUUAUCUCCUGUUUGACCUGCUCGAGUCUCCUGUGACACUAAGCGGCGGCGAUGCGAUGCACCUAGCGUUCUCAUCAAGAACACGCAAGGGAUUUAUUUACGCGUCGUUUUGCUAAGAAAAAAGGACGCACGUGUAUUGUUUGUUGGAGCUAGCUAAGCUAUCCGAUCGAGCAAGUACAGUUGCUCAGGGCAUGGAACCGAGUCUGAACUGAAGAUACUCAUCAGGAAAGAAAAAAAGGGCAGCUUGAACAGCUGGUGUAGUUUGAUCGAUCUUACCUUGAUCUUGCCCUGGUCAUCAGAUGGGAAGUGUCGCCGCGGUCAAGGCCUUACAUCAGGAGCAGGGGCCACGGUGUAGCCAAGAACAACUUGCCGAUGGCCGACCGAUCAGCGCACGCGCAUCAGUGGUCUGACGACGACGAGAUCGGAGGCGUCCGUCCGUCGAUCGGCAAGUCAUCCUUGGCUGCACCAUAGUCCCCGAGCCUAAUGUUAGGCCGCGGGCGAGCCGAUCCCGACCGAUCCGCCAUGGCUGAGCUAGCUGAGCUUGCAGCCACGGCUGAGGAAGAGAGGGGAGCUGCAGGGAAAGGGAGGGGGGGCGGACAGAGAUGUGCGGGCUCUUUAUAGGGAUGCCAUUUCUGAAGGGAGGAAGGUCGGUGGGCGAAUUGAAUAGCCUGCAAUUCUGGAAAGGAAAUACUUGAAUGCUUGGCUAUCAUCUGCGGAUUUUUUUGAAGGGGACAGGCGGCUAUGAUCGGAGAGGGAAAUGUGGUCACGCGGCACAUGCAUCUCGCGAUCCUUGCUGCUAGCUGCUGCGUGCAGAAUCAAUGCCAGAAUCAUGGACGGACGUGCAUCGUCCACAUAAAUACAGGCAUGAGAAACACCGAUCAAAGAUUGGGUUUUUGAACAUUUUAGUCUGUGGAACAACACUAGAAAUUUAAAAUGAAAAAUUCCCAAAUGAGGAUGGAGCUAGCGUCGAUUACUAGUAUAUUAUUAUCAGGUAAAGUCGUGUACUGGACGAAACGUGAUGGAGCUAGCGUCGAUUGCUAGUAUAUUAUUAUCAGGUAAAGUCGUGUACUGGACGAAACGAAAGAAAAAAAAAAGAUUGUAUACUGUGUGAGCCCUUUAUAGGAAGGUACACACGGUGAUCCCGAAAGCUGACGGCCAGGCAACCUUUGAUGCUGUUUUCCACGUCGGAGAUUCCUCGUCCUCCGACAAGCCACCUUUCCGGUGAGGAAAAUCUGUCUAAGCACAAGAGGUACGGUAGAUGGGUGGCAUCAUGGGCCUGACUGGGGCGCCAUGCCGCCGUGCACCUCCUCCGCGCAGCUCUGCCCAUCCAUGAUCCUUCGUACGGGCUCUGCCCUGACCCCGCUUGAUUGCAUUGCCAUGUUCGCGUCCAGCGCCGUCCUCCCCAUCCGUGCCGUGCCGCUCUCGCGCUGGCAGGGGAACAGCUAGCGCGGGGGCCGGUGAGAGGGCGAGGGAGCUGUCCUGGAAUUGGCAAUGGCGUCCUCUUCCUCCUCCCGCCCAUGAUUGCGGGGGUUGAACUGGGCGGCCGGCCGGCAUGCCGUGCACGGCGGCAGGCCGGCGCAGGAUCACGGAGGAGGAUCGCCCGCGGCUCGUUACGUGCCUGCUCUGACGGACGGCGGGCAGGAACCGGGAAGCGGUCGUCUGGUCUGGUUGGUGGUGUCAGCGGCCAGAGCUUGCCCCCUGUACUUCCUGUACUUGAUGCCGUGGCUGAAACUUUUUUUUCUGAACAAAAUUAUUGGUUCGAACUCCAAAUUAGCCAUCUCGUCUCGUCUUUCCUUGUGAUCAAUGAUAACCUAGGCAAGCCGAGUCGAUUGAGGAUCUGUGUCGGGUUUCAAACUUUGAAGAUCGCUCGAGCGCAGCCAAGGCCCGGCUUGACAAAGCUUGGCACUUGGCAGCAUUAACAAAACACGAGUUUUCUGUAAGUUAGACAUAACAUGUGGCAACAUAGCUCGAGACGUGGCUGGAGUAAGCUCCAUGGGUAGUCUUAACUUGGCAACAGCUCAAUAUUUUUAGGGUUACCCAUAUUUUUAUCCUCAACUAAUCUUCUCCUAAAGCCAUGUUUUUCAGCCAGAGAUUGUAGAUUCUAGCUUUUAUAAUCUCUAGUUGAAACAAAUAACCAGCUUUUGAAUCUAGAUACCAUAGUGUCCACCAGCUUUUGCAAAAUUAUGGCAUAGAAAUAUAUUUGCCCACCAUGCUCACAUGUAAGAGAAAAAAGAGAAACGGACCAUGUUUCCAAACAGUCAUUAUUGGUUCAUGGUCGAUCUUCGACUUCCUCAUAAGAUGGAAUACUCAAACUCAUCCCUCAACUAUGCCCCAAGAUUCAAGUUGAUCUCUUAUGUACCAAAUAGGUCAUUCAAAUCCUUCAAGUUUCUUUGGUGUCAUCAUCGAGUAUUCGUAGAGUAGUAUGUUGGAAUCGCCUCUUCCACCCCUUGUUUUGCAUUCUGAUACCUCUCAUUUUGCAAAAUUCAUGAAGAAGCAAUACAACUUAUUAUGAUGUUGGUAUUUUUGUUCUUUCCUUCUCAAGCAACCCCCCUAAAACGACGAGCCUAUUGUAGUCCAUCAAAUUCACAUCAAGUAUCAUUUCUAGUUUCACAAAAUAGAAGGGUAAAUAAAACAAUGCCAACAUGCUUACUCCUCCAAGGAUGCCCACAAAAUGGCAUGGCAUGAAUAUGUCGUGUGCCACAUCAGAUUAGGCCAUUAUGAACCAAUAAGAAAAUUUGAAGGACAUUUAUAGCCGAUUUGAUACUCUAGAGACUUGCAUAACCCUUGGGACACAGGUUACUAGUUAAAGGAUAUGUUUGGCUAUUUUCCUUCUCAUAAUAUAUGUUUUGACACUUUAGAAUCUUCUUUUUAGAAUCUUUAGCUAAACAAACAUGACCUAAGUAAGCAUGCAUGAAAAAGAAAUUAGUUAAUGGUAGUUAAGCAAAGAUAAGAUUAGAGAAAAUAGACCAAAACCGCUUAGAAGUUACAUAAUGAUGAGAAUUUUGAAAAGAUCAUAAAAUAGUUUAAAACGAGUUUUUUGAACAAGGGAGUAAACUCAAUAAUGUAAAUCCAACCAAGUAAACAAUAGGUUGCCUUGAUAGGCAUACAGGAUUGAGAUGACUUUUACUAUUUGUGCAAGGCUCAAAAUGAAGCUAGGUCUACAGAAAUUCGAUAGAUAUCCAGCAUUGUUAUUGUCAAGCAUAUGGGACAACGAAUUAAAUCUUAUUUUAUUUAUACCAAUAAUCCACCUUCUCUGUGUAAGUAACAGGGAGCCCAAGCCCCAAAACAAUGCACCAUGCAAGGUCUCCGCAUUGCAAGUUGUUGAACUUCCAUUGAUUCAAAACUUAAUAUUUUCUUAAAUGAGUAGAAGCCAUAAUUUAUUGGUCAAUUAGAUACCUUGUUGAUUUUGUUAAUUUGGUUAAUGCAGCUACCAAAGUGAAUUCCUUAUUCCUUACUAAGGAAAGCAAUGCACAAUUUUAAAAUGCUUCGCUGAGAAAUAGAACACAACUUUCAUCCUUCCAAUGAAUUAUCAUCUAUUUAAUCAUUUUCACUUUCUCGUAAAUACUAAUUGUUUUUCAAUUUUUUAUUAAUCAUUCAGUUCCUCUAGUAAACAUUUUGAACUACGGUGUGCAUCAGACUGCGCCGUAGGACCGUAUGCAUCAACAAAUUGAUCCACGAGCAAACUUUCUGGAGCAGCGGCAGUCCAGUUGAACGGAGCACGGAUGCAACAGGUACCAAGCAGUUCAGAAACAAGACCGUGAGAGCUGAAUAAAAUGUGCGGCAAAUCACAAGCAGAGCGAGCAGGCCGGGGGAUGCACCGCGCGCUCAGAUAAGCGUGAUUCGCCGGGCGAAAAGUCUCGCACACCAAGGUUAGGAGCCCGAGUAUUCAGGAUCAGAACUCGGGGCCUCUUUACAUGUGCGUAUCAAUCAAACUCGAAAGGCGGCCACCCAAACCACACCAUUAACAGAUGAAAGAAAACAAAAGCGAGAAACAGGAGAAAGCAAAUGCAAUCGGAACAGACUGCAACCGGAAAACCCAGGCAAGGUCGAGACUGCAACCAGGAGCGCAAGGGAUCCAUUGGGGCUACCGAUUCAGUCUCCGGAAGUCUGCACAAGAGCAGACGAGAAUUGGCGGCGCCAACGACGACGAGAGAGAAGGGUUUGGUGCGCGGUAGGGUUUAGGUGGGGGUGUUCACUUAUAGCUGAGGCGGGUCGACGUGGGCCGUCGGAUCGGCCGCAUCCUCCUGUUUGCCACGAUCUCGCCAGCCGCCAGGCGCCGUUCCCUAACCAGUUUAUUUGGGCCGCGCGACGGUCCGCGAGCGUGGGAUCCUUUCGGGCCCGUCUACGACACCUCGUCGGCCCAAACAAGCUCGUCGUGCGCGAGUGAGUAGCCCCUUCCCGGUCAGCAUCCCUUCUUAAGCUGAAUCGCACACGCAGCUGGCCAGAAAGAAGUCAGAGAAACACUUUCAGGGCAUUCUAAACCAGAGAAGGGCUGGGGUGGGCCACGGGAACGGAAGGUGAGAAAUCAAUGUGGGCGCUACGUUUCAUGCCGGGAAAGGGAGGAGAGCAAGUUGAUACGAACAGAGUCACAGAGACAACACAACCAUGGUACAACUAAAAGGUACUAGAAUAGAGCAGAUCGAGCAUCCUAAAACAACUCAAAACAUAAUUCUGUUACAAACAAAGAAAUCCUGUUAAUGGAUAAAAUCAUCCUUGAUGCAUGCAGCAAUACUCCUCAUUGAAGAUCCUCGUGUGGGCAUGGUUCGGGCUGUCGUCUUCGCUGGGCCGGUACACGGAGGUGCGUGCCUCGCGCGACGCCUUCUGCCGCGCCGACACCCACUCCUGGAUGCCCUCCACGUGCUCGAAUCCCGGGGCUCCUAAUCCUCCUUCCGGCGUGACCAGCACCAGCUGCUCGAGGAUCGGAGCCCUCAGCAGCAAGUACCUGAUCAGCCGCCGCUCGCGCCAUGUUCCCCUAAAAUUCACAACCUUGAUGAAAGUCAGCAGGCCGAAAGUCAGCAGGCGGCUGACGGCUCUGUCGCUCAAGUACUCGUCCUCGUCCUCGUCCGAGUCCGAGUCCUCAACCUCCUUUGCUGGAUUUCUGGAGAGCUGCAGUUACAUCAGCGAAUUCAGCUGGUAAGCAGUUCGGAAAACAUUUUCUCGACUCAAAGUUUGGGGCUUUGGGAAAGAGAGGGCUUUGCUUACACGGAUAAAGAGCCGUUCGAGGACUGGAAGUGAGGUUGAGUAGAAGAAAGUGUACACGCGCUCAGGGUGCCGAGGGUUCCAAUCGCCUUCUUCUUGUAUGCAGCCCAGCAGCAGCUGCAGCUCUUGGAGGUUGGGCAUGUCUACGUAUGGGAACUUAUCGCGGUUCACAUAUGUAUAAGGAACACGAUCCAUGCAGUUAUAAUCAUCCCCGUCCUCUGAAAAAACCGGCACCACCAAGCCGAAGGAGCAGAGCGUCAAGACACGGGUAUGCAGGACGUAGUACACGAAGGGGUAGUAGUAGUCGAAAUUCAGGUCCAAGUCACCGCAGCCGUCCAUGUGCGAGAGGUACACGUCGCGCAGCGCCGGCGCUGCGGCGAAGUCGACGGAGACGGUCUCGUACCAGUCGACGGCGGCGGCGCUCAGGAUGACGUCGCCGUACAUGGCGAACGACUCGAGCGCGGGCGCGGCGACCCGGAGAUCGCGCACGGCCCGGCAGCCCAGGAGCUCCAGGGCCCGCAGCCGCUCGCUGGCGACGCUCACCUCGGUGAGGAGGGAGCAGCACCGCAGGCUCAGGGACUCGAGCGCGCGGCAGGUGGCGAGCACGCCCCGGAGCGCCUCGUCGGUGACGUCGGUGUGGCUGAGGGAGAGCGAGCGGAGGCCGGCGAGCCCGGCCGCGGGGAGCGGAACGGCGCGGAGGCUGAGCCGGCCGAGCGCGAGCCGCUCCAGCGAGCUCCUUGACCGGAACAGGUCGCCGGGGAGCUCCAGGAACGCGGCGCUCCCGUGAUCGGCGCCCUCCUGCGACGGCGUCAGGUCCACCUCCACCUCCCUGGCGCCCCUCGCCACGGCGGCCGCGAUCCACCCGAUGACGUCCCGCCCGAACGCGCCGUAGCCGGGCCCCGGCGGGGACACCAGCGCCACGCGGAACGCGUCGAGCGGCGCGCCGUGCUCGGCGUGGAGCCGGAGGCAGCGACCCACCGUGGCCGCAGCCCGGUCCGCCGGCUGCCCGUGGGCGAAGUCCCGGUCGGUGAAGUCGAGAACCGGGGAGUCGGCGAGCGCGCGGAUCCACUGGGGCACCCACCGCCGGGAGAGGGCGCUGGUGCGAGCGGCGUGCUUGAGCGGGAGGUCGCGGAGGAUGGAGAGGAGGAGGUCGUCGGGGAGGCUGCUCAGCCGGUCCUCCAUGGCUCCGCUGCAGGUGCUCGGGUGCGGCGAGUGCGAUUCCACGUCAGUCGGUGGUGCGAGGUCGAUUUGUGUUAAGCUGCGUUUGGAUGCAGGUAUUUAGCAGAGGAAUUGUAUUGUGCUGGCAAUACUAAAUCUAGAGUGACAUUGGAAUUGAGCUGCAAUGUCAAUAUUGCUGUUUGGCAUGUAAUUACUAGUUGGAAUUAAAACGUAGCAGCCAAUUCCAAUGCCUGUUUGGAUGUGCAAACUCUUAAAUUGUAUACUUUGAUGAGUUUGAACAUGAUACAAUGUUUUACAUCUAUGAAUCAUAAUGUCCAUAAGUUGUGCACAUAUUGGAAUUAUUAUAUAUCACUUUUUAUAAAGAAAAAUAUGCAAAUGUUCUAAAAAAUCAUCAAAUAAGCUAGAAUAUCAUGAAAAAUGACAAAAAUAUUAACAAAAUACCACAACAGCCACUAUAUAACCAACAACAUGACAUCGAUAGUUUCCAGGUCUCUUACAAGUCUCUUACAAGUACCAACAAAAGAUUACAACAUACUAAUGGUGCUGCUAUAAUAGAAUAAUAUAUGUUUUUCCCAUCAUAACAGGAAGCACCUAAUUAAGAUAAUAAUUUCUUAAGCAUUACAUGAAAACAAGUGGACAGAACCACCCCUCAAUUGCUAUUCUUCUCAUUCAACAUCAAAAGCCAUUCCUUCUUCGUGUCCAUGGGAAGUUCCAUAAGCGCUUGGAAUAAGCAUUCAUUAAGGAUAAGCUUCCCAUAAGAUUUCAGCAUGUCACAUCUAGCGACAUCUGGAAUCAUUUGAAGUGAAGCAAAAAUUUCAGCAGGUGGAGUGACAUGGGGCAGCGGUAAUGGCUCAGUGGACUUCAAAGCAUCAUUGAAUGAGGUCUUCAUAUCUCCAAGCAUGCAGAGAAUCGCAUCUCCAGUUCGUUGCCUCUGGGGCAAAUCUAGGGAUGGAUCAUUCAGCUUGUUCAGGUGAAUCUUGAGCAGCCUUAGCACCUGUCUUGGCACCUUCGCCAUUGGCACGAUCAGUUGAGUAAAGAGUGCUGAUUGCAUCCCAAUUUUUUACUACUUUGGUCUUAUAACAAGCUGCUGCCUUGUUGCCCUGCAAAAUAGGCACAUCAACAAAGUCAAGUUACUAUAUUUUUGUAUUACAAAAUUAAGUUACUAUAUUUUUGUAUUACAAAAAUAAGACGAAAAAUAAAAAUGUUAUGUCCUUACCACCACAUAUCUAUUCCAGACAUCUUCACUAUCAAUGAUAGCUUAUUAUUUUCCUAAUCCCAACCAAAUCCACUCUGAGAAAGUAUCUUGCUAAUAAUCUCAUAAUGCUUGUCAAAAAUUUUGCACCUUGAUGCUAUGUUUUCCUUUGUAAUCUCCACAUUACAGCUCUCACGUACAUUCUUUAUAGCAGCAUUGUAGACAUGUGGCUUCCAUCCAUUUUGUGCAUCAUCACCAUUGUUGUGAAGCUCAACAAGGACAGAUAACAAUGCAGUCCAUCUCAUCUGUCCAUGUGAGGUAAACUCUCUUUCCUUUUGCUGUAGCCAUGGUGCUAUCCACAAAAUACCACAAAAGAUGAUGCAUAGUUAGACAAAGGUAAUAACAUAUAUAUCGAAUAUUUUUCAUAACACUAUAGCUAACAAAAUAUGCUGCAGCCAUGGAUCCACAAAAUAACCCCAAAAUGGGCCAUGCUUUCACACAAAAGGUAACCCACACGGCCUACUCCAUCACAAGUUCACCAUGUCUCCCAAGGUACUCCGCAAACAUAUCAUUAGCUAGCUGCUCCCUAAAGGUGUUCCAUUCAGCACUCUAAAAUGUAGCCCACCUUAUAAAAUUGGCAAGAUUUUGGAAAAAAAAAAGAAUGGCAUGCCUAUAUUUUGAUAACUAACCAAGCAAGUCCUUCCUUUUGCAUGCACCGCAAGGUAAUGUGCAACUCUGUUCUCCUACCUACUUAUCUUAAUCACCUGAAAAAAGCAACUAUUUUGGAGGAACAGAAAUUGUGAAAUCCGUGGCCGUAGCCUCCAGUAAGAAGCUUCAUCUCCCUUCUGCAACUGUAGAAUUGUAGAACAGCAUCCUUGAUUUGAAGAGCUUCAGCCACCUUAGCUGCCAAUAUCAGAGCAGCCAGUUUUGCCAUAACAACUGAACCGCUCAUCAUUCUUGCGUGAGUUUUUCAGGAAAAGAAAAAAAAACAUUCUUGCGCGAACCUGCAAGGAACCCGAGCUCUUUGAACGAACCUACAAAAGAAAUGAAAACACCCAGGCCAGCCCAUCUAGAAGUACCACCUGACCCAUCAGGAGCAAGAGCUGCAUUCGUGUAAAAAAAGACUGCAUGCUGCUGAGCAUGAUUCCCUGUACGGCUGUACCUGAGCAUGAUUGCCGCCCUGUACCUGAAUGGAAGAGACAAAUUGUUGUCCAAGAAAAAACUGGCCAUCAUUACAUUCCCCUUCUUUAUUUCCAUUACCAAGGCGAUCCAAAGUCCCACCUACUGAAACAAGCAUGGUAUAAGUUUGAAUAUCAGCAAAUAGUUCAUGAGAAAUUUUAUUUAUGGACCAUUUUUUGUCGUUAAACCUGAAAUCAUUCCUAGCUUUCCACAGAUACCAUAACCUGGUGAGAACUUCUUGCAGCAGAUCAUCACUAAAAUUAUUAUUCAGAACAACAGCAAUUCAGCAAACCAAACAGCUCUGGCAAAACUACACUAAACACAGGUGGAAAUCAGUUUCUAAUAAACCACAAAGUUUGCAGGUGUUAUCAAUUCUAGUGCUGUAGCUAGAAGCUCUUUGGCCAGUAGCUAGAGAAUAUCUAAUCAGACUCCAAGGAAAAGCUUUAAUACAGGGAGGAAGAAAUUUAUGCUUCCAGUUCUGUUGAGAACAGCUAAGGCAUACGAAGAAAUACCUGCGAGACCCAUGAUUUGGAAGGGAAUGCCCAGAUUGAGAAGACACAUAUUUGUAAGCCUCUUUGGUUGAGCAGAUACCAUUAGCAGCCGGCCGGCUACGGGCUACCAACAAAGAAUAUCUGAAUUAUCAGAAUUGGUCUUAGGGGUUUGGAUGAUAGAAGAAGCAGCUUGCUGAUAAAAGGUAGAAUUGAUAAUAUCAGCAUUCCAAGCAUUAGUUUCAAUGUUCCAAAGAUCAGACACAAUGUUAGUAAGGCAGUAAGAGUUUGUGGCCUUGUGGCAUAAUUAACUGGUCAUGAAUACUCUCCCACCCAUCAAACCAAGGAUCAACAGAUUUAGGACCAGAACAAGAAGCCUUCUAAAAGGAAUUGUUAUGAAAAUACUUGGCUUUAAGGACAGUGGUGAGAAAUCAUCCAGGCCGAGUGAAUGACUAAACUUUUAUUCACAGUAUGCAACUGGGGGACUUGGAUGGCUUGACAAGAGAAAUGUACGUCCACAAGCAAAGGUUUGCUGUUUUUACUACUUUGUUACUUUUUCCUAAAAUAUUUACUACUUCCUUUUCAGAGAAAGCUACCAGCCAUUCAGCUUAAUAUUGAGAAGUUAUUUGACACAGUUUCUGAAUGUGCACUCCUAGCAUCUGAAAACUUGGGAAGAGAUAUAUACAUGCUCCUACUUCCCUGCCGGCAUGGAACUUUAUGCAGGUAUGUUUCAUUCUUUUCUUACCCUUUCGUAUACUCUCUUUCCAGUGGGCAAUGCUUUAAAUCAUUUGUCAGAGUGACUUUAAAUGAAUGUUUUCUCUGUAUUAGGUCUUGUGCUGAGAAUUGCAAGAUGUCUCAAAUCUAGUGCGUACCAAUUGAAGAGCGCAUGCCUAUAUAUGAUGUUUAUUAAACCUCGCUAACUCGAGUUAACAUAACAAAUUUGUACCUGUGAGUACUGUGAGCUGCUACUAAGGAGCUCAUGAGAUAAUUGUAAUCAAAUAUUUUAGAUUGCAAAUCGUCGAGGCUUGUUGCUUUCAGUACACGCUACACGGACGGGAACAGGCAGAACGGUACACAGCACAGCGGUAUUCCAGUUCCAGCACCAUGCAACGGGAUCUCCCAACUCCCACAAACACCUCCUAACACUCCAGAAAUAUGUUCUGCGUCAACAAAAUUGAGACCCAGGGACGCACGAAGGAACUACAAACCCGUAUUUCCUGCACAGCUCCUUAGCAGCUGAUAGUUCGGGGAAAAUUGAUCUCCUUGCCAAGGCGACACUACUACUCCACGAUCUUAACCUUCUUUUUCUUCUUUGAUUUCUCCGAUGAAGACUGUGGCAUCUCCGAAGUCGUGUUGCUCUGCGCGCCAGGUGCCUGAGAUCCUUGGGACACCUUGCCUGACAUGUUUGAGUGCCCCAGGCUGCUUUCAUAAUUUCUCUUCUGCUUGUGUUUGGGAGUUGGCUCUGCGCUCCAUUGGCCCAGUGAACGGGCCGAGCCUUGGCUGCUCCGGUUCUUUGAUGCGCUAGUGAACCGAGACUUAGUCUUCCUAGAAGAACCUGGGAGGCCACAAGAGAAUCAAGUUCAAUCAGAUGUCUUUUUCUGUGGUUAUAAUGAUUGAGUGGCGUACUGGUGAUUAAGUAAACUGGCAUCAUUUUCUUUGAGGGGUGUAAGUUAACUCAAAAAUACACCUGAAUAAGUUAUUAAAUCUUAUGGGGCUAUUCUAACUUAAUCAACUUUCACAGGUGACCUCCCAUCUCAUGGUAAAAGAGCAGAUAUUUUAAAAUUAGCACUCACACAAAUAAAAAAUAAGGUUACCCAUAUGCCUGAAGGUUACCAACAUAGAUGAUAUGCACUUGGACCGACUUGUCUUUCCUCUUGUUGAAUAGUUAUGAACUUACAAAAAUAUAAGACCGUGAACAGGCAACCAAGCAAUUGCAAGACUUAACUGCCAGGAACUACCCCAAUCUAGGGAUUUUGACUAUUAUCCAGCAGUAACAUCAUAUCCUGCCUAACAUGGCUACAAUGAUAACAGUGGAAAGUGGAAUUGGUGAAGAAAACAAUUUUGGGAAAAGAAUUACCUGCAGAUAUCUUACUGCUAGGAGUAAGACCCCCAAAAUUUGGUUUAACUAAUUCCUCAGGUUCGGGAUAACGAACUAAGCAAACUCGCCGUGAUAUCUUCCCCACUGUAUUUUUUUUUGUCAGUCAACAAAUUUGCAUCAAACACAUAAAAUAUGAAUAGCAGAUGAGAAAAGCUAAGAUACUUGACUGUUUACACAAAUUUAGAAGUAGUGCCUGCAAGACAAGAGAAGGUGAUGGAUAUUUCUCCUCCUUCGCCAAAACCCUUAUGAUUUUAAGCAGAGUUUGCUUAUCUUUAAACAUGAAACAAAAUAAAUAUAUUUGCUGCAGGCUUGACACACCAACUGUUAAAAAGAUAAUAUUUAUUUAGACUAAUUUUUUCAUGUUUCACAGUUGAAUGAUAGCUACGAUGCCAACUUGUUUUCAUGAUCGAACUGUCAUGCAGGAAAUAACACUGAUUCACCAGAACACUAAGAAGAAAUAGUCCAGAAGAGAUAUUCUUCAUUGUUGGCACUAGGCUGGCAUACAGUCCAACUUCUACAGUUCAUCCCUUAUGUUUUAACAACAUAUCCCAAUAUAGACUCUGCAUCGCAGUUUGUUUCCUUUACUAAACCCAGAGCUACAAGUGAAUAAUAUCUCUGAAUUUGACAUUUGGAGAUAAACUUUCAGAGAUGGGAACCAUGUCCUGCUUCUUGAACUUUCAAAGCUGGGAACUAUGUCCUGCUUCUUCUCUUCUCAUUUCAGUAUUUCCCUUAUAGAUCAAAUGAACCCAAACUAACAAGUUGAAGUACAUGUUAAAAGAACAGACUAAGAUUAACAAUUUUAAAACCAAAUAUGAUGCUACAACCUAUCAUGAAUUUUGUUUACGCAAAAGACUCAUUGUAUUGUUAGCAUUUUUCACGAACCGGUAACUAAUGUUAUAGCAAAUGGCAAGAAGUAAUAUCAAAGGCUUCUAUCUAAUGAGCCCUAGCUUAGGGUUCUGCCAACCCAUCAAAUGCAAGCAUCAAUCAUGGCCUGAAAAACUAUCCCAUUAAACUGUAUAUGAAGAUAUACAGCGGCGUUUUUAGCAAGAGUCCUGUCUCAAGAAAGGGGAAAAAUAAUAUGUGAAAAAUCCCACACAAUUAAAGUAUUAAGUUAAAUUCCACCAUACCAGGUUUUAUUUCUGAUCCUGACGGUUGAAAGACAGUUGCAUCUGGCUGCUGGGCUGCAUAGCUGACAAGCUCAUAAGAUUUCCCUGAAAAAAAAAUAAGUGUGUUAGCUGCAGCCUGUAACUGAUAUUUUCUCUGUGAAAAAAAUUAACUAGUUCUUUCCCACAAUAACUGGACUAUGAUGCUUGGCAUGUCCUGUGUCUAGCAUCAACUGAAGAAAUUAAUGUGUUAACAGUGCAUUACAUGAUAAAGCUGGCAUUUCAUUUCAAUGAUCAAACUUAUGAAUAUUGAAAAUGGUACCACCUUAUUUUCAUAAACUAAAUUGUAAGUCAUACAUCUUGAUUUCAAUUUAUGUUCCAAAGAACCCGUAAACUAGUAGUUCGUCCCUAAAGAUUAAACAAGGAAAUUGGUAGAAUAAGAACCUCAGUACGACUAAAACUCAAUGCUUAAUUCGGGCUACCAAAAAGAACCCCUUAGGAGAUUCAGAGAUACAAUGUUAGCCAUGGAAAUACAAUGGUUCCAUUGAAAGGAUUAACACUGAUGCCUUUAGUAUAGGAUACAGAUGCUAUUUGGCAAGAUCGCUAUGGCCAAAGUUGGAGUGAACAAUACUCAAGUGUAGAGUCUCCAGAAUGCUCAAAAGCUAUUAAACCAUGUAACCAUCGAGUCAAAGCAACUUCAUCAUAGUCCCAUGUAAUCACCAAACCAAAGCAACUUCACUAUAGUCCAUGCCAGUUAUGUUACCUGAGGAACUCUCCAAAUUGCCCAAGUUUCCAUCCUCGUUCAGCUUAAGAGAAAGCUCUUUACCAUGGAAAUCAGAAGCAUCUAACUGCAUCGUUGUACGGAAAAUAUUAAGACGUCAACAGUCAGCAUUGUAGCAUAAUAAGAACACACUACUGGGGUGCAAGAGGUCCAACUAUACCUGAUCUUUAGGCCACUGUAUUAGCCAAAACUCUGUUGAGUCUGUUGGCGAUAUGUCAAGCAUGGGUUCUUCUUUGACCUCCUCAAAAGCUGGUCCAGGCUCAUAGCUACAGCAGUUGAUGCAAAGUUCAGAUGCCAAAGAACAGAAACACAGCAUCAAAGUGUAUGAGGUGUGCUACUGGAAGUAUACACGCUAAUCCACUCGUGGCAAGCAGGUGCAUGCAUAUCUACCAUAAGUUUUAUUAAGAGCAAGCUUUUUUAAGCUUUACAGUUUGAUAUAUGAUAGCAUUCCAGCUUAGCAUUAUUCGGCCAGAAAAAGGCAGUAACAAGCAGCAAAACAAUGCUUUGCAAUUAUAAUGCUCUCGCAUUCAAAAUGGUAAUAACCGGUCCAGUUUACUCAGGAAGAUGAGCAUUUGAACCGACCUAGCUCAUACCAACUACACCAUGGUAAGGUCACAGGGAAAACAAAGACAACGUAGAGAACAUACCGAACCCUUGCUGCUGCCUUCACCAUCUCUACCGCAAGCUCUUAGUUUUAUUUUCCCUCAACCACAGGGCUUGACGGGGGCUUCCCGAAUAAGAUGAAACACCCCUAGCUUGUUCUGGAAACAGACUGUGUCCGCACCUUUCGUACGAUUGCUCUUGCGCACUGAAGAACAGGAAUCUGAUUGAAACAAGGACACACUAGAUUAGUGGAACUAAGAAAAUCAAGCAACAAGAAGUGAAAAAUCUGAACAACAAGACCCUGGAUGACCAGAUCGGAAGAAGAAGCAAUAAAUCAAUCCAGAAGAAGACCAGAUCGAGAGAAGGGACAGGAGGAAAUCCAUCCACCGAGACGUUGAGUCACGGCCAGGUCGCGGGAGGAGCCAAGGGCGAGGGCCCCUACCUGCAACCUGCUGCACCGCUGUGCCUUGGUGUGUGGAGCAGCGGAGGCCGGGGUCGUCGCCCUAGCCCCGCCUCGUGUGGCCUCGGCAGGAGGCGCGCCCCGAGCGCCUGCACUGGCUCCUGGGUGCGCUCUGCGAUGCAGCAGCACAGGACUGAGUUGAGGGAAUGAAAAAACUUCCCCCGUGUAAGCAAGGUCCAGUACCAGUACGGGCGUGGUAGAGGACGAGGGAGACGGGCGCUCGUCGAGAGAAGCCUCCGGUGGACGGCGGCGUGGCUUGCUGUGUUCAGUCACCAGCUGUGUGUGCGUGGCCACCGGUGGUGAGGGAGACAAAACCGUGGCGGCGGCAUAGAGAGAGCGAGACGGCAGCGAGAAGGGAGCAAACCCUAAGUUGGGCUUCUGCUACCCGUUCUGUCAAAUCGAUCAUCGGCCCAUGCCCCUUGUGAGUCAGAGAGAGGGAGGUAACCGCAUUAGUUGGGCCGUAGCCUCGUGCACUAUCAUCUGCAUUGACCCAGCCCAUAACGACGCCCGACGGCCCGAGUCCGUACCAGGUCCAGUCCGAGUCCCGGUCCACGCCGGCGUCCCGGUCGUGCACGCACGCACCCACGCGAGCCAACAGCAACAGGCGGAGUUCUCCGCAACCGCGUCGCCGCCAAGAUCGCUUGACCGAUCAAUCGUCGUCACCGAGCUAGCUGCCCUCUCUCUCUUUUUAGGAAGACUUAGCUGCUUCUCUUCUUGCUCUCGAUCGAGUUGCGAGACCGAGCGAUCGGCUAGCCGCGUGGCCUCGGACCCGCAGCGCAGCGACGAUGGAGAUCGAGCGGGCGGUGCGCGGCAGCGGCGACGCCCGGCUGCACGCCAAGUACGACGCCGCCGUCCACACCAUCCGCCGCGCUUUGGCGCUGUACCCGUACGUACGCUCGCCUCUCCUCUGCCGCACUUGCACUACUUCACCAUGGCCCUCCCAAAGUCUGCUAUCCCUACGCUGCCUGCCUGCCUCGCCUUCUCAGCAUGUAGCCCGGGCCUUUGUCCACGGCUGGGUCUGGUGCAUUGGCCUCGCCUCGGCGCACAUGCUCUUGCGCCGUCCAGGAUGCAUUGCUCCGUGCCUCCGUACAGAAUGCAGCAGGGCCGUCUCGUCUUUUGUAAUCGACGCAUAUGACCAAUGGAUCUUUGUGUUAGCGCUAGCACAUCCACGACACCUUAAUCUUUGUGUUGGUCCAACUGAAAAACGAGAUAGUGUAAUUAGCAUUCAAGCAUGAAUGACCUAUGGAUGACAAAGAACAAAAAAAGAUUCCGCUCUUGUUCUUUGUCCACAUCAUACGCGUCACAAUUCACACAUGGCAGAAAAAGAGUGGAUACACGUUUUGAAAACGCAAAGACUAUUGGUGGUUGUUUCUACGGUCUACUUUUAAUUUCUUGUAUUUUUUUUGUUUUGGUUGUUCUAUUUUUUUAUGUUGGGUGGGUGAGUGCAGUUGGUAACAGUUUGUCUGAUUCUCGGCAAUUUCACUUUUCAGGUUUGAGGAACUCGCUUUCAGCUUCAACGGCGGGAAAGAUUCAACCGUACUUUCCUGCUACUCCCCCUCAUCUGCUCACCACUUGUCUAACUUAUGUUCAACGACAGUUACUAACCAUCGACCUUGACGGCAACGUGCUAAAUCAACAGGUGCUGCUGCAUCUGCUUCGGGCUGGCUACUAUCUGCACAAGGCAACAAGUUCAGGCCAUGUGGACAUAACCGUCCAUCAUGCCGUUCAAAACUGCCCGAUGCGGACCAUCUACUUCGAGGACCCUAACACCUUUCCUGAAAUCGACUGGUUCACGUACGAGACCGCGGCGACGUAAGAACUCGUAGAUUUGAUCAGUUACAGAAUAAUUCUAUGUGCCCUUCUAUUAUCUUCACUCUUGGCAAGUUGAGUGUACAUUCUCAUGAUCUCAUCCAUGUUUUGCAGUUACGGCUUGCCACUGGAAACUAUUAGGACAGAUUAUAAAUCUGGGAUUGAAGCCCUGCUUAAGGAGAAGCCCACCAAAGCAAUCUUCCUUGGCACUAGAAACGGUGAUCCGAAUGCGGUGCGGCAGCUCUCUUGAAUGAUCGAUUCCUUUUGCAAUUGCUCUACUUCUACUAGUUUAUACAAGAAAUUGGCAUGCGCAAUCCAUGUCCAUGGACCUGCCUGUAAUUAAAUUUUCAAAUUGCUCUAGGUUGGUCAACAACAGUUCUCCCCUAGCUCACCUGACUGGCCUCCUUUCAUGAGGGUGAACCCUAUCUUGGAUUGGUCCUACAGGUUUGCCUCCUGAUCCCUGAAUAAUCCUGCUCGCAUAGCUCAACAGAGAUCGCUGCAUUUUCCCCCUGGAUGCUAAUUCGGGUGCUUUGCUCUGACAGCGAUGUUUGGUCUUUCCUAUUAACCUGCAAGGUCAAAUACUGCAGCCUCUAUGAUCAAGGGUAUGCUCUUUAGUCUUUUCCAUGCAUGUUCAGAGACUUCUUCAGACACCUUUUUGGUAACUGUUACUGUUAGGUUUCCUUUCUCCCUUGUAGGCCAAAGUGCUAUACCUAGUAUAUCAAAUUAGAAUUGCACUUUUAGCAAAAGCGCAACUUGUCAUCUCAGCAAAGUUUCCAUACAAAUUUACUUCAGCUAUCAUGCAUCUGACAACUGUUGCUCUGGCUUCAGGUACACUUCAAUUGGCAGCAUACAUAACACUGUUCCAAACGAGCUUCUGCGUGAUGGAUCGGGCGGGUAUAAACCGGCAUACAAGUUGUCAGACGGGGGCCUUGAAAGGGCUGGUAGAGCAAAGAAGGCUGGGAAGAAAAAUGCUUCAGUUAAUGGCAGGAACAACAAUGAACCAGGCCAGAGGAGUAGGCUGUAGAUGAAACAACCCCUGUAAAUCUAGCUGUUUCGAUCGGCUCGAUUGAUCGAGAAUUUGAGAUGAAUUCCUUUUUGGCAAAUUUCGUGUAAAAAGUGGCAGAGAUGUAUGCAUUGGUACCCCACAUAGAUAGAGAAAUAGAUAUGCAAGGUAACUGAAAUUCCUGGAAGUUACACGAUGUUGUAUUGGUAAGACUAGUCAUUAUUUAUUCGAUCAAAUUUCAUGUACGCUUUUAGUACGGGAUAAAUAAAGUGAGGAAUAGCUUCUUCGAAUUUGGUUCCUCCAUUGCAGGUGUUGUUUUAAGAAGGAAAAUCAGCAAGUGCUCUGCCUUUUCGUUAUGGUAGGGAAACUUCUCCCCGGUAAUUUUUUCUUAGUUUUAUGUGGAAGUGGAUGGUACAUUUUUAUGUUCAACCACUGUAUCCCUAAGAUUCUUGCAGCACGUGUGUUCAAUUCAACAUGUAAAAGCACUCGGCAGAUUUCAACGUAAGACCCCUUAAACUUGAGGGAAAAGGAACACUAACGAAGAUAACGUGUGUUACACCGCUUGCUAGGUGUAAUGUGAAACACAGUUCCAACUCCAAGAGUUCCUGAAACUAGGUGUUCCUAGCAUUAAGAUUUCAUAGAGCUUGAGCUAGAGCAUUAAUGAGACCGUUUAUAUGAAUCCUUAUGAUUUAAACUUAGUAAAAAUAGCUAUUUAAACCACUCAAUUUUAGUUGAUGAACUUUAUGUCCAACUCAGAGCUAAGAGCUACUUGUGCCAGACAAGGCUAUAUAUGAACAAAAAUUUAUUCAUAUAACAUUUUGUGUUUUGUUUCUUUCACAUCAGAGCAUUAGAUUUGAAUCCUCUCAGCUUAGUUUUCUCUGCUGAGUCAAACCCACGUGUAGAUGAUUCCGUCUUUUGCUACGACUACUUUACGUACCACUCUUAUACAAAAGGUUCUAUACUAUUACAAAAUUAUCUUAUUGGACUGAUCCUUUUUAUAAAAAAAAUGUAAAGACAAAAGCAAAAAUCUCCAACUUCUUUCUAAGAAGCAUUGGCUAUUUUAUGUAAACAAAUUCAGAUCUGUUUAUUCUGAAAGUUUUCGUAGUUAGUUACGUCCUUUGCAACGAGCAAUGUGAAUUCAUGGAAAAACAAAGAUAUUUCAAAACCCGGGGGGCAGAUGAUACAAAUACAACAGUCGAUGUCCUAUUCUUGGAAAAUAAGACGAAGGUUAUCCUCCUUGGAAGAAGAAACGGAGAGAGAGAAAAACAACACGGCCAGUCAGCCACGCUGGCACACUGCCCCCCGCUACUACGGUCCCGUUCCACCACGUCAGCACCAGCUGCCCCCCUGGCACGCGCAGCAGAACCCGGGGCCACCCUCGAUGACACCGUCCCACCACGUCAGCGCCACGAAAUCACCGCCGCGCCCACAGCAAUGCCAAGUGUAUAUAUCUGACGAGGAAAAAAGGAGAGAAAUUCCCGGGAAGGCAAGAAAAGGAUCCCACACCAUCCGGAACGUGCAGUCUAUCCGCGCAGCGCAGACGGGAGCAGCAGCCUUGGUUGGAGGCUUCCUCCUUUGUCCCAUCAUCCCUUCGCGUCUCUCUCCGCGGACCCGCUCCCCAAGCAAACACACAGCCGAGCCGAGUCACCCCAGCCCACACGCCUCCCACCAUUCCUCAACCGCCUCGCUCCCACUUCCCGCCUCGCCGGAGCAGGGGGGAGUGACGGGGGGAUGGAGAUCGACGAGGCGGUGCGCGGGUGCAGCGACCGCCGCAUGCGCACCAAGUACGGCAACGCCGUCUACGUCGUCCAGCGGGCCUUCGCGCUCUACCCGUAAGCUCCCCCCCUGCUCUCUCUCCACCCCUUCCUCCUCCACCUCCUGGGACGGGGCGCGCGGAUUGGGUUAGUGGCGGCGUCGGCGGAGGUGUGCUGGUUCCGCGGCGAUCCGGUGAGAGUGGGAGCUCGAGAUUCAGGGCGCGGGGGGCGGUCGCCGCGCGCGCGAUCGGGCCGGGGUCUGGGCCGCGCGCGCUGGCGUGGAGCCUGCGCUGGCCCGCCGUUUGGGUUGGUUGAUCCGGCGGAGGGAUAGGUGCGGGUUCGGAUUUGGGGAGGGAGGCGGCGGGGGAUAGGCCCGCGGGAACAUCGAGUUUGACGCGUGCCGGCGGAGUAGAUCUCAAACUGCCUGGAGCUGCAGCCGCUGGGUCCCAACGCGCAGGCUGCCUCUGUGUCACUGUUUGUCUGCUGAUGCUUCCCCUGCAGCAACAAAAUCGGAGUACCGCUUAUCGGGCAGAGGUUGCUUAAUCAAUUGCACAAUUGUUCUCUGCCUGCUCUGCUUGCUCAUCAUAUAUCUACUGGGAUAGGAAGACAACUUAAACUGGCUGGUGGAAAACCAAUGCUAGCAGAUAAUAGUAAACAAUUGGCUUUUGGCUUCAGUCAAGAUUAGUUGCCUUAAGACCUCUGGUUGAAGUAGACAUGCCCCAGUUCGCAUCCUGAAACACCAGAAAGUAGGUGCAUUGCUUUCGUUGCAGUUUUCUCAGGUUGUUCUGUAUGUUCUUAGACCAGUUCUGAAGAUGUAGAAAUAAUUUAAUGUGGGGUUAUGCGGUUAAUAGUUUUAAUGGUGUCACUUAAGAUGCUAAGAGGAGCAGUAAUGAAGCCUAAAUGGGGUAUAAAACCCAUGAUGCAGGUCUACAGGUUCUUAAAAUAUUCCUUCUAACUAUAUCUACGCUCAACCUGUGGCUAGUCAAUUCCACCUUUCAUUCUGUUCUGCAUUGCCAAUAGGGUACAAGUUAGAUGUACUCAAAUGUUACGAUAAUUUUGAAAAAUAAAGUGUGUCCUUUCUUUGUUUCCUAGAAAGAAUUCAUGUGUCUAAUGUUGGAUGUUGGUGGCUGAUUGAAUGCCAAGACCAUAGGAAUAGCCGAAUAGGAUUAUUGUUGCUGUCUAACUCUCAUUAGUUUCACUUUACAGGUUUGAGGAAGUAGCCUUCAGCUUUAAUGGUGGGAAGGACUCAACUGUAAAUAUCUUUAUAUUCUCUUUUUUUCUCAUCCUAUUUUUGUAUGUUCAAUUCCAAUUAAUAUCUCUUGGAGUCUUGGAAGUUUGACACGAUGCCAAUGUUAUAUGCCAAUAGGUUCUCCUGCAUUUGAUUCGGGCUGGUUACUACCUUUACAAGAAGGAUGCUGGUGAUGUAGCCCAAAUGGAUGCUGUUAAAAACUGUCCAUUGCGUACCAUCUAUUUCGAGAGCCCUUGUGCUUUCCCUGAAAUCAACUCAUUCACUUAUGAGACCGUCUCAACGUAAGAAUUUGCCAAGAUUUGCUUAAUUGCACCCUUUGUCUAUCCACUAUCUUUAGAAGGCCAAAUUGAAUAUUGUUCUGUUCUCUCCACACUCCACAGUUAUGGGUUACCACUGGAAACUAUCCAUUCAGAUUUCAAGUCUGGUCUAGAAGGCCUAUUGAAAGAGAAGCCAACCAAAGCAAUUUUCAUUGGCACAAGAAUUGGUGAUCCAAAUGCGGUGAUUAUCUUUUGCCAGUGCUCAUUUGUUCUUCACAACCCCUUGUACCUAUUAUGUGCAAUAAUUAUGCCCACAGUGUUCACAGUUCCUUACAGUUUUGGUAUCUCCACAGACCUUUGAAUAAACACAAUUUUGAAAUUAUAGGUUGGUCAAGAACAGUUCUCUCCUAGUUCACCUGGCUGGCCUCCUUUUAUGAGGGUGAAUCCAAUCUUGGAUUGGUCAUACAGGUUUUUCUCCUGAUCAUGUAACAAUUCAAGACUGCCUUUUCUAGUAUGCCCAUUCAAAUGCUAAGGAGCAUUAUUUUCUGUGCCAGGGAUGUUUGGUCUUUUCUCUUAACAUGUAAGGUCAAAUACUGCAGCCUUUAUGAUCAAGGGUAAGCUCUUAUCUUAUGUUCGAAACUUUGCAGUUCAAAUUGCUUGUUUGCAUACCUUUUACAGAUCUUUUGAUACCUUUGGGGUCAAACGCGCUUUGCCAUGCCAUUGAUCUAAAAGUACUCUCUCCAUUCCAAAUUGUAGGUCGUUUUAGCUUUUCUAAGUACACAUCUUUUACUAUAUAUCUAUAGACAUAACAUAUAUCUAGGUGUAUAGCAAAAUCUAUGUACCUAGAAAAGCCAAAAUGACCUACAAUUUGGAACGAAGGGAGUAUUCUCUAAAAAGUAUAUUUUUCCCCUUCUUUCUUUGGAUGAGCAGUUUUGUUACCUUGUAUUCUGGAUUUCAGCUCACUUUGUGAAUCCAUUGCAGAAGUAUUCUGAUCUUUCAUAGUCACUUUCCAACAUGACUUACAUCUUUCAUCUACUCUGAUUGCAGGUAUACUUCCAUUGGAAGCAUACAUGAUACUGUUCCAAAUGCACUUCUUAGUGAUUCAUCAACUGAGAAAAGCUUCAGACCAGCAUACAUGCUAACAGAUGGAAGGCUUGAAAGAGCUGGUCGAACAAAAAAAACUAAUCACAAAAUGGAAAUGAAUUCUGUUGCAAGCAAUGGCAUGAACAAUAUUGAGGGAGAACAGAUGAUCUCACGUGCGGCUUCAAUCAUUGUAGUCGGUGAUGAAAUAUUGUGAGUGAUCCCUUCUAAUAAUCAUGUUGGAUGUAAUUAUGUUAGGCUUCAGGUUCUUAAGCUUGGAGUAGUUUUUCUUGGUAGAAAUGGAACUUGUGACCUUUUUCUUUUUCUUUCCUUGAAAUUUAUAUCACAAUCAUGUGAAUUCUCUUCAUCUUUUGUAUGGCUUUUUGUAUGGAUGAUUGAAGUAUAUCAAUUGAUAGUCUGGACACUUCAGAGUAGAUCAGGAAAGUGUAACCAGGUGUUCCAAAGCCAGAUAUAUAUUGUACUAUUGGAUUUAUUUAAUAAUGCCAAAGAACUUAAUGUUGCAACACGGUUUCAUAUUUUGUUAUACUUUGUGAAAAUCCAUUUUAUUUCUUUGAUAGAUGACUCGAUCUGGAUCUCUUUGCGGGAACUCCUUAUUAACCUUUAUUCUUAACAUUUAGUCCAUGCCUAUCCAUUUUGGUUCUUCAGGUUUGGCACAACUGAGGAUAAACUAGGAGCAGCCUUGUGCAAGAAGCUUCAUGCAAUUGGCUGGCGGGUUUCUCAUGUAGCAGUUGUUCGCAAUGAGGUAAGAUAGUUUACAUAUUGGAAUAGUUGCGUCCCAGCUCACAUUGCCUUAAUAAAUGUUGUGUUUUUGUUCUGAAUUAUUCUAUUUAGCUGCUCUCGUCAUGCCAGUUUCCAGGCAUGUAAUCUAACAGGAUAUAUCUGUGUGGCCUUGCAGAUUGAUUCUGUUGCUGAAGAAGUUGAACGCUGCAAAUCUACGGAUGACAUGGUUAGUUCCUAUAGGCUUGCAAUUGUAUAAAGUUUUCAAGUUAGUUUUUAAUGAAAUUCAUGUUGUAUUUAAGGUGUUUAUCUUUGGAGGACUUGGGCCUCUACAUUCAGACGUUUCUUUGGCUGGUGUUGCGAAAGCAUUUGGAGUUCGUCUGGUACGUCUAAUAACAUUUUCUUUCUGCAAAAAUGGCUUUUUGCAGUACUUCUUUAUUUCUGACCUUUUUCCAUAUAAAUUCCCAUCUAUAAUAUUAUUUGGUGUAUUUUCUGCAUUUUUUGUUCUAUAAUGAAGAAAAGCUUGUGCAUUGACCUUAUAGGAUUGUACUAUUGUCACGAGAAAGCCAUGUUGUGACUGCAUUAUGAGAUGUAGAAUCUUCUCACUCGCAUAACUGUGCAUUCUUGUUGUACUUCAAAUGGUUUUUUUCAACUUAUCUGUGCUUUGCAUUAGCAUAGGCUCCUGAUGAAGAGUUUGAGGAUUAUCUUAGUCAACUCAUGGGAAACAAUUACAGUGGUGAUCGAAAUGAGGUAUCUGGAUUCUGGAUUUCAAGUAUUAAAUUUCUUGAAUGUGUAUUGGCUUGCAAUUAUGUUGUGCUUAUUCUAGCAAAUUGCUAUCUCUACGAGUUAACUCCUUUUCUAUUUCUUUCUCAGAUGGCAUUGUUGCCAGAAGGUAUUACUGAACUAUUGCACCACAAAAAGCUACCAUUACCAUUGGUACGUUCUGUAGUUUUGGUGCAUUUACAUAUGUUCUGAAGCUACAUGUUCUUUUUGGGGUUUCCUAAGGACCUAGGUUAUAUGAUAUAUUCUGAGGCAGUAACAGUUAAGUGCCUAUAUUUUUUAUUAAAAAAAUGAUAUCCACUCUUAUCAUGGAAGUUUAUGCGGCACAGUAAAUUCUGGUAUUUUAGCCAGCAACUGAUGAGAAAAUGCUUACAUAUAUAGUUGAAGUGUUCUCACUGUGUAAAUUUUGAAAGAUUCUAGCCAAUUUCGUUUGUAUUUGCCUUUAUAGAUGUUUUUUCCUUAUGCAGAUCAAAUGCAGAAAUGUCAUCACUCUUGCUGCAACCAAUGUUGAUGAACUAGACACCGAGUGGGAUUGUCUUCUAGACACUCAGGAGAGUGGUUUAGUUCAGGCAAAACCUUUUGAGUCAAAGCAUCUCGGCACUACACUUUCAGAUGUAUGUCUCCCUGCCAUAACAGAUUUACCCAUUUGUCUCGAUGCCUAUCCUUGGGAAAAACAUUCCCAAGUUUUCUCUGGGAAUGAUUACUUCAAAAGCAUUUGGACUUUUUUUAGUCCAUAGUAAGCAUUAAAGUAAUUUUCCUUUUUAACCUUUAAAGAAAUUCAGAUGUUCUCUACAGUCAAUUCUAGUCUAUCCAGAUUGUGAUAGUGCAUAUGUUCAUGACUGAAUAUCUUUGUUCUGCCAACUUACCUUUACGGGAAUGAGAAUACCCUAUGAUUCCAGAUGGUACCUUCUUGGUGUUUAUAACAGAAUACUGGCUAAUUGGAUAAAUAUCAGAGUCCUCCAUGAAUUACAUUUUGUUUAAUGUACAUUCUCAUAUUUUCCCCAAAUGUAUCCUUUCGAGGCUUCAUUCCAACUCAUUACUUGUCUAAUGUGAAGUUACUUGCUGCAUGCUUGUUCAGGUUCAAAUUGCUCCGGUCCUUGCGAAACUGUGCUUAGAGUUUUCUGAUGUUUACAUAGGUAUGAUCCGUGGGGGGAUCUAGGAUCCCCUUGUUUCUGCGUAACUUAUGUGCCCUUAUGAUCCGCUUGGCGACACUUGAUGAUUGAUAUUUCAUGCAGGGUGUCAUCGGAUAUCUAGAGCUGGGCCUUUGGUUGUGAAUCUUACCGGAAAGGUGAAUUCUCUGUGACAGUACAUAUGACUACUUUAAUCCCACAAAUGAUCAUGAAUGCUGCUCAUAAGUAACAUCGCAGUACUGUACAGUUACACUCUGUUUCUCGAAAGCAAAGCAAUCUGUAAACAUCAGGUCAUCAGCUAAUGGAAAUGUAGACAUAACUGAUAACACAGAAGUACAUUCGAACCUUCUUGUAGCUGGAAUAGGAACAGCUAGUUAAGGUUUACAGUAACACAUUGCUUUAGUUUGAGUUCAUGCAAUACAAUUUUGCUUAGAUAAUUGUUUUUUUCUUAAUUUCAGGAUAACCAGAGGGUAGAGGCAGCUGCAGAGAAGCUGACGAGAAGCUUUGAAGGACAAUUUUCCCAAGUCGACAGUUGCAAAUAAGCUGUCAGAGUACACACUUCCGUAUUCUUGGCAUAUUCUUUCCGCCUGAAGCUCUGAGAUUGUGCAGGACUAAUGAUGGUGCUCAACUGCCCUAAACCAACGACCAAAAUAAGCCACCGAGCUGGUACUCUGAAGCGACAAAUAUUAUUUAGGACACAUAGGAAUUUUGUACUAGAAAUUGGCUACUGGCUGGGUCUAGCAUAACACUCUAGCCUUGCGCAGCUAAUAUUUUGAUCGGGUUAAGAGCCCAUAAUUAUUGGUUCAAAAUCAAUUCAAUUAUACUAUGAUUUAUAUCAUAGCUUUACUGUUUGAACUUGUGUCCUUAGUUGUUUGAUCUUGUGGUACUUGUGGCAGUGCUUCCUGAUGCUAAUAUUGAUGCUAAAGUUUUGUGUUGUUUUAGUUUCCUUGGGAGUGUAAGAUGAACAUUUUGAGAUAAGGUGGCGCAACUACGUGUCCGAAGGAUCCAUCCCCCUGAAUUCAUAAUACCCCUGGAUCAUUUGUGCAGUAAAUUGAACAGUUAACUUGAGCGAGCUGCUUCGAAUGUUCAAAGGAAUACUUAAUAGCUAGACGCUCUAUCUCUCUCCUCCAAACUUACAAACCUUGGAUACAGAUAUUAUGACUAUUUUUGCUACUAAGGAUACAUAGUCAAUAGUACAGAUGAUAUGAUUGCAAAAUAUAACAAUUGGAAGUAGUUUUCUUGAAAUAUAACAAUAACACUUUUAUGUGGAAAAUCUCAAUAUUUGUUUUUUCAGCAGUUGGAUUUUAUAGGCGGACUGCUCGUAUUCUAAUGCUAGUUGGACUGGGCUACUCUCUUUGAGAAUGACACGAGAUAAAUAACUAUGUUUACACUCUUAGGUAGUAUCAGAUUGCAAUUGAAAGAUGCAAGGGCACGUAGUCUAGUGGUUACAAGAGUCUCAGUAGCACCUAAGCCUCAGUAACAUUUUAGGACUUAGGUUCGAUUUCCCGUGGAAGCGAAUUUUUUAGGAUUUAAAGGCGUUGUGAUUUCAAGCUCAGUUUUCAAAAAUGCUCGUAAGGGUAAGGUUUGUGUAUGUGUAUUUAUAGGGAUGAGUGUGCGUGCGUUGUGAGUGUCUGAGUUAUAUUGUAUAAUUUAAAAAAAUUGCUAUCGAGAACCAAAAAUUACUUGGGUUAACAGAAGUGAUCAUAUCGAUUAUUCACCAAGACAUACUCCAUGGAUUUCAUAAUACCAUUCUACUUCAGUAGUUGUAUAGACAUGUAAACCUUUCCACCCUGCACUUAAAUUAGGAACAUUAUACUCCUUUUGUAUUCCUUGGGGCAAUAUUUUCUAAGGGCACUUGGAGCAGUAACUAUCUAGGACUCCAAUUAGUUUAAAAAUAUAAGCCAUGUUUUCAUUCUGAAAUUCAAAAUUUAUAUAUGCUGAUUAGAAAUUACUAGCGAACCUAUAAAUACAUUUAGUAUUUAAAAUUACUUCAUAUAUAAUUAGUCAUAUUUAAAAUGUUAUAAGUUUUAUAGCUAUAUAAAUGAUAUAUUUGUAAGAAAACAAUGUUCAACGGACCGAGUCAAAAAAAAAUCGUCCUGCACUAUUCCACAAAGGUGUACCUACUAAUUAUAUAAUGACGCAGGGUUCUGAAUGAAAAAACGCCAUCGCACUCGCACCAAGGUCACAAUCCGCAAUAGUAGGAUUUCAAAACGGAAAAAAGAUCAGCAGGAGGAGCGCCUCCGCAUCGGCUAGCCCAAAAGCCAAAACUAGCCGAGCGAGCGGCCGUCUCAAUUCAAAAUCCCGCCCACUCUCUCUCUCUCUCUCUCUCUCUCAUUCUCUCACCCUCUCGCUCCCCCAUCUCCUCUUCCUCCCCCCGUUUCUUCCACCGCUUCGCCCCCCGAAUCUCAAACCCUAGUCAAACUCGCCGGCGGCGAGAGGGGGAGCCCUGCCUCCGCCUCCUUUGCCUACUCCUCUGCCAUGAACAACUUCCACGUCUACGAAGCCAUCGGCCGCGGCAAGCACUCGGUAACCCUCCCUCACUUUCCCUCCCCUCGCUCCGCUCCUAAGGGUUUCAGUUCCGCUCCUCCUCCCGGCUCCCGCCCUGGAUCCACCAGGAUCGGGGCGGCCCCGGUUCCAGCGCGAGCGAUUUCUGAUUUUUUCGGUGCUUUUUUAUGGUCGGUUCUGUGAUUUGGUGCUGGUGGCUGGGCGGAGUGAAGACGGUGUAUAAGGGGCGGAAGAAGAAGACCAUCGAGUACUUCGCCGUCAAGAGUGUCGACAAGUCGCAGCGCUCCAAGGUCCUCAACGAGGUGAGCUCGCUUCUCCCCCGCUUGCAUCGUGAAUCACCGUGGUUGAAUCGCUAGAUCUUUUGUUUCUGUAGUUGUAGGCUGUUAUUUUUUCUCGAGCGCAUGGUGUAGCCUGUUUAGCUACAAGGAUUUGGUUAAGUGCUGUUGCCUAUGCAGAACUAUAUACUUUGGAGCGCUUGCCAAACCUGAAACUGUUGACAGUUAGGCUUAUUUAUUUUAUAUUUCCAGUGGCUAAUUACAGAUAGAAUGCCAUGGAAGAUAUGUUACAGUAAUAUUGUAAUACAACCUGCACUCUCUUGUGCUGCUGCAGUUUUAUAUGAUACAGAGCAUACCUGUUUCUUGUUUAUGAAGAAUAAUACGUUUUGAUUCACCUGUUUUGUUGGGGAUGCCCCUUCAGGCAAGCACUUAACAGUGAAGGUUCAGAAUGUAGUAAUUGUUGCUGGUCAGGAGAACAUACAUCAUGCUCUGGUUUUAGAUUGAGAACUGUUUUCUGGGAGCAUGAUUGUACAGCUAUUAAACAGGCUUAAUGUAUGCCCGUACUCGUUUCUUUGUCAAGUUCUUUUCCUUUGUACUAAUUGUGCUUUUAAACUUAUCUUCGCAGGUUCGGAUGCUCCAUUCUUUAGACCAUGCAAAUGUCCUGAAAUUUUACUCUUGGUAAGGUUCUUAGGUACUCCCAUUGUCCUAUAAAUUCUCUUGGCUGGUUUUGCAACGUGAUAACGUCUUUUAGUUUACUAAUAGGUUGAGAAUAUCAUUGUUCCUCUAUAUUCCAUACUUAUAUUCUACUUGUCUUCCCAGGUACGAGACCUCCGCACAUUUCUGGUUAAUAUUGGAGUAUUGUGUUGGUGGAGACCUGAAGGGCUUGCUUGAGCAGGUAUCUUGCUCAUCUAUUUAUUUACUGUAUGCGCUUUUCUCUAGUUCUAAAGGAUAUACAAUGCAUCCAUGGAUCUGUAUGCUUAAAAAAUAGUAAUCAAUUUGUUUAAGUUAGCAAGUAUAGCCUAGAUACAUCAAUGUAUCCAGAUAUUCUAGAGUUAACUAACUUGGGAAAAAAAAGAUUCAAUCGACAUUCAGCAGACCAUAAGCAGAUGUGUCUUACAUAGAUGUGCAAGGUUUUUCUCUGAUUAGGUAUAAAUUCCACAUGAAACAAUAUUGUAGCUUGCAUAUCAUAUUUCAAGUGGAAAAUCCACGUUAUUGAUUUGCACUUGCUACCUGCAGUUGGGUAAAAAAUAAUACUCCCUCCAUUUCUAAAUUUAUGAUGUUCAGGACAAGUUAAUUAAUUUAAAAAUGAACUAAAUAGCUUGUCCUAAAUGUCAUAUAUUUAAACAGAGGGAGUGGUAGUCAAGCUAAAUUUUUGAAAUUAGAAUGUACAAUUCAUAGCACUUUAGCUUCAGAAAAUGAUAGUACAAUCAUCUAUGUAUGUGGUUUCUAUGUGAGGUACGAUAAAAUUGAAUUAGCUCCUUUUAUGUUUUAAUCCUAAUGUGCCCCAGGUGCAUAUCAAACCAUGCUGCCUGACCUUUUUGUAAUUUUCUCUGUUACUUUGAUGUAUGAACUUUAAUUUCACUUUCCCCCUUGCUUGGAAACAAAUGAACUACUACAUAACAGUACAGUGAACUUGUGCGAAGCAUUUUUUUUUGUCUAAAAGAGAGAAUGGAAACAGCGAUGAAGUCCUGAAAAUCCAAUCUGCGCACUGCAGCUUUGCAGAAUCUUAAACUCUUAGGAACUACUUGGUAUCCUGCUAGUGCUGUUUGCUGUUUUAGUAGUUGUUUGGCACUAUUACUGUUGUGGCUUAUCUGCCACCUGUCAUAACAACCCAAUAAUUCCUCAUGAUAGUGUUUUCUGGAAAUUUUAGUUUGCCAUAUGCCAAGAAUUUAUUAUAAUCUGCUCAGGAGUCAGGAGGUACACAAGGCUGUUUCAAGGCAUGUUUAUUGCUAUUCAGUUAUUUACAUUUUGGCCUUGAGAAAACAAGAGUAACCCAUAAAUUUCUUUCUUGUACUUAUGUUUGCCUAGAUCCAUCUUGUGAGUACAUAUAUGGAACUCGUAUUGUAUGCUACUUAGUUAGACGAAUUUUAUCCUACUGUUGCUGGUUUCCUUGCCUUUAUUUACUGUUUGUCAUAGUAGAUUAUGUUUCCAUGCAGGAUAAGAAGCUUCCUGAAAAUUCUAUUCAUGACCUGGCUUACGAUCUCGUCAGAGCUCUUCAGUAAAGUUCUUUUGGUAACCUUGUAUCGUAAUUUACUUCAUGUAAUUGGUGAACUUUGGUUUAUUGGGAACAUCUUUGAUAGGUUCUUGCAUUCUCAAGGGAUUAUAUAUUGUGAUCUGAAGCCAUCAAACAUUCUACUUGAUGAAUUUGGAUGCAUGAAGGUACAUAAGUGGACCACAGCAAAAUUAAUUUACUCCACUAUUAAAGCAGUGCAUAGUAACUCAAAACCAACAAAAUUACUUUUUUUUAACUUGCUCCAGUUGUGUGACUUUGGAUUAGCAAGGCGCUUAAAAGACAUUGAGAAAACCAAUCCUGGAGAUGUAAGCUUUCAUUUUCUUUCAAUACAGAGUUUCCUUUGGUCAUGUUUUUCAUAUCUAUUUGACUUUCUUUCCCUAGCCUUAAUUUCUUCUGGCUUGUAGGUGCCACAACCCAUGAGGGGUACACCAUGCUAUAUGGCUCCUGAAUUAUUUCGAGAGGGAGGAGUCCACUCAUAUGCUUCUGAUUUCUGGGCACUUGGUUGUGUUUUGUAUGAAUGCUAUACAGGAAGGCCCCCUUUUGUGGGUAGAGAAUUUACACAGUUAGUCAAAUCUAUAAUUUCGGAUCCUACACCACCUUUACCUGAUAAUCCAUCAAGGUCCUUACAAAAUCUGAUUGAUUGCUUGCUCAUGAAAGAUCCGGCAGAAAGGUUACAGUGGUCUGAAUUGUGUGAGCACAACUUUUGGAGAACAAGUAUACCGAUGAUUCCUUUACCACCUCAGCCUGCUUUUGACAACAUGAUCGAACUUUCUGCUACACCAUAUCUAGCUGAGAGAAAUGGUGACAAACCUUCCAGACAGUUGACACCACCCAAGCACCGUGAGUAUAUUGGCCUUAAGAAGAAGGAUGAGAAUUCUACCAAGGGUUUCACAACACCUGUUAAGAAUGUACAAAGUGGCAAGAGAAAUAGUGCGAAACCUAAGGCUGAUGGUUUCAAAGGUGCAAAUAUCCUCAGGAUGUCUCGCAUAGCUAAGUUGAAUUUGCAAAGGGAAAGGGACAAGGAGAACUACAGGCGUCCUCCCACAGAAACAUCUGAGAAUGAAACUGAAGUUAAGAUAGAAAAUAAUGACAUGGAGCUUGAUUUUGGUGAAAAUCCAGAAGGAGAUGUGCCUGAUGACACUGAUGGAUCUGAUCAUCCAGGAUCAGCAGCACAUGAAAAGCCUCAAGUCACUGAUGGUAAUGAAGAGAAUUGUAUGGCAAAUCAGGUUGACAUGCUUACAGAUGAGGGGUCAGUUAAGCCUGAUAUCAUGAUGAAAACUGAGCAGAAUUCUUGUUCAGAUAACCUGGAUGUGGUGGCCACUCCACCUAGUAUCUGUAUGCGAAAAGCACAACGUGCAAAGGUAACUCCAUGUUCUGCAACUGGUUCUGAGCCAACUAACAUCUUUGAAGCAUUCUGGCAUCCAACAGACCUUGCAGUUAAACCAGUUAUGCCUAGUAGGAAAGCAGAUAAAGCUGUGGACACGGUUCCCACACUUCCUUUCGAAGCUCUUACAGCAUGUGAUUAUAUUAAGUUGCCACAGGAGCAAUUGAAUGCAUUCAACAGUCAGAUACUUCAGAGUUUAAGUGGAACUUUUCAGGUUUCAGAAAAACAAAAUACAAUCAGAUACCUGGAGAUGUUAAGCAUGAACUCAGAUGCUGCGAACAAAAUAACUAAUGGUCCAAUUAUGUUGCUUCUUAUAAAAAUGCUUCGACUGUCAAAAACUUCAGUGUUACGUGUCCAAAUUGCCUCACUUAUGGGGUUGUUGAUACGCUAUUCCACUGCUCUUGAUGUGGAGCUAGCAAGUUCAGGAAUUCUCAAUGCACUAUCAGAUGGAUUAAGGGAUAAGCAUGAUAAACUCAGGAGAUUCUGUAUGGCAACACUGGGAGAGUUGUUAUUCUACAUUUCUACCAAGUCUGAUCAAGAUACCAAAGAAAUCAAUACCCAAGAAUCCCCUUUGAAGGAUAACAGGCCUGCAACUUCGUGGCAGGUCAGAACUCAAAACAAGUAGUAUGUUAUGUUUUUUUGUUUAUUUAGUCAAAUGUCGUAUAUCAUAUCAUGUAGUGUAUCAUACCUUGGUAAAGUACUGGGUCAUAGAAAUAUAUGAUACUUGGUGCUGAUUCUGUUUUAGAGCAUCGUUGUCUUUCCCGACGGUUAUAUUCCCAAGUACAGAUUUCUAGGAGUUGAAACUAUCUUAAUUCAUAUAAACACACUGUAGUACUGCUUGCAUAUGAAACAAAUGCAUGGAUGUACACUACACAUGUUUAUAUUUUAGACUCCUCUUUAUUUAUGUGCAAGUGUAGCCUUUUUGGUGUUCACCAAUAAAGAACUACUGUGUGUUAUAGAAACUCGAUACUAGGCUGUACAAGCUUUGUAGUCAUCUGAUCCAAGAGAAAAAUUAGUUCCUCUAUACACUGAUAUUAUGAUAUUUUCAUUUCAGUGUUCAUGAUGAAUAAAUCUAUAGGUUGAUAUGAUAUGCAUGGACAUUGAAAUAUAUUUAUUAAUUAUCACUUUGCUCUUACAAUAUGAUGGCUCACCUUUACUUCCAAUGUGUCUGAUCAGCUUAGGGCCUUGCGAUUUUUUAUUUUUCUGUGUGGAAAUUUUUUAACUUAAUUGCUUUUGAGUGCAACAAUUCUUGGUUUUCUGUGAUUAUUUUGGGUCAGCUCUUUGACAGCAUAUUGACUAUAAGCGAGUGGUCUCUGCGUAGGGUUAUCUUAUGAAGCAACUAUGUAGAUCUUUCAGUUAAUGUAGUUUGAUGUGUUCAUCAGAGUACAUGUGCAUAUAAGAAGCCUUUUGCAUUAGCUUCUAAUGUGUUAACCCUUGUUGGAAAUUGUACAGGUACCUAGUGCUGUAAUUGCACUGGUGUCAUCUAUCUUGCGAAAGGGCGAAGAUGAUCUAGCUCAGUUAUAUGCCUUACGGACAAUUGAUAACAUAUGUAGCCAAGGAACAGAAUGGACAUCCCGUUUUGCUUCCCAGGAUGCGAUUGGACACUUGUGCUACAUCUAUAAAGCAACUGGAAAGCAGGAGAGUACCAGGCUCAUUGCAGGAUCUUGUUUGGCCCGCCUUUCUCGCUUCAGUCCAUCAUGUAUUCAUUUAAUCCUGGAGAAGAUAUCAUUCAAGGAUAUUGCAUCCACACUCAUCAAGGGAAAUCCACGUGAACAGCAGAUUAGUCUUAAUAUUCUCAAUUCGGCAUUAGUUAACAGUCACACUGUAACAAAUAUGAACCGCUAUAUUCAUUCAUUAUCAGAUGACAAACAAUUGGCCCCUGGGCUCAUUUCUCUGAUAGAACAGGGAACUGAUGUUCUGCGAGGGAAAGCCCUUUUGUUUGUUGCUCUACUUUGCAAGAACAGUCAAAGGUGGCUUCCUCAUUUCUUUUGCAAUGCAAAAUUAAUAUCAGCGGUUGAUAGAUUGGGAAAGGAGAAGGAGGGUUUCAUUCAUAAAUGUACAGAGGCAUUUGUGCAGUUGGUCGCUUCUUUGGUCCCUGCUAUUCUUGACACAGUCUGCAGUGAUAUACAGCAGGUUAUGACUGGAAAACGCCAUGGACCUGCUUUAGCUGGGCGAGCUCAUCCAAAGAGCACGAUUUAUCUGUUUCCAGUUAUUCUUCAUCUUCUGGGAAGUGCAUCCUUCAGGCACAGAGUCGUGACAAGUCAUGUAUUGCUUCAGCUGGCAAAUCUUAUUAAAAUUUUGGAGGCACCAUUUCAGGUAUGAUUUUUUGUGAACUAUAUGGAUAUUACAUCCUGAUGAGAGUAUAUGCCUAUAUGGUCAUUGCAUUCAUCAUAUAACUGCAUCUUUGGUGCUGUCUUGCCUUAACAAUGUUUUGUAUUUCACAAUUUAUUUGCUGAACAAAUCUUUGCCUUGUGGGAUUAUUUAUCAUCUUGUUGUACUUUCAGGCUAGGGAUGAUUUCCAGAUGACAUUGUUGCGAAUUCUUGAGGCUGCUACAGAGGAGCCUUCUGUUGUACUCAAUGAACACAAAAUAUUCAUCAGUCGUAUCAUCCCAAGCUUAUCAAUCUUAUACAAGGGCAAUAAAGAUGGUGAUGCCAGAUUUCUGUGUUUGAAGAUACUCUCUGAUGUGAUGAUUGUGAUCUUCAGUGAUUCUUCGUUAACUGCUGACGAGCAAACGAUAAGUGAUUUGAAAUCGAUCUCCCUGAAGCAUUUUCUGCCGCUGUACCCUUCUUUUGCAGAGGAUGAAGAUCCCAUACCCAUAUAUGCGCAGAAACUGCUAGUAAUGCUACUGGAACAUGAUUGCGUGAAAGUCUCUGAUAUUCUGCACAAAGCAACAGUAUCCCAGUGCUUCGAAUUUUUACUAGGAGAUCUGUCAAAUGCAAAUGUAAGCAAUGUCAAGCUUUGCUUUGCCCUGGCAUCUGCUCCCGAGAUGGACACCCAUAUUCUUUCUCAGCUUCAAGUUGUUCGAAGAAUAGGGAACCUACUUGAGUUUGUUGCUGCAAAAGACAUGGAUGAUUUUCUUGAACCAACCCUGGAACUUUGCAGAGCUUUUAUUAUCCGUGGCAUUGGUAGCAACAGAAGUACUGCCCUCUCCAAAAACCCAGCACUCCUUGUUGACAAUGCCUUCAGCAUGAGCAUUGCUGUUGAUCAACAAACUUGCGUUAUGGAUAUAUGCGACUUUGGUGGCAACAUGGGUAUUUUUCUUGAGCUAGUUGGCAAUUCAGAUCCACAGAUAAGUGACUUAGCAUCAGAUUGCGUGGUUUUGUUACUCAAGGCAGCACCUCGAGAGGCAACAGUGGGCUUGUUGACGAGUCUUCCUAAAUUGAGUACUGUCAUGGACUUGCUGAAGCAUGACAACUGCCUACGGCUGACUCGCUUACUAUAUGGCCUAGGCUUCUCAUGCAGGCAAUAUCUAGCCCAGGGAAUGAUCCUGUCAAUAUCAAUGUCGGCUUUGAUGCGAGUUGAAGCACUUGUUUCAGUUUUCAGGGGCUCCAACGAUAACUUUCUUGCUGAUGCUGCUUCUUAUUUGGGUGCUGAACUGCAACGCUUACCUCGCUGUGGUUGAGCUGCAACAUGGCCAGGGAGGCAGGCUGGCUGCUAUUGUACUUGUGAUCUUAAUAGCAUGCCCUGGCAUUCCUUCACAUUUCAUGCACCAUGCGCAUGAGCUGAGCAAGUGAGCACAGGACCUCACAAGUGCAGGUAUUUUACAUCAGUGGUCAGCUGGUUGAUCUCAAUUGCCACUCUUUGCCACGACCGAUUGGUACCUUGGCUCGUUGAUGUGCAGGAUGUUCUAGGUUGCCAUUUAUUAUCUGCGUUUUGGGGCUGCUGUAUAUGGUACUUUUGAUCACAUCUGAAAUGUGGCAAGAAGCAAAUACCCCAUCAUUUCCUCGCCAAUUUUGGUUGGCAAUUACUUUUCAGUUCCAUGUAAUUCUGUAGUACCUGUAAUUUAUGUGAGAAUAUUGUAGUCCAAUAUCAUAAUGUGUACAUUAUUGAUAAUCGCCUGUUAAGUUUCAUGUAACUGUUAAAAAUUCCUUGGCUCCUGAAUCGUGAUACUAUUUUUGUAGUCUUUUUUUUUUUACAAUAGUGAUAAGCCUUUGUAGUCUUGGCCCAUUCAAGAGCAGUCUCCCAUAUUUCUUUUGUGCAAAUCCGUGGUAAGUGCCUAAUUUGUCGACUAUUGUAAGAUUCUUCACCUUUCUCCCUUUCCACGGGUUGGUUCUCCUUGGAAUCUUUCCACGAACCAUGUCAUUCUCGAUUGCUUAGUUAUCUGCUUGGCAUUUGAGGGUGCAUUUCAGUAAGACCUGUACAGAUUUCCAAAGCCAACAUUUGCAGAAAUGCUCUUCUGCGCUUGCAUCCUCUUCAUUCUUCGUUGGCAGAAGAUGGCAACAAAAUGGGUGUCAUGAUCAGCAGGGUAAGACGAGGAUUUCGUUUUUCAUGUUUGUCACCGUUGGGUUCUGCGUGUGGUUGGCUGCGCUGGAGCAGGCCAUGACCUGAUCCUAUGCUUCUGGUCUUUAUUAUUUCCGUGAGGAGAUUAGUAUACUUUCUUUAGGCACCGCCACGACUUGCGAAUAGACUACAUACAGAGAAAAAGGAUACGGGCGCGUUGUUCCGUUUGUUUGCUUCUGCGGUUUUCUUUGGCAAUUGGCCCUCGAGGCUUUAGUCUUGAGAACGACCUAUCCAUGUCUCUGCACUACUUGUGGCUUUCCGUCCACAAAAUUACUGAAUUCAAAUAGUAUUUUCCUUUGAUGAUGUAGUUGAUCAACAUGUUGAAGAGUCGACAGUGUUGAAAUGCUACAGCUACACAAUUAGGUUUUGAAAAGUACGUAAGGUGGUACGCAACAACUGGUGGACCAGGCGGUGUACUGAGUGUCCGUCUUUUUGUAUGCAAAGUAACAUUUGAACGUUCAUACAUAUGGUGGUCUUACCAAAUUUCAGUUCAGUUGUUCAUACUCUAUGGUCAAUUUUUAAGUGAUUGUUUGAGCUUUUGACCAAGUCAUCACCAGAACUCUCACAAUUCUGUGGAGGCUCAAACAUACUGUGGUCGUUGCGCAAAAAUCACUCAUACUCCAUGUUUCGUUCAUUUGCACUAAGGUUACUCAAACCUAGCUCAGUACAUGUUUGUGCAAAGUUGCACCUUUCAAAACAAGAUGUGGGGUUCAAGAAAAUUCCUCCUCCGUCAAGAGAAACAUAGAAAAAAAAAAUCUACAACUGGUGUUUGAUGAGGCUAGAUGAUACAGAUGUGGAUCAACCAAAAAGGAUUUAAAGUUGUGUAACAUACAACUGGUGUGUGUCAAUAUCAUUUUUGGUGAUGCAAAUGGUGUGACCUUUAGGAUGCAUCGGAUCUGUUCAAACCGCUGCUUCAACUUGCCGCCGUUGUACCGACCUACUCCACGAGGAACAAUUUACAUUCUUGUUGACAAUACCUACCUAAAUACAAAAUUCAGUUUCGUAUAAGCGUACGAGACGCCUGCAUGGUCCAUGGUACCGCAACGAAGCUCCAAUAGAAAAACCUUUCACAGAGCAGUUGACCCAGAGGACAUAAGACUCCAACUGCUAUAACAAGGACAUUUCCACGCAUGCUUCUGCAACGAAGCCAAGGUACACGCUUCCUCUGCAGCGCCAUUCACCAGGCUGCGAGAGCAUGGGGAAGGUGUGCCUGCUCCCCGUCGACGAGAACAUCCUCAUCGCGCUGGCCUUCGUCGCCGUCGUCGCCCUGAUGUUCAUCGCCUUCCUGCAGCCGCCGCCGGGCCGCCGCCGCGGCUACUACUGCUAGCACGGCGAGCCUGGCAACGCCGUCGGUCGGAGUCCCCCAACUCUCUUUCCCUGUGAUGUGAUGUGAUGUGAGUAUAUAUAAUUGGUGCGGUUCGUGGGUGAUCUACGCUGGGAUCCUCAAGUGUUGUGCCUCGUCGAUUUGGAGUCUAUACUCGACAGACAUGCUGAGUUUUGGCUGAACUUGCGUUCUGCAUGCUUACUACUAGCAUUUUGUUACUCUGUAUGUAGCCGUCAUGGAUUCUGCAGUUUGGUGUAUGGUCUAGCUAUUGUGCAAUUCUUAUCUGAACGAGUGAUCAAAGUUUCUCCCCUGUUGUCACUGAUUCAUAUUU